rnacentral:lncRNA from 1 species
ACAUCUCUUGUCCAUUUUGUCGAGACUCUUCAUGAACUUGUGAUCCAUAUCUUGUUUCUUCUCUCUGAAGUAGUUAUGAAUGAUUUUGAUUGACGUUGCGGUUGUGUCCCAUCUUCAAUUUCCAAAAUCUUGCACUUCUGAGCCAAGGAAGCUUCAUGAUUCAUUAUUGUUAAACUGAACUCUUGUAGGUCUUGUUUACAUAUUCAACGAUGCACGCAACUCUUCACCUCCGUACCCACAUCCCUAAUAAUUUCAACACAGGUAGGGACAAAAUCAAGAUGAUCAUCGGGCGACUGAAAUUGAAACCUUCACUCGAGCCUUCUGUUUGUCCAUUAGAAUUAGAUAUGCUGUUUGUCUCGGAUGCAAUUGCAACCUCUUCAACCUGUGCUGCGACAGGUGUUUGUUCUUCUUGCACUUCUUCAGUUACAUCUAUUAAUAGAGGAUCCAAAGUUAAAGAAAACUAUAAUGAUGUCUUUCAAUUGCUUUGGUUGCAUAAAAUUGAUUGAUGCGGAUCGUGUAGAAAAUGAAAUGGGUACUAGAUCAUGCAAUAUGUGGUUUAUAUAUAACAAAUUCAGAAAACAUACGAUCAAUUUCAAUUCAUUAACCAAAACUCAUUGAGGCAAGCGAGACUUGAAAAUUAAUAAAGCAUAACCUUUAUUCGCGCUUCCUUCAGGAGACAAAUCAUCACUUUGUCCACUCAAACUAGCAUCGAUCUCAUUGUUAUCUGGAACAGCUUCAACAUUGUCAUCUACUUGAAACAGAAAGGAAAUAUUAUUAUUCAGAAAAUGACAUACAAUCAGUAGUUCCAAAUGCGAUAAAUUAGCAGAAAAAGUGUGAGAUAAAAAAAUAAGAACCUUCUGAUUCUGUGAUAACAGAGCAAGGCUCAACUGCAUCGAUAUGUGAUUGUUGUUUAGCUUCGGCAACAAUUUGAUCAACUCCAUUUUCUGUUACACUUUCAUCAGCCACUUCAGAUGUAGAGGUUUGAGAUUUUUUCUUGUGGAUGACAUGAAUGCAGAUUUCCGUGAUAAAGUGUUCCUUAAAAUGUUGUCUAUGAAACACAGACACCAGACGCAGCACGGAAAUUACAACCUAACACAAAUUUAAAACCCCCACUCGGUAAAUCAUAAAAUUCAGUCUAAAAAUUAAAAUAUAAAGUUAACAAAAUUCUUUUGAAUUAUCUUCAGUACCUCUGCUUGCAGUUGACAACAGAGAUUGUUUUUGCGGUUGACUUGUUAGCACUUGUUGACAUUUAAAAAUUAGAAAUCUUAUGUAAGAAUUCAACGAUAUGUCCAAACUCCUAGUUUGAAAUAUGAAGCAAAUAAGAUGAAAUUGCAACCUUUGCUCAGGCCUUCAUCUAAAGUUGUAAUGCCAGUUUGUCUAUUAGAGUUAGAUACACUUCUUUUUUUUUAAUGCAAUUGCAACUUCUUCAACUUGUGUUGCUACUGGUGUUUGUUCUGGCACUUCUUCAGGUGCAGGACUUUCAGGAGAGGGAACUUGAUAAUUUUCUUCUGUUACAUCUGUCAAUAGAGGAUUCAAGGUUAAAUGAAACUCCCUUCAUAACAAAAAGAAAAAAAUCCUCCAUCUCCAUAUAGGAAAAAAAAAAAUCCUCUAUCCGUUAUGUGUAAUAAGCUAAAUAAGCUAGCUAUUAUGUGUAAUAUCAUUCUUGUUAAAUAGCAGCGCUAUAUUGCUACAGCGAGUGGACUAUGAACAAAUUGCUAUUAUUCAGAAUUACGAUAGUUAGUGCAAAAUGUUGUGAAAUAGCAUCUAUAGUGGCGCUAUAAAACUAUUGUGUAGCGGUAAGAAAUUGUUACUUUCAGCGAUACACGAUUGACAACACUGAUUCAAUCAAGCAAGCAGGAUUUGAAAAUGCAUUAAGCAUAACCUAUAUUCAAGAUUCUCUCAGAAGACAAAUCACCACUUUGUCCUGUCAAACUAGCACCGAUCUCAUUGUUCUCUGGAACAGCUCUAUCAUUGUCACCUAUUUGAAAUGCAAAGGAAAUAUUAUUCGGUAAGUUAAUCGGAAAAACCAUGUACAUGUAUGUUACUGCAAAAAAAUAUGAUUGAUUUUUGUUGUAAUUUCGAAAGAGAAAAAAAAUACAUACAAUCAGUAUUUCCAUAUGUAAAAUACUAAUGAGAUAAAUUAUUAGAAAAAGUGUGAGAUAGAAAAGAAGAACCUUCUCCUUCUUGAGGAGCUGGUGCAUUUGAGGUAAUUGUUUACAGCAUCCAAGUCUUCUUCAUAAACUAAACUUUCAGCAUCUGAGUUUACAGUGUCUGUGUCGUAUCUGAUGUCCGUGUCCGUAUCCGUGCUACCUUGUUGGCAACAGUUUUCGAGGAACCGACCAACUGGUAAGUCAGUUUCGACAUUGCAUGUUGCAAUAUCUGUCUGAAUAGCUUCUUCAAUAAUUGAAAUUACAGCAUCUGAAUCUUCCUGAGAAACCAAACUUUCAGCAUCUGAAUCUACGGUGUCCGUGUCCGUAUCCGUGUUACCUUGUUGGCAACAGUUGCUGAGGAACCGACCAAUGAAUCGACCAAUGAUAUGGAGGUUCGAGAUUUUUUUCUGUUGAGAUUCAGUAGAAACUUCAUCUGCAACAGGUGAAUCCGGUGCCUCCGCGGAUACUUCUGUUUCUGUGGCUGAUAUGGAGGUUCGAGAUUUAUUUCUGUGGAUGACAUGAAUGCAGAUUUCAGUGAUAUAGUGUUCCUUAAAAUGUUGUUGUCUAUGAAACACAGACACCGGAAACGGAAAUGAAAUUACAACCUAACAUAUUUAAAACUCCCACCCCGUAAAUUAUAAAAUUCAGUCUAAAAUGCAAGUCAGACAAAGAAAGUGUCACUUCUGCCAACAAAAUCAUACAACAGAGAUUUAUAAAGUGAUGAAUAAUAUAAAAUUAACAAGAUUCUUUUGAAUUAUCUUCAGUACCGCUGCUUGCAGUUGACAACAGAGAUUGUUUUUGCGGUUGACUUGUUAGCACUUCUUGACAUAUUUAAAAAUUAGAAAUUUUAUGUAAGAAUUCAACGAUAUGUCAGCAGGCUGAAAAACCAAAGAAAUGUCUUUAACCCCCCAAAGGUAAAGCAUUGGUUGGUCCAAACUCCCAGUUCUACCGAGGGAAAAGAGAUCCAAUUAAAAAUCGCCACAGAUGAUUCUGUUUGGAUAAACAACUUAAUUAAGCGCGUAUGGCAUACGCACUUAAUUAAGUUGUUUAUCCAUGCAAAACCUAUGUAAAAACUAUUUUAAUAGAAAAAUAUAAAAUAAAGUAAAACAGUUUACAUGCAAGCUAUAAGCUUUUUUCAUAAUUUGAAAACAGCUUAUGGAAAUGUCAUAAGUUGUUUCCCUAAGCUAUCCAGUCAGUCUCUCAAGUUCUUAUGUUGUUAGGUAAGCUCAAAUAAGCCAAUCCAAACAAGCCCACCAUAAAAAAACUGUUCUCUUUUACAUGUAAAAACUAAAAUACAUAUUUACUUCUGUUCUAUGGAGAAAAAUGAGAGUGGAAAUAUGAAGCAGAUAAGAAGAAAUUGAAACCUCUUCAACUUGAUCGCUUUCUUUGGUAUAAUAAAUUGAAACCUGGGGAAGUUUGUUCCUCCUGCACUUCUUCUGUUACAUCUGUUAAUAGAAGAUCCAAAGUUAAAGAAAAAUAUAAUGUUUCUUUGGUACAAUAUCAAAUUCAUAACAAAUUCAGAAAACAUGCGAUCCAAACAUUGAGGCAAGCAGGAGUUGAAAAUUAAUUACACGCCUAAUCUUCCAAGUGUAUGUGCUCCAUAGGCUGUUGUUAUUCACACCCAAAACAUUGAAUUGUGUAAUUUUUUUAAAUUAGUAUUGGUGUCAACGUUUCAAUAUAUUCGUGUUGAGUCAUGUAUCCAUGCCGGUGCUUCAUACAAUUUACCCAAAGAAAAAGGAAAUAGAUAAAAAAUUCAAACUCAAUUAUUGAAAAAAAAAACUUACUUUACAAAUCCAAACGUGUCAGGUUGAGACUCUUCAUGACCUUCUUGUUCUGGUUGUUCAAUUGCCAUAAUCUUACACUUCGGAGCCAAGGAUAUUUUGUGAUUCAUCAUUGUUAAAUUGAACUCUUGUAGGUCUUGUUUACAUACCCAACGAUAUCCACAACUGUUCACCUCCAUACCCAAAUCUUCACCCCCAACAAUGUAACAACUGAUUUUUUCAAAUUUAUCAUAGGACUCUCUAGAGAGGUAGAUUAUCCAUAGAUGACUUGAUUUGGUCGUAAUAAGAUAUCUCUUAAGAAUUACUGGAACACUAAAGGAAGAAAGAGAAUCAAUAACCAAUUUUAUAUCGGCUAUCCACGGAAGGAUCUCUUGAUUAGGUGCCACGGAAAACACUGCACAACAUACAAAGCCAAUGAUAUUAUUGUUAUUGUCAUGCAUAAUAGGAGAUCUGUCUAUUGGUAUUGAACUACCCACGCUCUGAUUAUUAAUCCAACUUGGUAUUUCACUUCCUGGAGUAACAAUAUGAAUCCCUUCAAAUAAGGACGCAGGGUAAAAGUGUUGGUAUGCCUGGAUGAAUUGUAUCAUCCAUGAAAAUGCCAUGCUACUGCAACGUUCCCUUUCACCUAAUUUUGGACAGUUGAAAAUGACCAAUUGUGUAACUUUUCUAGUAAAAAGGUCAUGAAACUUGUUGUUGUUCUCACGAUGAUCCUCCCCAAUAUUGGUAGGAAAAGGAAGUUGAGGCAAAGAUUCCAACAACUUGCAAUGCUCCAAAUUUAAAUAUACAAGUUUGGACAGCUUUCUCAGGCUAGGUAGUGUCACAAAAUUGUUUCCCCCUAAGUUUAAUAUUUCUAGCCAAUAUAAACAUUCAAUUGCAUAUGACACUUGGCUUAGACGGCAAAAGCUAAUGUUAACUUCACGCAAACAAUAUAAGCUAUGCAAGGAUGACAACACAUAUGAUCGAGAAUGUGAUGCACUUUCACUUAUAUCCGGGUUCUUCAAAUCCCUUUGAUUGGUAAACGCUUUGUGACAGUUCCACAUAUAUAGAUAUUUAAGAGAGCUUAGACCGAAUAUGUUGUUGGGUAUGCUUACAAGAUUUUUGCAAUCUUUUAAAUUCAAGUAAACAAGGUUUCUUAGAAGUCCAAUAGAUGGAUCCAACUCCAAAAGGCUGAUACAUCCUUCCAAAUUUAACCACUCAAGAUUCGGGAACUCUCCGAAAUCUACUAUCUUUACUAGUUUUUUGGAGUAUCGUAGAUCCAAUCCCCUCAAAUUGGGAAGAUACUGUAAUAUGAAAAACAAACAAAAAUGGAGCCAUUAAUUUGAUUUUAAGAGAAUUGUUUCAAAUUUGUUUAUAUUUCUAAGAUGAACAUUUAUAAUAAGAUAAUUUAUAGUACCUUCUUCUUUCUCCAUAGUUGUUUAAUGUUGCUACUAUGCAAGAUCAAUUCUACAAGUUCAUUGGGGUGAAAAUUUGAUGGCAAAUAUUUGAAAGGAUAUCCAGUCCACUGAACAUAUCUUAAUUUGUUUGAAAGACUCAAUAGGCUUCCGGAGAUAUUCACACCCCACAUGAUGAUGAGCAAUCUAAGAUUACUCAUUUUUGACAAGUGUUCAACAUUCAAUCCAACCUCUUCAUCAUUCAAAACUAAGGCUUUAACAUGCUUUUCCUAAAGCAUUGCAAACAAUAAAAGAAAAAAUAAAUUACUUGUUCCUAAAGCAUGCUGUUUAUAAAACUGGAAAUAUGUUUUUUUAUUACUAAACAACAACUUUACCAUAUUCUCCAACAUAACAUUGUAGAGUUGUUCUGUGGACCACAACCUGCUCCAUUUUCUUGGCUCUUUGCUUGAACUAUUUUGCACAAUUUUUCUGCCUAGCUCUUCCAACAAAGAAUGCAUUUCAAGAUUUUGACCAUUAAUGUUCAUAAGUGAUUUAUCAAUAAGAACUCUUAAUCCAAUAUCAGCAUGAAAUCUACAACAAUUUAGAAUGUUUUUAGCAUAUUUUUCCGAUUUGCGGUUGAAAAAACAAGCAAUAUCAAGAAAUAUUUCUUUUUCAGUCUCCUUUAGACCAUCAAAACUUAACUGCAGCACAUCCAUGACAUCAUUAUCUGGACUUUCUCUUAAUCUAGUCAAUGCACUCUUCCAUUCCGUCACAUUACGACCAAACAAAAAUGAGCCCAAUACUUUAAUUGCUAACGGUAGACCAUUAGCAUAAUCCAGUAUCUCAUAUACCAAACUUUCAUAAUUUCUCAUAAUAAUUUUCUCUUCUUUGAAAGCUUUUCGACAAAAUAACAUGUGAGCUUCAUUCCAAUCCAAGAGUGGAACUUUGUAGACUACAUCCACUCCAUACUCUUCCAAUAUAUGCUCAUCUCUAGAAAUGAUAAUAAUUCUACUACCUACGCCUAAACAUUCACGAUGCACACCUAUUUUUUCCAAUUGUUCAACUCGAUCUACAUUAUCAAGAAUAAGAAGGGCCCUUUCACGACGUAGCCUACUUUGUAUCAAAUUAGUUGCACGGUGACGAUUGCAUAUAUGAUGGUCUUCUAUUCCGACGGUUUGAAGUAGGAUUUCCUUUUGUGCAUCGAGGGGACCAUCAUGUAAUCUAAAUUUUUUGGCAACAUCUUCAAUAAAACAAGAUCCACUAAAUCGAUGGGAUAUUUGAUCAUAUAAAGCCAUAGAAAGGGUUGUUUUCCCUAUUCCUCCCAUUCCACAAAUUCCUAUUGCACGAACUCCAUCAACCGAAUCCAAAUGCAAAUGACUUUGUAAGGCUUCUAUAGGAGAAUUAAUCGCAACUAAAUCUUUUGAAACCCAUGAAGAUUUGCACUCCAAUAUAUUCAUUAUCGUCUGAACAAUCAUUCUAAUCUCUGCAGAUUGUGGCCUGGACGUUCAAAAAGUUGUUCAAUAAUAUUAAAUUAUCACGUAGAAAAACCAAAAAAAGAAAAUUAGUUUCAACUCCAAAUAUUUGUUCAAAGGGGUUAGACUAUGAGAUUUUAGGUAAAUAUAAAUCUUUCCUAAGUACUCUUUGAAUUUCUAUCUUGGACUCGUGCACCAUCAUUUCACCGUAUAUUUUCUACCAAUUACAAAAAAAGUAAACUAUAAAUUACUUACUUAUCACAUAGAUCCCAACCAGCGAUACUCCCCACUUGUUUUAGGGCUUCCCUCCAUCUUGACACCAUCUGAGAGUCUUGUUGGAAUGUUUGUUCAUGUAUGGUAAAGGCUUCACCAUAAAUCCCACUUUGCUUUCGCACCUCAGAAGGAUCAACAUCAUAGAAAACUGGAAGAAUGUGUUUUCUUGAUACAUGAACACAUUCACAUAUCUUUUCUAAUUCCUGCAAGCACCAUGUUGAGGAAGCAUAGUUUCUUGAGAAUACUGCAACGAAAACCUGGGAUCCUUCGAUUGCUCGAAGGAGCUCAGGUCCUAUGGAUUCACCUUUUUGAAGAUUGGUGUCAUCCCUAAAUGCAUAAAUACCGUUUGUUUUAAGAGCAUCUAAUAGAUAACCAGUGAAAUUGUUGCGAGUGUCAUCGCCUCUAAAGGUGAUAAACACGUCGUAAUGAUUUCUCCUUCUAGAUGUCACCAUAGCUAUGGAUGAGUUGCUGCUGCUAGCCAUCUGAAUAAAAAAAUUUAGAUUGAUUGGAUUGGACAAAGUGAGUCUCUAUCACUUGACGGAUUGGAAUAUAUUUUAAACUAUCAAACAUAUAUAUUAUAAACAACGAACAUUAAGCGUUGGUUUCGUGGCACCUUCUUUUCAAAAUUUAUUGGUUUAUGUUUUAUGGGAAAUUCCGGCAUUGUCCAAUGACUGGAAUGGAAUAUAAUCUUUAAAAAAAGUGUGUGCAUCAUUGGUAGGGAUUGCAUAAUAUAGUGUUCUCACCGUCGACACCCUAUUUUUUCAAAUUUAAGAUGUGCGAGCUCACAUUAUAAUAUCUGACCAAGCAUAUAUUUACAAUAAUCCAAUCUUUUUAGGCAAAGUGUGGACUAAAUAAAAAUCAAUUUUUCUGAAUCAUAAGCGUUGAUUUCGUGCCAACUUUAAUUUUCACACGCUUCUUUUCAUUAUUGAUUGAUUUAUUUAUUUACAUUUUAUGGGAAACUUCUAGCGUUGAAAUGUCAAGGAUUGAUAAAAUAUGAAGCUUUGGACUAUGUGUUAUUUUAAUCUACACUAGAUCGUCCACCCGUGCUGCCGCACGGGUCAUAUAGAUUGUAAGUGUGGUAGACAAAAGCAACAUUUGAUAAUAUAGUCCCAACUUAUAAUUUUAAUGUCAAAAUUAUAAAUACAACUAUAGAAGAAAUUUGUAUAAUUGAUUCAAAAUAUGUUAUUGUAUAAUUGAUUCAAAAUAUGUUUAGUUAACUUUAAUAUAUAAGAAGAUGUAUCGAGAAAUUGAGAAGGGGGAAAAUUCAAUAAGGUUAAACAAAGGAAUUUAGCAUCAGGAUUAAAAUAGUAAAUUUAUGCAAGAGGUUUAGGUUAAAAUUAGGGCUAAAAUAUGUUUCUGUGUUAACUUUAAUAUAUAAGAAGAUAAUAAGAUGUAUCGAGAAAUUGAGAAGGGGGAAAAUUCAAUAAGAUUAAACAAAGGAAUUUAGCAUCAGGGUUAAAAUAGUAAAUUUAUGCAAUAGGUUUAGGUUAAAAUUAGGACUAAAAUAUGCUUCUGUAUUAACUUUAAUAUAUAAUAAGAUAAGAUAAUUGACUAUAUCUUUUGGUUGGGUCAUGUGCUAAUAAAUGCUCUAAGAUUAUUGUUUAAGAAAAUUAUUUAAAAAUAAAUAUGUCUAGGAAUUAUAAGUUAAAUAUUGAGAAAACUAAUAAAUAGAUUUAAGUAUUUUUGAUUUUUUAAACAAUGGUUUAAGGAUAUUUGGUAGCAUUUAAAAAAAUAAUAAUCAAUUCAAUCUUAUUUUAUUCGAAAGUUCAUAGACUUUUCAACAAUUUUAGAUAUGUUAUCUAUAUAUGUACACAAGUCGGACACGCUACAUUUCCGAUGUGUGUAUGUCAGAAUCGAUAAGAGAGAAGGAAAAAAAACAAUAUAAAGGUUGAAAAUAAUAUAAAUAUAUUAUCUUGAUGUCAUAUGUUGUGUAUGAAAAGUUAGCACAAAACUAAACAAGUCCUUGAAAUUGAAUUAUAUGGUGACCGUUCAUAUGGCCAACAUAUGUAUUAGUCUCAUGACACGUAAUUCAUAGUGACGUUUUUGUAAUCUACACCAAAACACACAUGAUCUUGUUGUAUAACAUCAACUUUUGUGGAGCUAAUUUAGAGAAUUAAAAAACUGAAAAGAUUAAUGUUUUUAUGAAAGUAAAAUGGACUUGUUAACUUGUCAUCGUACAAAAUCGAACAUAUAGUUAGCAUGAGAAUGAAAAAGUGAAACACAAUGGUCCUGGUUUAAUAUAGCAAGUUGUGACUUAUGUCACAAUGGUCUCAUGAUUUCCAAAUUAAUUCUACAAAAAAAUGCUACUAGCAAAAUUUAUCUAUAUUUUUGUUGCUUCUUCAAACCCUGCUACAAAAUGCCCCCUUUAAUAGUACUCAAUUUGGCUCUUAACAGCGCUUCCCAAUCGCUAAGAAAGCCCCGCUAUAAUAGGUCAGGAGCCUAUAAUAGCGCUUUCUAAACGCUAUUAAAGAGAAAUACGUCAAUAGCGCUUUUAGAAAAGCGCUAAUAUAGCCUUAUUCUAGUGCUAUUAAAAUAGCUUUUCUAACAGUCUUUUUUCUUAGCACUUUAUGAGAAGCGCUAUGUUACUCAUACAGGGGAAUCUUAGCGUUUUAUUAAAAACGCUAAUAAAACUAGUCUUUUUUUUUUUUUGUAAAUCUGUAACCAAAACUGCUGCAAUAAUACUAAUUGAUAAUCUGUAGCAAAUUACAUUUAUGAUAAUCUCAAUACAAAUUGAUCAUAAACUUAAUCCUGAAUGUCAUAUACUAGUCAAACCAAAGUUGCCAAAUAAAAAAAAAAGACUCCUAAAAGCAGCCACAAUUACAAACAAAAGAACACCUAAAUUUUAGAGGACUCGUGACUAGUCCAGCACAACCAAUUAGAGUGUAAGUCUCUGAGCAAUAUAGUCUCCUAUGUCAUAAAAUUAAUUAACAUAAAAUUUCCAGCACAACCAAUUGCAAUUUAAAAUAACUCAAUUAAAAAACGCAAAUGAAAAUUGUUGGAAAAGAAAAUGAAACUCACUAAGAUACUCGACCACAAAGGUUGCCCAAUCCUCCUCGACCUCAACUAACUUAUCUUUAGAAUAGAUUUUACAUUUGUAAUCUCCAAAGUACUUCAAUGAUAAAAGUAUCAAAAAAUUAAGUUAGAAAAAGAAUGCAUAUAUAUAUAUAUAUAUAUAUAUAUAUAUAUAUAUACAAAUUAACAGUAUAUUAAAAAUCAUAUACAUAUAUUUUCGGGGAUCAUGUCUUGAUUUGCCAAUAUUAUCUCUUUCAUAAAUCGCAUGACAAAAUAACCACAGUCAAUGCCAUUAGUUUGCAUAGGACACUGGAAAAAAAUUACAUAAUUGAAAUUUAAUCCACAUGAUGAAUUAAAAAUACCAUUGAUUACGUUGUCAAAAAAAAUAUCAUUGAUUAGAAAAUAAACCUUUAUUUCUUUCCAUGGGAUUAUACUUGACUUUGAUUUUAACUUGGGAUUAAGGGAACGGCAAAUACACAUGGCACUAUCAAAAUUAAAUCAACUUCAAAUGAGUAAUAGCACUCAAUAAUCAUACUUAUGUCAAUUAUAAAUCAAAAGAAUCAAUACUCACUUCAUGAACUUUUUUCUUACAACGUCAAUGUUAGGAUGUCCCGCCGGCAAUGAAUCCAUAUAAUAUAUCAUCUCAGCUCCGGGAUUGAUGACAAGCAACACCCAAUGAUUUAGCCUGCAUUCAUCAUAAUUUACAUAUAUUUCAAUUAUAAUUAAAAAACCACAUUUUCAAAUUUAGUCAUCUUGAAUAAUGUUUUGUAAAGAAAACUCACCCUAAAUUGACCGGUGCAAAAAUCAGCUUAUUCUUAAACUUGUGUGUCAAUAGGAUGUCUGCUAUUUGUUGCCCUUGUUUAUCCUCUUGAUAUAUAUGUCGGGAUAAAAAUGAGAACUUAUUUUCCAACCCACGAGGCUUGAUCAAAUUUUCGUACAAGAAUCUUGAAACAUAACAAACAACAUAAAACAGAAACAUAAAAAACCAAACAACACACUCCCAAAAAUAGGAAUAACAGAACGACAGAGUUUGUAACAGAAAACCAAUAUAAUAAAUCCCUGUAAUAGUCCUAAAUAACAACUAUUUAACAGAGGUACCUGACAUAUACAGCUACAACAGUGGCACUUAACCAAUUAUGUUGCACAAGCUCUUCUAUAUUCUCUAUUUCUACUUCGUCUGUAUAGGCUUUGCCAUAUAUAAUAUUGUCCAUGUAAAUUGGGACUGUUUGUCCUUUGAUCAUUAUUGCCUUCAUAUAAGUAUCAAGGAAUGGUACCAUAGCAGGUUUCACAGUUUUUAUCUUUGUUUGGUGAAGCAACUGAUUCAGCACUACGUUGGGGUCUCUUGCAAUUUUUUUUAGUUUUAGCGCUUUCUGAAGAGUGCUAUAACAGAUCUAUAAUUUGCAUUUUUAAUAGCAUUUAUCCAAAAACGCUAUUAAAAUUGUGCUAUUAAAAGCCAAAAUUGUGGUAGUGAAACCUCCAUUUGGAUGGAGUUGAUGACAAAUUGAUUAGGCGAAAAAAUCCAUUGAAUAAUUAUUAUAGUGACAGUUCAUGUUUGAGGAACUGAUUUAGAGAUUAAAAAACGUAAAUAUUAAUGUUUUUUUUUUAAGUAAAAUGGAUUUGUUAACUUGUCCUCGUACAAAACCCAUAGUUAGCAUGACAAGGAAAAAGUGAAAUACAUUAGUCUAUGAUAUUACCUAAUUCAUAAGCUAUAAUGUCCAAAAAAACUUCUGUCAAAUGAGCAAUCUAACAGCUAUACUUUGCCUCUCCAAGUCUUUCAAAGAAACACUGUCAUCCUUAAUGAAAGGCUGCUCUAUAAGAGAAAGCCCUCCUAACCUCUUUGAGAUUCUUCCCUCAACAAUUUUCUCUCUUAUGUUCUCGGGUUUCAAAGCAAGGUCUUCUCUUUGCAUCUUAAGUUCUUUUUCCUUCGCGACAAUGGUUUUGAGAAUAUCUUCAAUAGAUACAAACUGAACCUGAAGAAUAGCAGCAACUUGCAUUGCAAGAUCAUUAACCAACUCCUUGAAUUUUACCGAUGCACGAAUCGUGAAUGUAUGUACCAAUUCUUCCUUCAGCUGCUAGUCUUCUGGAUUUCUUAUCAGCGAAUGAGAGACCCUUUUUUCUGAGGUAUGCUUUCACCUUUUCAAGAUCACCUUCUGUUUCAGCAUGAGCUUUCUUACAGUCCAUCAUCCCAGCACCGGUUUCUUCUCUUAAUUGUUUAUCCAAUGAGUCUGAAACCACUACUGUUGAUUGCUUGUAACACAACAUUAAACAAUUUACGACUUGCAUCAAACACUUCCAUUUUUUUUCUCCAAAUUUUUGUCCACAACCUACACCUACACAUGUUGCAUACAUGUCACUGUUAGUGUCGUGUCAAAUGUCUGUGUAAUGACCUAAAAUAGGCCCAAUAUAAUAGAGUAGUCCAAGUAACUAAAGAUUAUGAUGAGUUAGUUGUAUUAGGUAUUUUAGUGGAUGAGUCACCAUGCUCUAGAAGGAUCUAGAGAGAUCCUUUUUGUGAUGAGUCAUUGGAAUGCCAAUGCUAUAAAUAAUGGGUUGAUCAUUGUAAUCAUUAUCGAAAUGAAUGAAUGAAGAAUUUAGUUGUUAGAAUAGCCAUAGUUGUAGCUUUUAGUCCUUUAGAGUAAUUCUCCUCCAUUAAUGAACAACACAAAAAGUUGUUCAUAACACUGUGUGUCAGUGCUUUCAUAGACUGACGCUCACACGUUAUCCAGUCACAACAUAGGUUAAGUUGUCUAUACCAAGAUUAAUUGAAAGAUAAUAUUCAACAUAUAUAUAAAUAUGUAGGGAGGGUUAGGGUAGAAGUAUUCAAGAAAACUUGGUAUACUGAUAUAGUUUGUAGUUCUAAUUCCUUUAAUAGAUUUCAAAAGUGAGUCAGUUAGUACAUAAAUUUAACGCAAUCACCAAGAAAUAUCUACUUUAGCAUGAUUAUCGAAAUUUUAUAAUGGGCAAAACUACACUGAACCAGCUUCAUUCUUAGUCUAUUUUCUUUUGCAAACCCUCUCUCUCUGAGGUUGAACCGAACAAACCUUGUAACUUUCAUAUUUUCUCCAAUAGUUGCAAUUAUCAGCUUAACCAUAUCUUUUCCUGUCACUUUAUCAAUCCUGCUCAAGCAAUGCUAAAUCCUCAAGUCUUUUCCUUAUCCGUCCUUCAACAAUCCUUGAUCUAAUUUGCUCUGGUUUUGACGCAAGACAUUCUUUUUGCAUCUAUCUCUGUUCCUUUCUUCACGAAUUCCUCAGGAAUGUCUUCGGUGACAACGUCUCUACGUGGGGGCACGCAGCCACUCUCAUGGCUAUAUAAUCGACAAGCUGUUUGAAAAUUUCACCUCGGGAGAGAAAACCUGUCUUGCAGUUUACUUCUACCAAAACACCGAUCCUGCUGUCAUGGAUGUAAGAACCUAUCCUUCCUUCGGCAGUAGCUCUGGCUGCUUUCUAUUCUGCACUCGCUAAGCCUUUUUUCCUAAGAAGCUUAUGUGCUUUGAUGAUGUCACCUUAAGUCUCAGAGAGCAUUUUUGUAGCUCAUCAUUCCAGCUCCAGUUUCUGUAAUAACCCCUCCAUGAGGGAAAAAAAAUAAAAUUAAUUAAGACCAAGGGCAAAAAAGACAUAUCUACCAAAUGGGGUAUAAAGACAAAUUUUAUGAAAAUUUUCUACAAGUUUCUACAUUCUUCUCCCUCAAAAAAAUCUGAAUACCUCCCUUCAUUCUCUCUUCCUCUUACAUGCCCUCCCAUCCUCUUUCUCUCAAACUUCAUUAAACCCACCUUAAGCUUCAAACAAUUCAAUAUCAUGGUCCUUAUACCCUCAAUUUCCUUAUGCAAGCUUGAAUUUAAUCUUUUUCCAUCUCUUUUCCUAAUCUAGCCUCACCACCAAUCUCAUAAUUAUUGAUGUUUUAAGCCAAGUUCAAGCUUCAAGAAUUUAUACAUGUUUGGAUGGUGAUAGUAGUGGUUCAAGUUUCAAGUUUUGAAGUAGAAAUUCAAGUGGGAAGCAGGGAGAAGUGUCUAAGAUUGAGGUAAGGGCUGUUAGUAGAAUUAGUUAGUAUUGUUGUUGUUGCUGUUUGAAAUGAAAAGCUAGAACCUAAAAGUCAUAAGUUGUUCCAAAAGCUUCAAUAUUUGAUUAUUGAGUUAAAUAUGUUAGAAUUUCUGUAAGACUGGUGUAGGAGCUGUGUAUACAUAUUUUCUUUGAUUCUGGAAAAUUUGAGUUGAAAUUGAAUUGUCUAGAGGUCAUAAGCUGUCAGUAAGCUGUUUUGGGAAUUUUGCCUUAAAUAACUAAGUUGUUGAUUAACCUGCUGUAUAAGUGGUUCAUGGGGCUGAGUAUAUAUGUUGGAACAUCUUUGUUGAAGGCUGGGUCGAAAUUAAUUUGAUAGAAGCCAUAAGCUGCUAAUUAAGCUGUUUGGAAGUGCUUAAAUAGCCAAACGACGUACUUCUGGUGCAAGGACUGAAAUUGAAAUUUUCGUGUAUGCUGGUUGAUGAAGUAAGAGUACGUCACAAAUGAGUUGAGUUGUUUUGGAAAGAGCAAGACCUAUAAGCCAAGACAUAAGCUAUUUUGGAAAAUGGAUUAUGGAGUUUUGGAGCUAGUAAAAGCUGCAAAUUGUGGAUAAGCUGCUUGCAAUUUCGGGACUAAUGCCAAGGUGAGUUCCUUUAGCUUAGAACCCACCUUUGGAGAUCGAUUAUGAUUAUGCUACAUUAUUAAGAUAACAUGAAUAAUUAGACCAUUUUAUGAUUACUUGCCUUUUGUACAAACAUGUCUGUUAUGCCAUAUGAAUGGUACAUUUGAAGUAGAAUAAAUAUAAGAUAGUUAGGAUGAUUAUUUCUUCAUUAGGCACCCUUGCUUGUUUAUUCUAAAAUCUAUUUUAUGUUAAUAAGUAUGUUGAUGUUAGUAUAAAUGUCGGAGGGAAAUUAGCCACACAAUUGAUGUAUAUAUACUUAUAGAAAUGAUUUGAAAGAAAAGUUGAAAUGCAACAAGAAACUCGUAGAAAAAUUGAAAUGGGUAACAUGCUCAUAGUAAAAAAAAAAAAUCUAAAAAAAUCAGUUUGCUACAACGAAGAGAUAAUGUAGCCUAUGAGAUACGGAUAGUAACAAAAUGAAAUAGUUACCGUUCGCCACAACGAAGAGAUAAUGUGGUAUAUUUGGCGAAGAGAUAAUGUGGUAUAUCCGUUCGCCACAACGAAGAAAUAAUGUGGUAUAUUUCCGUUCGCCACAACGAAGAGAUAAUGUGGUUUAUGUACAAAUAAUGAAAAGAGAUAAAUGAUGAGAUAGUUUAUAUUGAGUGGUACAAAUGAGAAAAUAAUUUAUAUUGAUGAGAUAGUUUUUAUAUUGAGUGGUAUAAAUGAGAAAAUAAUUUAUAUACUUUUACUUACUAUCUAUUAAAAGAAAUGAUUCAUGUUUUUACAUUUUUGCCCUCAUUAUGGGCAAUUUAGUAAUUUACUAAUUUUUAGACUUAGGUGAAUGCCACCUCACCAAAAAAAAUUCCACCCAAGAUUUUUUUAAUGGGCCAAGCCCAAUUUUUUCUCCAUUUCUCCUCCUACACUAAAAAUUCAACCCUCACCCCCACCGCCUUAACCAUGCCAAACUUCAUCAAACCUUCAUGGAAUCUUAGUGAAAUUUGUAGGUUUAAAGAAUUUAAUUUCUUUUUUACUGUAUUUUGAUUUUGAUACUAUAAAAAUUGUCUCUAUUACUUCACUUCAGAAUUUGUUUUAUAUGUUAAUAAGCCAAAUAUGCAAAAUGAUUAAUAUUUGUUUAGGUUUUUUCAUAUUAUUUCAUUCUUUUGUUUCAAAGAAAAAUGAUGAUGUAAGUCAACAAAAUUCGCAAGAUUCAAGUUGAAAGCGUGGUACUGCAUGUUUUAUGUCUUUAUUUUUGUUAUAGGAUCAAUUGCAUUGUCAUUAUUUUUGCAGGCAGUGAGUAACAAGUCGCGCAUCAUUCUUACUAUCUACUAACUAACAAUAAAAAAUAUGGCAGGUGGUUUUCCAAUUUUGCCCUUCUGGAGGGCAAUUUUGUAAUCCAAUAACCCUUUGAGAUUUAUUUGUUGCCACGUCAUAUGCAUUUUGUUAUAUAUUUCCUAUUUCACGAUAUAAUUGUUGUAGUGGUGUAGUGACAUUCUCUCUAAAUCACAUCGCAACACUCAUCUCUCACCGCCGUCAACCUUGCCAUCAAACACACCGAUCUCCACAUGUCUAAGAGUAUAUAUUCACUAAUAUAUAUCAUUUAAUUCCAUGCAAGGCUACUGUACGUCCAGAUCUGCUGUUGCUAAAUUUUGAUCUAAAGCAAUCUAUACCGAGUUCAUGAACCAAUGAAAUUGGAAACUUAGAGAGUAUUUUGAUUGGAGGUGAUUCUUAUCUUUAAGAUGGUCAUAACUUUCUAAGAAUAUCUGAAUUAUUAGUUAUAUGGAUCUCAUAUCUUCAAUUGCCUCAGGUUUCAGGAAAUAGCAGGGUCUUUAGAUUCUGUGCUGACAACAUCCAGUCUUGUACCCGUUCAAAAUUUAGAUCCUAACAAAGUAAAUUAUCAGGACUUAACGCUAAAAUCAAGUGUAACUCUGUUGGAGAGUUUGAGAUUGUGUUGGAGAGAAGAAAAUGGUUGUGUAGUAACUUGCUGUCAGGACAGGUCUUUGUUUUCAACAACAACUUGGAGAGCUAGGAAGUAAUUAAGACUAAUUUUCAAGCAAGAAGAAAAAGGGAAUAUUAGAAAGAAAAAAAAUAUGAUAUGAAGUGAAGAGAUGAUGGGUAGAGUUUUAAGGGUUUUAAUUUUUCUUUUUGUUUUUCUUUGUUUGAAGAAAGAGUUUACGAAUAUAGUAAUGAGUUUCAUCAUUGUCAAUUUACAGAUACUUUUAUUUUCCUACUUGACUGCUACUCAUUUUGUUCUUCAUGAACUCCUAUACUCUAGCCUGUCUGGUACUUGAAUGUAUAAUACUUUGGACUUACCCUUAACUCUAAUCCAAAACUAUCUUAACUUGGAAAUGUUGUUUCUUUGGUUCAUUUUGUGUCAUGCGAAUGUAAUCGUAAUUUGGACAUCAUUGGUUCCUUUAUUGGUUCCUGUCAUACCCCAACUUUUGACCACUUUUCUCUAUCCUUACCCAUUUUAUUCGUAUUUUUAAAGUCGGGAAUUUUCGUCGUUUCAGACGAAAUUUCGACAAAGAGUUACUUUGAAGUACCUCAUUUUUUAUUCCGAGUAGGACCCUUUUCUCUCUUUAUUUUAUUUUUAUUUCAGUAUUUAAUUCCCAUCUUUUAUUAGUUUUGAUUUUAAAAUUAGUUACUCUUUUUUUAGUUUAUUUUCUGUUUUUGUGUUAUAAUGUCAAUGAGUCCAAAAAAUCCCAGCAAGGGUCCAAAAAAUAUUUUUUUCAUUCACGCCUCAUAUUCAGGCAGAUUCAUAGAAGUCAAAUUUUUGUUUCCAAAUCCAGGACACGGUUACUUUUUCUGAAGUUAUUUCCUCUUUCCCUUCAACCCUAAUCCUAUAAAAUCAAACCUGCAAAAGAAAGAAAGGGAGGCCGCACUGAAUUUCACACUAACACAUUUUUACGGCCGCAAAAAAUUAUCAACCACAAUUUUCCAGCAAUCUCAACAUCACAAAUUCCAGAAUCACAAAUCUUCACAAUUCAUAAACCUCAACACAAAUCCAUCACUCAAAUUCCAUUUUCCAGAAUCAACCGUUUUCGGAUUUGAACAUCACAAACACUGUCCAGAUACGAAAGAAGAGAUGUAACAGAGAAAGAAGAUUGGAUCGAAACAAAGAGAUCGGACCAGAACAGAAAGUAGAUCAAACCGGAACAGAUCGGAAUAGAUGAAGAAGUAGAAGAGCAAGCUUCAUACUAAACCGAAUCGAAAGAAACAAGAGGGAAUCGGAGCUGAAACGCGCGCUUAAAGAAAGAACAAGAGCAAAUCGGCACCGGUCUCAAGGUAAAAAGAGGUAAAAAAAAUUCGUUUCUAUUUGUGUAGAUCUAGGACGAUUCAAGCUUGUUUUCAAAAUUCUGUUUGUGGAUUUGAACUUAGGAAGAAAAAGGAUAUCUAAAUAUGUAAAAAGAUUUGAAAACGGAGAAGUUUCGUUUUCCGGUGCGGCGGCGCCGCCCUGUUGGGCCGGCACACCACCGUACCGGAGCGGCGAAACUCACCGGAGAAGAUGAAGAUCAUCUUUUGUUCUUUUCCAGAAUUUUUAGAGAGAAGGGAGAGUUUUUUGGUUUAGAGAGAGAAAGGUUUGAGAGAAAUGAAGGUUGAUGAACCGAAUUUGGUUAUAUACUUGUUGUUGAACCGGUUUUUAUUUCAUUUGAACCGCUUUUUUUAAAUCAAACCGGAUUUCAUUUUAACCGUUGGAUCUCAGAUCCUGUGGCUGUGAUGAGACUUCCUGUGAUUAGACCUAGACCUUCCGAUUCAUCAGACGGUCCAGAUUUAUCCAGUCUGAGCCCACCAUUUUAAAAUUCACUACUGUUUUACUUUUGUCACCACUGUUUUUACUUUCUGCACCUUUUUACUUAAAAUUUCCUGAAAGAGUUUACAAAUACAUUCUUCUUUGUGUUAAUUGUUUUAUUUACUGUUUUAUCGUUAUUAUUGUAGUAUACUUGAAUCAUCUCAUGCAUAUUUAAUUUUUUGAUCAUUUCAUUUCAUUGGUAUUAUUUUUAGUACGUAUAAUUAGGAAGUUGAUGUAAUUUAUUUUGUGCAUUUUUAUUUCUUGCCAUUUAUAUUUCUCUUGAGACCAUAGAAUGUAUCUAGGAAUUGAUGUAAUAAUGUAGGUAACACAAGCACCGACACAUGCACCGGCACUUCACAUUUAUUUCUUGUUACGUUAGUUUUCUCGUUAGUCUAAAAAUAAUCAUUUUUUCCAAAAAAGUCAAAUAUGAAAAACUCCAAAAAUAUUUUCUUAAUAAACCUUGGUUUGUAACCCAAGUGUUUUUUUUCCUUUUAUUUUCUUAAUCAAAUGCUUAAUUGAAUUAAUAUUCAUAAUAGACUUGAUUUUCUUGUAAUUAAAAUUUGACCAACCUCACUUUAUUUUCUCUCAUGCCUUGAGGCCUCUUAUCCCUUCUUAAAACCAUUUUCUAAAAUUUAAAAUCAACCAACCCACCAAAAAGAAACUUUUUAGGUGAACUACAUUGGUUUUGAUCCCUUUUCUUUAAGGGUAUGUAGGCAUGAGAUUUUUAUCCUUCCAAAUCAAAUAAAAAUAACCAAAAACAUACUUCUUCUCCCCCAUUCUUUCACUUAGAUUUUUAGGUAAUAAUUUUCAAAUAAGCAAAUCAAUUUAGCACAAGAUAAAUUAGGUAAGAGGUUCAUAUGGAAUACCAUAGACGCUUAGGGUGCUAGUACCUUCCCUUCGCGUAACUAACCCCCGAAUCCAAAGUCUCGACAAGGGUUUUUACUCAUUUUUUCCCUUCCCACGAAUAAAAAUCGAGAGUUCAAAGAUUAACGAUUCAAAUCAAUUAAUGGUUUGAUAUCCGAAAAUCACGAGCACAGUUCCAAUUAGUUUAAUCUUAAUUAUUAUGUUGUGUUCUUGAUCUCAUGAACAAAAUAUAUGCUCUUUUCAUGAAUCAAGACCAGGUAAGGCUUUGAUAAGACACAAAUGAUAAAUAUUUCUAAUGUUUGUGAAAUAUUCCUUAAUUUACUCAUUUUUCCUUUGAAACAAUAUUUUUACAAUAUACGAUAUUCAACCCGUGCGAAGUACGGGUUUGUAACUAGUUAUUGAUAGUAAAUUCACAUCAUGGGAUGCGAUGAUAAAGUAUACGAGAAUGUGUCAAAUUCACAUUAUGUUUGGAAUGAAUUAGCUAUGAAGCAAUAUUUUAUGUGCAUUUUACCGAUCGUUGGAAAUGAGAAAUUUUAGUUAUGGAACUCCGGCUUUGUUAGCCGAAACUAGUUGUUAUCGGAAAAGAAUCAGAGACAUACUCAAAUAAGUAUGUCAAAGUAUAAGCUAUACUAGUAUACGAUAGAUUGGACAUAUAUUUAUGAUUAUUAUUAUGUUUAUGAUUAAAGUUAUGAGUAAGACUAUAUUUAUUAUAUAAUCAAAAUAGUAUUUCAGACGGCGAUUUUAUUAUCCCCUGAUCGCUCAGUUAUGCAUAAUGAAAUCGUUUAAACCCAAAAUGGGUUGAGGUUAGAAACAGAUUGCGAUCCUAGGUUCCCCCAGGUUGCCUACAACCUAGGAUAGAUGGAACUCACUGAGACAUCUUGUCUCACCCCAAUCCUUUUUAUUUAUUUCAGAUGUACAAGUUAUUAUACGAUAAGAUGGCUCGUGAUGAAGAGGCAGACGUAGCUGGAUAUGUAAAGUACACGUCAGUGGAACUAUUUCUGAGGUAAUAGGCGAGAAAUUCUAUGAUUUGUUCAUAGAAUAUUUAUUUAUUGUAACUUCAAUGUAUCCAACGCCAAGUUUAACACACAUGCUAGAUAUCCUAGGUGAUUUCUAGUAGGGGUGUUACAGUUUCGUCCCGAAGUUGCUUCACAAGUGCUGGUGAUAUAGUUGCUGCAAUUAAAAGGAAAAGCAUUGGUUGGUCCAAACUCCCCGUUCUACCCAAGGACAAGAUAUCCAAUUAAAAAUCGCCACAUACAAUUCUGUUUGGAUAAACAACUUAACCAAGCGUUUAUGCUAUAAGCAAUCAAUUAAGUUGUUUAUCCAUAUAAAACCUGCGUAAAAACUUUUUUUAUAGCAAAAUAUAAAAUAAAGUAAAACUUUUUACAUACAAGCUAUAAGCUUUUUCAUAUGCUAUCAUGGGUAGCUUAAGCAAAUAAGCUGAAAACAGCUUAAGAACACGACAUAAGUUGUUUCCUUAAGCCAAUCCAAACAAGCCCAACAUAAAAAAAUUGUUCUCUUUUACGUGUAAAAACAGAAAUACAAGUAUAUAUAUUUUCUUCUAUUUGAUGGAGAAAAAUGAGAAUGGGAAUAUGAAGCAGAUAAGAUGAAAUUGAAACCUUUACUUGAGCCUUCUGUUUGUCCAUUAGAAUUAGAUAUGAUGUUUGUCUCGGAUGCAAUAGCAACCUCUUCAACUUGUGCUUGUGCUGGUGCUACGACUUGUGCUUGCAGGACAUCUGUUUAUAGAGGAUCCAAAGUUAAAGAAACCUCCAUUUGUUAAAUAACUAACUAUAAUAAUGUCCUCUAAUUGCUUUGUUCGCAUAAACUUGAUUUAUUCGGAUCGUGUAGAAAAUGAAAGGGGUACAAUAUCUAGCAAUAUGUGGUUUAUACAUAACAAAUUCAGAAAAUAUGCGAUCCAUUUCAAUUCAUUAACCAAAAUUCAUUGAGGCAAGCAGGAUUUCAAAAUUAAUAUAAUUAAGCAUAACCUUUAUUCCUUCUCGAGUAGCUACUGCACUUGCUGUGAAGUCUGAUUCUAUGAUAACUUCAUCAGGUCCUUCAUUCUUCAUAGUCAACGCCUCUUGUGAUACGCAAAAAUGGUACGCUAAUUUCUUGACCAAUCUCCAUCGUCAUCUUCCUCAGCUAACGGUAUAAAUACUUCCUCCCCUGCAAGAAGUGAUAUAAAAGUACCACUCCUCGUCAUAUUCUUCACUGAACCCAGCAACUCCUGACCUAAAACAAAUUUCAUGAUUUUCUUAUCUUUCCUUGGACCAGAUUUCAAAGAAUCCCUCCUCCCAGGGCCGGAUUUCUCUGUAUUGUUUGGUGCAUCAUUAAGUUUACCAGCAUCGGUGCAUCAUUAAGUUUACCAGCAUCGGUGUUUUCACCGUAACUUCUUGUCCAAGAGACGCAACACUUGGGACAUCCUUUACAAAGCUAUAACACAACCCGGGAACCAAAUCCUCGUUCUUUACAGGAGGCUUCUCGCUUUUUCUUGCAGGUCUUGAACGUUUGGCUUUCGUAGAACCAGCAUUGGCAUCGGACCUAGGCGAUGAGUCUUCACUUGUUCCAACUUCAUUUGAAGGAGAUUCACUAGAAACUUCAUCGAUAACAGGUGAAUCUUGUACCUCCACAGAUACUUCCGUUUCUGUGGCUGAUUUGAAGGUUCGAGAUUUUUUCCGGUAAGAGCAUAUUCGUUUGUUAUGAGGAAAAACAUUAUUGACGACAAAUGAAGGAAAGAGAAAUCUCCGAGUUGAUCCGUGUCCUAAAGAACUCCUUGAAAAGUUGAGUCUAGUUAACGAGUUAUUCUUUCUUGUCAAAUAGGCAACUCCAGGAAUAACCGAAGAAUUUCCGACAGAGCAUGAUAUUAUGGGAUUCAUAUGGAUUUGAAUUAUUCAACUUUUUUAUUUUUCAGGAUCAGUUCAUAAUGACAGUAUUGACGACACAGUUAUAAAUCAAACACCUCAGUAGCCACCAUAAUGACAGUAUUGCAUAUAGGAAUUGUAUAAAUACACAAAUCACAUUACAUAAAUCAUCAUCAAUUUACUUGCAACUACUUCAAGCAUAAUAUCAUCUUUUACAAAUUAUAAGCAACUAAGUGACGAUGACUACAUUGCAUAUAAGUAUCUACAUGAAAAAUUAGUCAAAAACGAAUUUUACUGCAACAAAGAUACUCAAUAAAUUAAACUACAUGAAAAAUGCUAGGAGCCUGGGGUAUUCAAGAACUUCGAUUUAUUGUAUCAAUGGAAAUUAAAUUCAUAAAUGCUGCUUUCACUGAUAAAGUGUUCCUUAAAAUGUUUUUAUUUUAUCAAGCACCCAUACGGACACCAGACACGAUACGGACACUGACACAUCGACACUAAUAAUAAUUUGAAAAAAUGACAUUACUUCAAAAAAAACAAAAAACGGAGAUGAACAUAAUGUCAAUGCUCUUCAUUGCAGAUUGUAUUUUGCAGGUUGAGACUCUUCAUCACCUUCUUGUGAUCCAUCUGUUGUUUCUUCUCUGUGAAGUUUAUGACUCUUGAGAUGAAUGAUUCUUGUUCUUGUUCCGGUUCUGGUUGUGUCUCAUCUUCAAUUGCCAAAUUCUUGCACUUCCCAGCCAAGAAAUUUUCUUGAUUCAUCAUUGUUAAGUUGAAUUCUUGCAGGUCUUCUUUACAUACCCACCGAUACCCGCAACUCUUCACCUCCAAACUAAAAUCUUCACCCUCAAAAAUAUUAAAAUGGAUUUUUUCAAAUUCACUAUAGGACUCUCGGGGGAAGUAGAUUAUCCAUAGGUGACUUGAUUUGGUCAUAACAAGACCUCCAUUGAGAAUUACGGUAGCACUCCUACAGCUCAUCCUAAUCAAUUUCUUAUCGGUCCACUCUUGAGCAAAUGGAAACAUCCAACAAUCAGGUGCCAUGGAAAAUACCGCACAACAUAGAAAGCCAAUGAUAUAAUUGUUAUUGUCAUGCAUAAUAGGAGAUCGGUCUAUUUGUAUUGAAUCACCCACGCUCUUAUUGUUGAUCCAAAUUGGUAUUUCAUUUCCUGGAGUAACAAUUUGAAUCCAAUCAAAGGACGUAGGGUAGGAUUGUGAGUUUGCCUCAAUGAAUUGUGUCAACCAUGAAAAUGUCAUGCUACUGCAACGUUCCCUCUCACCCAAUUUUGGACAGUUGAAAAUGAACAAUCCUGUAGGCCAGAUCCAGAAAUAUUUGUUGUUCUCACGAAUAAUAUUGGUAGGAGAAGGAAGUUGAGGCAAAGAUUCCAACAACAUGCAAUGCUGCAAAUUUAAAUAUACAAGUUUGGAAAGCUUCCUCAGGCUAGGUAGAGUCACAAAAUUGUUUCCCUCUAAGUUUAAUCUUUCUAGCGAGUAUAAACAUUCAAUUGCAUCAGGAACUUGGCUUAGAUGGCAAAAGCUAAUGUCAACGUCUCGCAAACAAACUAAGCUAUGCAAGGAUGGCAACAAAUAUGUGUGUCUUGUGGGAGCCGAAAACCGUAAGUGGUGAGGUAACAUGAUCCAUUUGAACACAGAGGACAUUGAUCUGGAAUGUGAUGCACUUUCACUUAUAUCAUGCUUCUUCUUCAAAUGCAUUGGAUUUUUAAACACUUUGGAACAUCCAUACAUAUUUAGAUCUUCAAGAGAGCUAAGACUGAAUAUGUUAUUGGGUAUGCUUACUAGAUUUUUGCAUUCAUAUAAAUUCAAGUAAACAAGCUUUCUUAGAAGUCCAAUAGAUGGAUCCAACUCCACAAGGUUUAUACAUCCUUCCAAAUUUAGCUUCUCAAGAUUCGGGAACUCCCCAAAAUCUAGUAUCUUUACUAGUUCUAAGGAGUGUCUUAGAUCCAAAUGUUUCAAAUUGGGCAGAUACUGGGACAUGUAAAACAAACAAAAAUACACCAAUUACUUUGACUAUGAGAUAAUUGUUUCAAUUUUGUUUAUAUUUCUAAGAUAAACAUUAAUAAUAAGAGAAUUUAUAGUACCUUCUUGUUUGUCCAUAGUUGUUCAAUUUUGCUGCUCUUUAAGAUCAAUUCUACAAGUUCAUUGGGGUGAAAAUUUGAUGGCAAAUACUUAAAAGGAUAUUCAUGCCAAUCAACAUAUUUUAAUUUGUUUGAAAAACUCCAUGGACUUCCUGAGAUGCACCCACCGUACUUGAAGAUGAGGAAUCUAAGAUUAUUCAUUUUUGACACGUGUUCAGCGUUCAUAUCUAUCUCUUCAUUCAAAACUAUGGCUUCGACAUGUUUUUGCUAAAGCAUUGCAUUGCAAAAAAUAAAAGAAAAAAGUAAAUUACUCAGUGUUUAUAGUAAUUAUUAUAAAAAUGGAAAUGUUUUUUUUUUUAAAUUUCUAAACAGUUACUUUACCAUAUUCUCCACCAUAACAUUGUAGAGUUGCUUUUUGGACCAGACCCUGCUCCACUUUCUUUGCUCUUUGCUUGAAUUUUCUUGCACAAUUUUUCUGCCUAGCUCUUCCAACAAAGAAUGUAUUUCAAUAUGUGAAUAAUUAGUGUUUAUAAGUGAUUUAUCAUUGAGAACUCUUAAUCCAAUAUCAGCAUGGAAUCCACAACAAUUUAGAAUGUUUUUAACCUCUUCCAUGGGCCAAGAGUUGAAGAAACAAGCAAUAUCAAGAAAUAUUUCUUGUUCCGUCUCCUCUAGCCCAUCAAAACUUAAAUGCAGCACAUUCAUGACAUCUUUAUUUGGACUUUCUCUCAAUCUAGCCAAUGCACUCUUCCAUUCAGUCACAUUACGACCAAACAAAAAUGAGCCCAAUAUUGUAAUUGCUAGGGGUAGACCAUUAGCAUAACUCAAUAUCUCAUCUGCCAAAUUUUGAUAAUUACCCAAUAUAAUGUUCUCAAGUUUGAAAGCUUUUCGACAAAAUAACUUGUGAGAUUCGGCCAUAUUCAAGAGUGGAACUUUGUAAAAUACAUCCACUCCAUACUCCUUCAAUAUAUGCUCAUCUCUAGAAAUGACAACGAUUCUACUACCUGCACCUAACCAUUCGCGAUGCACUGCAAUUUUUUCCAAUUGUUCAACUUCAUUGACAUUAUCAAGAAUCAGAAGGACCUUUUCACGACGUAGCCUACGUCGUAUCAAAUCAGUUGCGUUGUAACGAUUGCUUAUUAGAUGGUGUUCUAUGCCUAGAGUUUGAAAUAGGAUUUGCUUUUGUGCAUUGAGUGGACCAUCAUGUAAACUAUAAAUUUUGGUUACAUCAUCAAUAUAGCAGGAUGCACUAAAUCGAUGAGAUAUUUGGUCAUAUAAAGCCAUAGCAAGGGUUGUCUUCCCUAUUCCUCCCAUUCCAGAAAUUCCUAUAGCACAAACACAAUCAACCGAGUCCAAAAGCAAAUGAUUUUUUAAUGCUUCUAUAGGAGAAUCAAUCCCAACUAAAUCUUUUGAAAUAUAUGAAGAUUUGCACUCCAAUAUACUCAUUAUCUUUUGAACAAUCUUUUUAAUCACUCCAGCUUGUGGCCUGAAAUUAGUUCAAAAAGUUGUUCAAUAACAUUCGUUACAUACAAAAACCAAAAAGAAAAAUUAGUUUGAACUCCAAAUAUUUAUUCUAGAGGCAAACAAAAAAUAGGCAUUCUUUUUGUUUCUAUCCUGGACUCGUCCGACAUCUCUUAACCUUAUAUUCUCUACAAAAAAGAAAGAAAACUACAAAUUACUUACUUAUCACGUAGAUCCCAACCAGAGAUACUCCCCACAUGUUUUAGAGCUUCCCUCCAUCUUGACACCAUCUCAAAGUCUUGUUGGAAUCUUUGUUCAUGUUUGACAAAGGCUUCACAAUAAAUCCCACUUUGCUUUCGAACCACAGAAGGAUCAACAUCAUAAAAAACAGGAAGAAUAUGUUUUCUGGAUCUCUGAACGCAUUUACAUAUCUUCUCUAAUUCUUGCAGGCACCAUGUUGAGGAAGCAUAGUUCCUUGAGAAGACUGCAACAAAAACCCGAGAUCCUUCGAUUGCUCGAAGGAGCUCAGGUUCUAUAGAUUCACCCUUUUGAAGAUUAGUGUCAUCCCGAAAUGCAAAAAUGCCUUUUGUUUCAAGGGCAUCAAAAAGAAAAUCAGUAAAGUUGUUGCGAGUGUCUUCACCUCUGAAGGUGACAAACACAUCAUAAUAGUUGUUUCUUGAAGAAGUCACAAGAGCUAAAGAAGAAUUGUUGCUGCUAGCCAUCUGAUUAAGCUGAAAUUUUAGAGGAUUGGAUAUGGCAACUAUUAUGAAGGAACUUAAAAAAAAAAAGCAUAUAUCAAUGUUAUAAAUGAACUUAAAAAAUGCAUUAUAUAAAUAUUAUGAACGAACAAGUUUAUAAGCGUUGAUUUCGUGGCACCUUCUUACCAAUAAUUGAUUGGUUUAUCUAAAUCAAUUACGCGUUGAAAUUUCAACGAUUUCGUGGCACCUUCCUUGUUAAAAAAUGGAUAUAUAUAAAAAAUAAAUAAAAAAAAAGCGUUGACAACUUUAAUUCCUCAAAAUAAAAAAAAUAAAAGAAGCGUUAUUAAGCGUUGACAACUUUCCCUAAAAAAAAAAAAAACAUUGACAUAUAAAUUAAAUUACACUCCCCUCCUUUGAAAGAUGUUUGAAUUAAACUCUCUUUCUCUCUUAUAUUAAAAUAUACACUACACUCUCCUCUCAUGCUAAAUAUAUUAGAAAUUAUUUCCCUCUCCACCUCUAAAAGAAGCUUGAAUUACAUUCCCCACCCCUCUUAUAUUAAAAUUUACAAUUUCCUCACAUAAUAAGUUCUUUAAUAUUUCUAGUAAUUUAUCAAAAACAUAUCGAACAUACUCCGAAGAAACUAAGUCUACUUUAAUAUAAUCAAAAUUCAUAUUCAUAUUUUUCUCUAUUUUUUAUUCACAAUUUCAUUAGCAUCAAGUUUUAAACUCUAUUAUAAAUUUUAAAAUAUAAAACAACACAAAGUAAAAUUAAAAUGAGUGAAAAAUUACUAAAGCCAAUAAAAUAUGAUUAUUUAAAAAUGAAUUUUAUAUUGUUAAAAAAUUAAUAACAAAAUAUUUAAAUUUAAUCAUCAUUGACAUUUAAAUUACAAAUAAAUAAUUUUUUUCUUAAAUGGUGUUUUAAAAUUAGUAGAGAUUGUAAAAAUAUUUAUUUAUGUUAAAAGAGAAUAAAUUAUAGUGCAUAUUAAAGGGAUGUGGUUGUAAUUCAAGCAUUUCAUGGGAGAGGGGAGCAUAAGUUUUAUGUUUCAAGCGAUGGGAGUGUAUAUAUUAAGUUAAGAGGAUAGGAGAAUAUAAUUCAAAUUUCUUUUAAAGGAAGGGGGUGUAAUUUGCAUUAAUAUAUAAAACUUUAAAUGUGAUGCAUUUAUAUAUUUUAUAGUUUUGGUCCCUAAAAAAAUCACAUUUUUUCGCCCGCGUAAAACUUUCCAUUAGCAUUUAGGGACACUAGCUAACUACAUUUAAUUAACGGAAGGUGAAAUUGUGAGAGUUAACUUAAAAUCAGGUUUCUGCAGAAUCGUGGCACGACGGCUGGGCUUCGUGGCACGAUGGAGGUUUUAGUUUUUUGGGCAAGGCACUGGAAAAAUCGUGGCACGAUGGGGUCGCAUCGUGGCACGAUGGUGCGCUGGCGGAUAAAAAUAAAACAUAUUUUUGGGAGCAGAUUUGUUACAUUUUUUGUUACAGAUUUGUUACAAAUUUUAGGCAGAUUUGUUAUAGAUUUUAAGCAGGACUUUUACUAUAAAUAUAGACCUUGUAUCAAAGCAGAGAGAGAGAAAGAGAGUGGAGAAACACUAUUAGGAUUGGAGUCUCUUGGUUACGGGAAGAGAUUGGGACUUUGGGUAGAAUUAGGCGGGAGACUAUUCUUGUAACCCAUUGAUUUCUCUUUGUAACGUUACUCAUCAAAUAGUGGAUCGGAGGGCUGCUCUCUCCCCCAGACUAGGUCAGAUUGGACCGAACUGGGUCAACAAAUUUCUUUGUGUUCUUCUUCUUCUUUUGUUCUUCUCGCCGUUGUUUUCUACUUUUGGCUUGUAUUUAAUUGUUCCAUACGCUUUGAUUUUGGUUGCUUAAUUAUCCCUUGCUCCACACAUCAAGUUGUUAUUGGUGUGAUUUUCAUCGAAUUCACAACAAUUGGCGCCCACCGUGGGGCAAGGGUCGAAGGAUAAUUAAGUACCAUGGGUUCAAAGUGGGAUAUCGAGAAGUUUACCGGAGAUAACGAUUUCGGGUUAUGGAAGGUAAAGAUGGAAGCGGUGUUAAUACAGCAGAAGUGUGAGAAAGCUUUGAAGGGUGAAGUUCGUUACCGGUCACCAUGUCACGAGCGGAGAAGACCGAGAUGGUGGACAAGGCCAGGAGUGUCGUUGUCUUGUGCCUCGGGGAUAAAGUUUUGAGAGAAGUAGCAAAGGAAGCAACCGCAGCAUCGAUAUGGGCAAAGUUGGAAUCUUUGUAUAUGACAAAGUCUUUGGCUCAUCGGCAAUUCCUAAAGCAACAACUCUACUCAUUCAGGAUGGUAGAGUCAAAGGCCAUCAUGGAGCAACUUACGGAGUUCAACAAAAUCCUAGAUGACUUGGAGAAUAUUGAGGUGCAACUUGAGGACGAGGAUAAAGCUAUACUCUUGUUGUGUGCUCUACCGAAAUCUUUUGAAUCGUUCAAAGAUACCAUGCUCUAUGGCAAGGAAGGCACUGUUACCUUGGAAGAAGUUCAAGCGGCUUUGAGAACCAAGGAGUUGACCAAGUCCAAGGACUUGACUCGUGAAUACGGUGAGGGCCUAAGUGUUACAAGAGGGAAUGGUGGAGGUAGAGGUAACCGGAGAAAGAGUGGAAACAAGUCAAUGUUUGAAUGCUUUAACUGUCACAAGAUGGGUCACUUCAAGAAGGAUUGUCCGGAGAUUAAUGGUAAUUCCGCACAAAUUGUCUCUGAGGGUUAUGAGGAUACGGGUGCUCUGAUGGUGUGGUGUUGUUUGGAGGAAGAAGAAGGUGAUGUGUCUCACCUUGGGAUUGAUGCCUAGUGGAGUGGUGGUCGUCUGGAGAGACGUUAAACACUCAACAUCAGCCUGGAGAGGCGGUGGUAAGAAUACUCAUGAUCUACCUGUUGAGGUGGAGUUUCAAGGUUGAAGACAUAGUGGGAUGUACGCAUUUGCUAGUUGAGGUAGAGUACGCUCAGCGUGAGGUGGAGUUGAACACACCGGUAAUGGUACGACUAUGAAGACCUUGGGUGCUAGGCUCUAUGGUGAGCAAGGGAUUUCUUCAUGAAGUUGGAGAAUGUGUAGCACGGCUUGCGAGAUUACUCUAAAAGAAUGCCAAGGGUGAUUGGAUGCAAGGUGAUCUUCAAGGAAGCAGGAGAUGUUCUGCGUUGAAGAUGGUAUGGUGAAUGCUUGUGGGACUACCUAAAACUCCUAGUGUAGUUGGACUGCAAGGACCUUCGAGAAGGCGGAAGAUAUUCCGAGGGCUGAAGGGGUUGAGGUGUAUACUUGUGGAUUACUCUAAAAGCCAAGGGUGAUUGGGUACAAGUAGAUCUUCAAGGAAAGCGGGAGAUAUCUCGUAUUGAAGAGGUUAUGGUAUAGUCUUGUAGAACUACCUGAAAUUCCUAGCGUAGUUGGACUACAAGCAUCUUCGAGAAGGCGGAAGACAUUCCGAUGGCUGAAGAGGUUGAGGGUGUAAACUUGUGGAGCUACUUGGAGUAGUGGGAAGCAAGGGUUUGAGCAGCAAGGAGGUUGAUGAUCGGCAUCAUCACUGAUUUGAAGUCAAGGUGGAGAAUUGUGAGAGUUAACUUAAAAUCAGGUUUCUGCAGAAUCGUGGCACGACGGCUGGGCUUCGUGGCACGAUGGAGGUUUUAGUUUUUUGGGCAAGGCACUGGAAAAAUCGUGGCACGAUGGGGUCGCAUCGUGGCACGAUGGUGCGCUGGCGGAUAAAAAUAAAACAUAUUUUUGGGAGCAGAUUUGUUACAGUUUUUGUUACAGAUUUGUUACAAAUUUUAGGCAGAUUUGUUAUAGAUUUUAAGCAGGACUUUUACUAUAAAUAUAGACCUUGUAUCAAAGCAGAGAGAGAGAAAGAGAGUGGAGAAACACUAUUAGGAUUGGAGUCUCUUGGUUACGGGAAGAGAUUGGGACUUUGGGUAGAAUUAGGCGGGAGACUAUUCUUGUAACCCAUUGAUUUCUCUUUGUAACGUUACUCAUCAAAUAGUGGAUCGGAGGGCUGCUUUCUCCCCCAGACUAGGUCAGAUUGGACCGAACUGGGUCAACAAAUUUCUUUGUGUUCUUCUUCUUCUUUUGUUCUUCUCGCCGUUGUUUUCUACUUUUGGCUUGUAUUUAAUUGUUCCAUACGCUUUGAUUUUGGUUGCUUAAUUAUCCCUUGCUCCACACAUCAAGUUGUUAUUGGUGUGAUUUUCAUCGAAUUCACAACAGAAAUCACAAUUAAACCACUAAUUCAUCUUGAAUAAUUUGAGGUUAAGUUUUGCUUACAUCAAAACCGAGCUCUAAAAAAUUAAUAAAUACACCUUAAAGUAUAUGUUGCUAUAACACAUCUUCUAGAAAAAGCAAGUGGAGGCUCCGCUAGGGUUUCAACCUUCUAGCAUGAGUGUGGCUUUCUUCAAUAGGAUUACACAAUAACAGUUCACCGUUCAAUUGCAUGUUAAUUUGUGUAAUUGCUUUUUGGUCAAUUGCUUUCAAUUAAGUUUCGUGAGUUAGUUUCUCUCAAUUAAAGCUUCUGAUUCCACCGAUCAGUGCAAUUUGGUUGGUGGGAUUAAUCAAUCAAUUGGUCCAUGGGUUGAAAUUGAAGUUAAUCUUCACGCAAAAAUCUUUUGAGCUACCGAAAAGUUUUCAUCAAUUAUCCAUAUGCUGGUUGUUGCUUUCUGCGCAUCAACUGUUUGUGGAAUUGCCUCUGCUUUGCAUAUCUACGCAAGCAGCCCCCAUGGCCUAUGAGUGCCAAUGGCCAUGUGUGUUGAAGCUGCACUUACGUCAGCUAUGGUGAACCAAUCUGUUCCAGCAAUAACUGAAAAACCUGUUUCACCACCAACAAUGUCCUUUGCAGCAGCUCUUGCGAGGAAGACGGUAAUUGAUGACAAACCCUUCACUUCUCCAUGCAUUAAAGGUGAUGCGUUGAGCAUCAAAAUAUGUCAGGAGGAAUACCGUAAGGGAGUAGAAGAUUGUCAGAAGGUGUUAAGGGCUCGGUUGGCUCUUAACAAAGGAGACAAACCUUAUUUUGCACGUGAUCUUAGUAUUAAAAUUGAUAAGACUUGGAAGACAAAGGCAGGAUGGAAAAUGGUGCCUCUUGGCAAGGGUUAUUAUGACUUUCAUUUUGACUCGGCGGAGGAUUUAAAGAAAAUAUGGGCAGCAGACACGAUAAAUCUCAAGCCUGGUUUGUUGAGAUUUUCACAAUGGACUAAAGACUUUAAAUUUCAGGCGCAGAAACAGACUCAUGUCUCAAUUUGGAUACGUUUGGUGGAGUUACCACAAGAGUAUUGGCGGGAGAGAACCUUGAAGGAAAUUGCAAGUGCCGUUGGUACGCCUAUUGAUAUUGAUGGACCAACUAGAAAUCGUACCUUUGGUCAUUAUGCUCGCAUUUUGGUGGACAUUGACUUAUCGAAGAAAGCAUAUGAUGAGGUUCUUGUGGAACGUGAUGGUUUUGCGUUCAUGGUGGAAAUACAAUACGAGCGGAGACCUUUGUUUUGCCAUCAUUGCUACUCCAUUGGUCAUAACAUCACUACUUGUAGAUGGAUAAAUCCGCAAGCCGCCAAAGAGAAAGAGAAGGUGAAUCGUGGGAAACAAUCAGUAAAAGAACCUGUUGUUGCGCCCCCUAAAGCACCACAUGGGGGUGCAUCUACUUUGGCCGUUGGAGAGAAUGGCUCAUGGAUCCCGAUUGCUGUUAAUUCUACAGUUACCACAACUUCCAGGACGACGGUCCAAGCUCCUCAGACAACACAGGCUGCAUCAAUUCUGGUAUGCACACUUACUCAAUCAAUUCCGGUUUCAUUACCUGCAGUGCCGGUUUCAGACAUAUCAUCAAACUCGUUCAGUUUGCCGCUUCAUAAUGUUUUUGACUGUAUUGAACGUCUUUCGACUGAUGAUUUAGCUAUAAAUAUGCCUGUGUUGGAGAAGGUUGUUUCCUCUGUAGCGCACGAUGACGUGCAACCCGUAGAAGUGGGAAGGUCUCAUCAGACAUCACGGGAGGUGUUGGAGAACCACACGGUGUCUGAACCGCUUCAGGAUGGUGUGAAACAUGAUCAUGUGAGCCCAACGGAGGUGGUGGAGAGUCCCAAGGGUGCUCGUGAGAGUGUUGCAUGAUCAUCCCCUGUUGAGCAUGUAGACAUGCAUGAGGUGUCUGCCGAUUACCAAGAACACCACGAUAUUUCUCUCAUUGCUCCUCCAGUUGUUACAUCUGAGAAUUCUGACGGGUUGCUAGAUGGUACAGAUGAGGUUCUUGCUGGUUCACAAGCAAUGAAAACACCUAUGGUCACUGAAGCAUCAAGUGUAGUUGAUGAGGGGUAUGCUCUCGGCAAAGGAACAUAUUGUGGUCAUUUUGCAAAGACAAGAGGUUCAUCCUAGCAAGAAUAUCCAGCAUGGUUUAGAUUUGUGGGAAAGAGUACGUGAAUAUGAUGCAAGAUCAGCAGCUGAAGCACCUGAUGGCUUCAUGCCUGUUCUUACACGAAAUCAGAAACAAAAACUUAAGGUACAACACGUUUUAUCCAAGCAGCCUUCCAAAUCCCGUGCACGGGGUGACACUAACCCGCAUGCCCAAUGAAUUUUCCUUACAUUUAUUACGGAGCCAAAGAUUAAUUUUGUUAAUAUUCCUGCUUGGUAUUGGCCGAAAAUUGGUGUUUCUAAACAUUGCAUUAAUAAUAGAGGAUUCUUAUUGCCUACUCUCUGGGCUCUUUGUCAAUAGUUGGUGAGAUUUGGGUUGACACUCUUCCAGAUGAGGUGAAGAUUGAUUUUUAUAGGGACAAUUGUGGGUUACCCAAUUAUAGAUUCCCUUAAUCUACUUUUGGGUUGUUUAUUUGUAUUUUUCUGUUUCUUUUUCUGUUUUCUGCUUCUUCUUUUUUGUGGGUUUUGGUAUAGUCCCCCACCUUUUUGUAUGUGACUUUCCCCCCUUUUUUUAAUAAAUUUUUCGAGUUUGACAGCAUAGGAUAUGGAGGUAUCUCGGGAUGCCAACCUAGUUGAGAUGUCGAUGAUGACUCUUGAUGUCUGUCCUCUCUCAUUCAUAUUCCAUUAAUGUGGUUAUUGUUAACUGAUGCUAUUGUAAGUGAAUCAUGAUUUGGGUAUACUUAAUUGUGGAUUGAUGAUGAGAAAUAAAUUGUUGUUGUUGGUUUGGUGAAGUUGAGUUAAGUGGUUCAUGUGAGGGACCAAAAUGAAUUUUGUUCACAUGAGGUUGUUGACUGAAUUUUUGAUGUUGUUGGAUAAAUUGAACCUAUAAGAAUUUCUGUUUUCAUGUUGUGGUUGUGUUAGUUGAGUCGUUUGGGAGAAAACGGGUUUUUCGUGUGAAAUGUCGAUGUUUAAGCAUUUUCGCCAAUAAGUGCUUAUGUGAGGUUUUGGAAAAUGACUUUUGGGAUGGUUGAAACAUGAAAUUUUUAUAGAUUAUGUUAGAGUCAAGUGUCAGGAUCGUGUAGGUGAAAACGGCAUCAAAAUCCGAUUAACGGUUUGCAUUUUAUGCGCGAAAUGGUGAAAAACACACUUUUUGGAAAAGCUGUAAGUGAUCAGGCCAGAAGCACACUUCAGAAGCAAACUUCAGAAGCACACUUCAGAAGCACCCUUCAGAAGCACUCUUCAGAAGCACCCUUCAGAAGCGUACUUCAGAAGCAGGCCAGAAGCUUCUUAAGAAGCAACCGUGCCCAGUUCCAGCACCCCUGUUUUGCGUUCUUGCAUCUUUUUCACCUAUUUAUAUUUCGAAUUGGCCUUUCGUGUAAACAUGAAAGUUUUAGAUAAUUUUGUUAGCUUUCUAAUGGCGUUGGUUUCAGGUCCAAAUGAUUUUUAAAACUUGAGUUAUGAUCAAAUUACUACACAUGGGUCAUGUGGAUUUUUGUGAAAACUUAUCGUAACUUUUUCUUUAAGCCGUGAAACUUUUCCAAACUUGAUAAUGGGUUAAUGAGGUACUUAAAGUGAAUAAUUGAGUAUGCAUUUAUGUAUUUUGAGAAUGUGAAUGUGUUGAUGGUUCAAGAAAUAUUUUGGGCGGGGUUGAAUCGGUGAAAACGGGUUUUGAGCUAAAAUGUCGUUUUGUCUUGGAUUUUUCUCAUAUGAACUUAAGCUAUCCUUUGAACUAAUUUCUAAUAGUUUGUAAGUGGCUUAAGUCCUUGACUACAUGAUUGAUUAAGGUUGAAUUGUAGGAUUUCAAACUUAAAUAAGUUACCUAGCUUUAAAAAUUAUCAAUGUUAGCCGUUUGCCACAUGAUUUGGAUUUUUGUCGGAAAUGUUUCUUUAGCAAAUUGUCUUGUGAGUUAUUGAGAUUAUUCUUGUAUGACUAAGUGAAGUUGUAUGAAUGAAUGAUUGUAUUGAAUAUGAUGUUUAUCAUGAGAUGUGUAUGCUAUCUUACUUAGAAUGUAAGGAAUGCUUGAAUAGUGAAACUAUAUGUGAUAGUUGAUGUUAAUGGUUAUAUGUUGAAUAUGAUAUUUAUCAUGAGAUGUUUUUUUUCCCUAUUACUUGGAAUAUGAGAAUGGUUGAAAUGGUGAAACUAUAUGAUAUAGUUGAUGUUGCAUGACAUGGUUGAUUAUUGAUAAUCAUGUGGAUGUGUGAUGGUGAAUACUAUGAUUUAUUUGUGUGGGCAUGUUUUCUUGAUAAUGCAAUGUUGUGGAGAUAAUCAAUAUAAUUGGGUGUUGUCCUAUAUAUUGAGGUUGAGAUUGUGAAUUGUUGUCGCAUUAUCGAGUCCUUAUACAUGUCCAUGCAUCAUAGUCGAUGUUGCUGUAAAAGGGUUGAGCUCUUUUACUUCGAGAUUAUUGUAAGGCAGAGGUGAGCCUUACAUGCGAUGUUGACUUGUCCAUCGAAGGUGACGACCUUGUUGAGAUUUGGUACCACAUGCAUUUAUGUGUCAAUAAGUGCAUAUCAUAACAUGAGUCUUAUGUGAAAUAUGUGAUUGGUGAUGAAAUGAGAUGAAUGAUUAUUGAUGAUGUUAUGAUUGAUGAUUGUGAAUGAAUAUUUGUGAAUUGAUAUUUGUUUCUGAUACAUGUGAUUGGUAAUUGUUCAUAUGAAAUAUGAUUAAUGAUUGUUCAUGGCUUAUGAUUGGUGAUUGUUCAUGAUGUAAAUGAUUGGUGAUUGUGUAUGAAUAACUGUGAAUUGAUAUUUGUUCAUGACACACGUGAUUGGUGAUUAUUGAUGUGAGAUAUUGGGGUUUGAUGUAAGUAUUGAUGUGGGAAUAUUAUUAUUGAUCAAGUGCAUAAUGUUUAAAUUGAAAUAUCCAUGUUAACUGCUAUUUGGUUUAUGAUAAUGUAAUACUUACCCCCAGUGGAUCUGUUAUGGACCGCCUGCCUAUCUGUAUGGAUGGGUAGACGUUGUGCAGGUUUAGUUGCUUGGUGAGUUCUUGUGCUUGGUGGAUAUCGGGAGCUUUCUCCGAUGUCGGUGUUUAGAUGUUUAGUCGGCUCUGAUCUAGGCUUAGUUGUGUCGGUCUAGAUUAUCCUUUACUUUGGUUUUUGUUAUGUUUGGAGAUGACCCGUUUGUUGGGAUUUUGAGAUGCACCUAUGUUGAUGUAAUUUAUUUAUUCAUAACAUGUAUAUUUGAAUUUACUCUGGUUUAUAUUCCGCUGCGACUGUUGAGGUUUAUAUACAUGUUUAUUGAUUUUUGAGUUUUGAAUGUGGCGUAGCCUCUAUUUCUUGAAUAAAUGUAUUAUUCGCAUGUUUAAUUGCUUAAAUAGAAGUAGGGUGUUACAUAUAUCGCUCUUAGACCUGAAACCACUAUGAUCCCUAGAUGUGGACUCAAGUACUUUGUUUCCAUUCUAACGUUGUCUGUAAAAGGAUAACCAUAACGUUGGUUGAUGGGUACUUGAUGAAUCAUGCUGAGGGACAUGAGUGUCCUAGAUGGGAUUUGUCCCUCCUCAUAAACAGGAGAUAUAUCUUUAGGCCUCUUGAUGAAAUAUGACUGUAAAAUUGCAUGGCCAUGCCGAACUAAGUCAAUAUGAGAUAUUGGACUUAUUCGUUAUUCAGUAUAUUUCGGAAUCAAGAAAUAUAAACAUUGAUCUAUACAAGGGUGACAAUAUCUAUGCAUUGGGAUCAAUAAAGAUAUCGAGACAAAGGAGUAAUUGUACACAAAAUUAUUAUCAUGGAAAAUGUUUCGUCAGAUCACUUGACAUUUUUGUCACUUGGGUAGCAAUGAUGUGUUGCUAGAUACCGCUCAUUAUUUAUAGUAAUAAAUAUUAGAUUUAAUAUUAUUACCAACGUGACUAGAACCUACAGGGUCACACACAAAGAACAGUCAAAAGAGAAAUAUAUAAGCAUGACUUAUAUAAGGGUGCGUUUAGUAAAUAACGCUAAUUAGUUAGCAGAAUUACUAAACAUGUUAUUGGGCUUACUGAAGCCCCAUAGUGGCUUCUGACUUGCAGAGCACACAAGAAGUUCUAUAAAUAGAACCCUAUUGCUGAAGUUUGAGGUUGCACGUUUUUGAGAAACCUUAGCUCUCUGAAACUUCUGAUUCCUUGGCUAGCACCGAGUUUUGGAGGAGCACUGUUCGUUUGGGUUUGCUAGAGGCUUUGUUACUUGCUUUGUUGUGAUCGUGAUUCCAGUUUCCAGUUUUCAGCUUUCAGAUUCCACACUUCGAGGUAACAAUCAGAUCACUGAUUCAUGUGUAAUUCGUAAUGAUCCAAGGAAAGAAAAUCGAAAAUUUUUAUCCGCUGCUUAUUCUGUUUUGAAUUCGAUUUUCCUUCAGUGGUAAGGUUUUGACACAAUUGUUAUUUUUACCUUCUGGUACUGUAGUUGAAAAAUUGAUGCAUGUGGGUUAUUUUAGUUUUUGUGAGUAAUCCUAAAGCUGUAACAGUUUUCAUAUUUGGUUAAUUUUUUUCUAUAUCAUUGAUCAUUGAAAAAUUGGUGAAAUUUUUUUUUGGUCACAUCAUUGAGGUCAAGAAAGUUGAUGAUGCAAAAUUUUGUGCAUUUAAGUUCACGUUGAUUUCAUGAUACAAAAAUUGAUUACAUAGAAAUAUGUUAGAUUCUUUCGAUAUGAGAAUGGACAAAGGGAAUAAAAUUAAAUGAUGUAAUAUUGUAUUUCCAUAUAGGGCUUUCAAUGUCAAAGGAUUAUGACUACAUUAAGAUCUCAAAAAUGAUUUGGACAUUUGAAAAAUAGGAUUUUGAGUGGUGGAUUCUUGGAUUGUGACUGGUAGUAAUGAGAAUCAAAGGACUUCAAAUCUUAUUUUCCAAAUGUCAAAAUCAUAUUUGUUUUAUUUGUUUUUGUAUUUCUAUUUUUAUGUGUGGAUUCUUGGAUUGGACAUUAAGGUUGUUUUUGCUUCUGGUACAAAGGUGUAGAAGUAUGACAAGUUAACUGACAUUGUUACUCAUGAAUAUCACUUUAAGUUAUUUAAGGAAAUUCAAGAUGGAAAGUUCAAAACUGGCGUUUUAUAUUGUAUAGUUAUGUGCUUUAAUUUAUUUACGUGUUUUCUCCGAUUAUAAUGUUCUUAUAGAUGUAAUUUUUUUCAAGAAAUCAUUGUGGUUCUUCAUUAGAUUGUCAUUUAUGAACGACAACAAUUUCUUAAGAAAAUGCAGCUAUUUCCCUUAAUUUGUUCAUUUCUCCUUUAUAACAAAGAUUUUUCUAUUUUAAUCCCUAAAAAAAACAAAGCUUUUUUAUUUUUAUUUUUAUUUUUAAAAUGCAGUAAAAGUGGUUUAUUUAGAAUAUUCGAGUUUGUGCAAUAUUCAUUAAUUUGCACUUUUUUUUUGAACAAAUUUUUUACAAGAUACGUUAUUCAACCCGUGCGAAGCACGGGUUUGUAACUAGUUUUAGUAAAAAACUAGUGGUUGUAAUUUGCUAACUUGCACGCGAGUGUAAGUUAUCAGCCCCAUAAAUAAAUAAAUAUAUAUAUACCCGUUUGCAAAUAUGGGUACGCCAAGGGCACAUUUUUGGAGGUUCCCCUCCUUUAUAUAAACACUUGUUAGAAGAUAUGUCUAUAUAAUGUGGAACAUUUUUCAAUUUAUACCAACACUAGUUCUUUCUUAAAGGACAACACUAAUUUUUUUCCUAAGGGACAUGUGUUUAUUCUUGCCAACUUCCACUCAAACUCACUGGUUGCAACAAAAAUCAAUUUGUUUAUUGGUCUUAUCUCAUUCUAUUGAGAAAAAGUUAUUUCCUAAAAAAAAUUAACGAUAUAUCCCUAAAAAUAAAAUAAAAAAUUAACGAUAUAUGUUUUAGACUAGCAUGCUAAUGCAUGUCAUCAUAACUUUAAUACAUGCACAACAUACUUAAUUUUUAAAAAAACUAGUUACAAAUCCGUGCUUCGCACGAGUUGAAUAACAUAUUUUUUAAAAAAUUUAAUUUCGAAGAAGAAAUCUUAUAAAUUACGGAAAAUUAUUGUCAUUUAUAAAUGUGAAAAUUAAAGUUGCGUAAAUCAAAAUUUUGCAACACAGAGCCUAAAACACAACAUAAAAAAUAACAUAUCAAUUAUUGUAAUCUCUUAUUCCUUAAAGUUAACUCAAUCGCAAAAUUUUGCCCUAUAUUUAACCUAACUUCUUUGCUUAGUUUUGGUUAGUUUUAAUGAAAUGUUAACGUUAAUUGUUAGGGAAAUCAAAAUAAAUAAAUCGCUCAUAAUUUUUCUCCUUAAUUUUACUAAACAAAUUAUAUUAACCCUAGAUUUAAUUUAUGCAAAAUGUCAUCUCUUAUUUAUAAACGUUAACCCGCGUGAAAUAUUAACCCUAGAUUUAACUAAUUUUUUCGUGUGACUUUACUAUAUUAACCCUAGAUUUAAUUGAUGCAAAAUGUCAUCUCUUAUUUCUUAAUGUUAACUCGUGACGCAAUAUUAACCCUAGAUGACCUAUUUUUGCGUGACUUUACUAUAUUAACCCUAGGUUUAAUUUAUGCAAAAUGUCAUAUCUAAUUUUAACCUAAUUUUUCCAUCCACAUUUUUGCAUUUAUUGUUUAUCUAAAGUAAAAUAAAAUUAUGUUCCCAAUUAUAUGUUGGUUUUUUGGAAAGUAAUAACUGUUAACUUGUCUCGCUAUACUUAACCUAAUCUCUUACUUAUAAAUGUUAACCCGUCUUGCUAGACUUAACCUAUUUUAUUUCUUAAAGUUAACCCGAACGCAAAAUUUUGCCCUAGAUUUAACCUAACUUCUUUGCUUAAUUUUACUGUAUUGACCCUAUUUAAUUAACUCUGUUUAAUUUAAUCAAAAUGUUAACGUUAAUUGUUAGGGAAAUCAAAAUAAACAAAUCACUCCUAAUUUUUCUCUUUAAUUUUACUAAACAAAUUAUAUUAACCCUAGAUUUAAUUUAUGUAAAAUGACAUCUCUUAUUUGUAAAUGUUAACCCGUGACGCAAUAUUAACCCUAGAUUUAACCUAUUUUUUCGUGUGACUUUACUAUAUUAACCCUAGAUUUAAUUUAUGCAAAAUGUCAGCUCUAAUUUUAACCUAAUUUUUCCCUCCACACUUUUACAUUUAAUGUUUAUCUAAGGUAAAAUAAUAACCUUAGAUAAUCACGGCAUAAAAAAAAAAAAAAAUCUUCAAAAGAAAAGAUGUUAAAACGACAGAACAUUGUGAUUCAUCAUAAAAUAUGUAUGGGCUGAUUUAGAGAUCAUAUAAUCAGUUUAUGAGAUUAGGAAUUGACAUAAUAUUUAGGAUGAAAACAAUUAGAACCAAAAAGGAACCAAUGAUGUGUUAAUUAUGAUUACAUGUUAUCCAAAAUUAUAAAAAAGAGUGUUGUUGUUGUAGAGUUACCAAAAAAGGAUUGAUACCCAUAUUUAUAUCAGAUGAAAUCAAGCAAAGAAGUAGCAUCGGUGAGUGAAGAUAAUCUUGUCUAGGAUUAAAGUUAAGGUGAUUUGUUGAAAGUGCGGAUCAUGAACACCAAAUCUUUAUUUGGGAACGACUUGAACGUGCAUAUUUUUAGGUGGCUUCUCUAGAUCAAAAAUUAGCUUAUCACCUACCUCUAACAUAUGUUCUCGGCAAAAGUUGAACCAUUGACCGCCUAAAUAUUUUUCGUAACUUGCUCUUUUUGCCGUUAUCAAGCGACAUUUAUACCUUUUUUGAGUUUGUUUGUCGAUGAGUGUGAUUUUUUCCCUGUUCCUAUUAGAAAUGUCAUUGAUAUCUCAUUUGGGAAGUGUUAGGUACAAAACAAAUUGCAGUGUUAAUUAGAUGUUCUAUAUAUAAGUACAUUUCUAAAACAUACCAAAACAUUAUAAAGAUUUGCUGUAGGAAAAGAACAUGUUCAAUUUUGUUCAAGAGAUUAGGAAAAACAACGUUAUAAUUAACUUGAUACUAAUUGGAAUCAAUGAAGGAACCAACAAUGUGCAUAUUAACGUUACAUAAUAGUUAGGUUAAUAAAAAAGGCUGCAAGUGUCAUUGACUAACCAAAAAGGGAUUUUUGCCAAUAUUUACAUCAGACAAAAUGAAAAGAACAAAUGACAUCCCAAACUCAAGAUAGUUUAUGAUUACAGUCCAAAGCGAUGCGUCAAAAUAGUAGAAGUUCAAAUAGUUCAGCAACAAAGAUCUACUUUGGAACAACUCGAACAUGCAAGUUCUUCGGUGACUUCUCGAGAUCAAAGAUGAACUUACCACCUUCUUCCAUCACACGUUCUUUGCAGAAAUUGAACCACUGCCCACCCAAGUAUUUUUCAUAGCUUUCUCAUUCGACGAUAAUGAGGCGACACUUAUAUUUUCUAUGUGUCUGGUCAUCAAUGAGAGUGAUUGUUUUGCGCUUUCCUUUUAUAAUUGUUCUUGACACCUCGUUUGGGAAAUGCGAAACAGAGAAAUAACAACAAUAUUAGUCUAAUGCAUAUUAACAUGGAUAAGACGUAUGCAGAUAUAGUUACAUAUAAUUUAUAAAAUAAAGGUAGCAUAACUGAUUUUAAGCUAAAGAAAAUGUAUCAUGACUUCUAAUUUAUCUUCCUAUUAUCUUCCUAAAAAGGCUAGAUAAAUGCAUUCAUGUGCAUUAUAUGAACCCCGUUGACCAAUUAACAUUGUUGAAACAAAUGGAAAUUAAGCAUCGCUUCCACAUUUGCAUCUAUAGCUAGCACCAUUUGACAUUGAUGUCUUCGAACAUUUGGUGCAACUCUCAUAAUAUCAUCCCAACUGGUUAGGAUUCAAUUUAGUUGCUUUCCAAAUAGUGAUGCAAUAUAUAUCCUAACACAAAUUAUGCACAUGAAAUAAAGAAUAAUGCAAUAUGUAUUUUUAAUUUGUGCCUAAAAAAAUUCAAAGCAUGUUUGUGCAUAAAAAAAGCAGACCUUGACUAAGUUUAUAAAUUCAACAACUGGCCUAACAUUAGACAGAUUGAAAAAAUCAUUGUACGAAAUACAUUGAGAAGAAGCCGAAUGAAACACCCUAUUUCUAUUAAAACAAUAAAACAUGCGAAUAAUAAAUUUAUUCAAGAAAAAAUGCUACGUCAUCAUACAAAAUUCAAUAUUCAACAUGCAUGCAUAAAAAUCUCAACAGUCGCAGCGGAUAUAAACCAGAAUACAUCGAAGCAUACAUGUCAUGAAUCAAAUAAUACAUCAACAUAAAUGAAUCUCCAAAUCCCAACCAUGGAUAAAUCUCCAACAUGAAUAAAUAAUCCAAACAAAAGAUAAUCUAGACAAACACAACAAACGCCUAGAUCAGAGUCAUCCUAGACUCUACAAACACCGAUACCGGAGAUAGCUCCCAAUAUCCACCAAGCCACAAGAACUCACUAGAGCAACUAAUCCUACACAGCGUUUACCCAUCCAUACAGACAUGUAGGCGGUCAAAACCACUGGGGUAAGUAUUACAUCAUCAUAAUCCACACAACAGUUAACAUGAAUAAUUUAAUUCAAAUUUCAUAUACUUAAUCAAUGAUGUUAAUAAUACAUGAUAACAAUUCCAAGUAUCACAACCAAUCACCCACAAUCACAAGCAUGUCAUAAUACAAAUCUAAAUAUCACAACCAAUCACCCACAAUCACAAGUAUGCCAUAAUAAUCAUACAUGAUAACAAAUCUAAAUAUCACAAUCAAUCACUCACAACCACAAAUAUGUCAAUCAUUCCACAAUCGGGACUCAUGCAACAAUGAUAUGUCCCUAAUCAUGACACAUAAAUGCAUUUGGUACCGAAUCACCUCAAGGUCGUCACCUUCGAUGCAACAAAAACAUCGUAUGUAAGAUUUCACACCCGUCUUACAUAAUUUCCGUAGUAAAAAAGCUCAACCCUUUUACAAUUGCAAAACUCAACAUGACUAUGAUGCAUGGACAUACAGUAAGGACUCAAUAAUGCAAUCACCUCCAAUUUUCACAACAAUAUAAAGGACAUCUUCCAAAUAUAUUGAUCAUCUCCACAACAUUCGCAUUAUCAAGAAAUUACGUCCAUACAACAUUCCGGUCAUAAACAAUUAAGAGUCAACAUUCCAUACAUCAUAUAGUUUCACCGUUUCAAAUAUUUCUCAUAUUCCAAGUAAGAGGAAAUACAACAUCUCAAGAUAAGUAUCAUAUUCCACAUCUACAAUUCAUCACACACCUUCAUUUAGACACAUAAGGCUAGUCACGAAAGAUUAUAAGACAAUUGGCUAAAAGAAUCAUUUUUGGUGAAAUUUGUAUCAAGUAGCAAUCGGCUAACAUUUAUUAUACCCAAGAUAAAAUAACUUGUUCAAGUUUGAAGCUCACAAGAUAAUCCUAAUCAAUCAUGUAAUCAUAAGCUUAAGCCACUUACAAACUAUUAGACAUUGGUUCAAAGUAUAGCUUAAGUCCGUAUGAGAAAACCCAAAUUUACAUUUUUCACAUUUCCACCCGAAAUCCAAGUUUGACAUGAUUAAGACAAUCAACCAACAUUACAAGCUUUGUCUAAGUCUAUAGGAACUGUAGGCCCAACUUGUAACCUUAGUUAGUUCACAAAAGUUCGUUUCGACAAAAUCCGACAUUUUCCAAAAUUUCAAGUUCCGAACCAAAAUGAAGAAUCCCAAUUUCGAAUGAGCAAAACUUGUUCCAGUAGAAUUAGGACCCCAAACAGAUGUUUAAUAAGUUGAAAGAAUCAUUUUACAAAGCUCGGAUUGGCCUCCUAAGACCCGAACCAAAAAUCAAGAAGUGCUGGAAAAAGGCAGCUCGCUUAAGCGACCACUCGGUUCGCUUAAGCGAACGAGUUCCAGUGAGCGCAGUUUUGCUCGCUUACCUGGUCGCUUAUGGCUCGCUUAAGUGACCAGUCUUAUGAGUACUCGCUUGGCGUUCGCUUAAGCGAUCAUUCAUAAUUCUGCAGAAAAAUGUUACGGGUUUCACCCCUUUUUCACCCCAAACCCCCAAUUUUGAUCCCCUGAUGGCCAAAUGUGUUUCCAGAAAUUGUUUAUAGGUCAAUAUAACAAAAAGGGUUCCUAAAAACACAAUCAACAUGGAAACUAAGGACAUAUGAGUACAAUUCACCAAUCAACCCAUUUCAACAACAACAACUCAUUUCUCAUCACCAAUUCAUGAAUUAUGAAUACCCAAGCCAUGAAUCAUCAACAACAACAUCACUUAGCAAUAACAACAUCAAUUGAACAUGGUUCUCAUCAUAAUUCAACCACAAUAUAGCAUAAUUCAUCCAAUUGAGCAUAAUUCAUAAGUUAGCACUUAUACACACUUUGAACAUGCAAAUUCACAACAACAAUUCAAUUAUCAACAAUUUCAUGCAUACAAACAUAUCAUCCUAGUUAGAGCACGAAUUUUAACAUCUAUGAACAAUUAAUCAAUUAUCCAAUUAAUCACUUAUUCAUACAUUAAUUGAAAUAAUUACACUAAAAUGAUUAUGAUGAAUUCUAACCCCCUUACCUUAGUUAGAUGAAUUCCCUAGCUCAAGCUUCACUUUAGCUCCUAGCUCUCUUCCAAUCCUUGAAUCUUUAAGUUCCUCUCCUCUCUAACCCUUUUCUUCUUUGCUCCCACUUUCUCUCUCUAACUCCCUCAAAAUAUCUAAGUAAAUGAAAGUGUGACGAAAUUACCUAUAAGACAAUGUUUAUAUAGUAUGUCCCCUUAAUGGGCCUAACCCUAAAACUUAGUGGACUUAACCCACUCCAACUCAAUUCUAAAAUGUUUCCACACUCUAACGGUAAAACACUACAACUGUCUCUUAACGGUAAAAUUCUAAUAACUAAUCACUACGAUAGUACCUUAGCAAAAAUAACGGUUCUCACUAACCACUAAAAGUAAUUCUCACCAAAAGUUACUAAUCUACUCUUACACUCAAAAUGAUCAAAAUACCCCUAAUCCCAAAAUGACUAUAUUACCCUUCUAACAUGAAAACCCAUGAAAAUGCACCCAAUGAAUAAUGAUCAUACAUAAGCACAUAUAAACACAUAAUAAAACAAAUAAAAAUAAAUCUAGCGAAAAUCGGGUUGUUACACCGAACUCUGACUUAAGUUCUGACUCAUGCUUUGACUCUGAGCUUGAGAAGUGUUAAGGUCACGACAAUAUAUGCAUAAUUUGUUACAAUAUAAAGGUGCAAUAUAUAUAUAUAUAUAUAUAUAUAUAUAUAUAUAUAUGGCAUUUCAAAUGAGAGGACUUAAUAAUAACCAUUGGAUCUAAACUAAUCAUGUUACUUCAUCAAUUUUUUUUUUUUUCUAAGCAAGGAGUAAGGACAGACAUUGGGAGGAAACACCGACAUACCAACUAGGCUGGCAUCCGGGAAACCUCCGUCCUAUGCCGUCAAACUCUAAAAUUUUAUUAAAAAAAGGAAAAAUAUAUACAAGAAGAGGGGGGACUAGGCCAAAACCCUCAGAAGAAAAAGCAACAUAAAAUGCUGAAAUAAACUACUACAGACUGAGAAAAUCUGUAAUUAUGCAAACCAACUCUAUCACACUUCAUCAAUAGUUAUGCAGUCAAUUAAAACAAAAAAACACAACUCUUCGUCUUUCCUCUGCACACGCUUCUCAAUGCAACUUGUACAAAACCCUUUAGCUGGCGAUGGCGAUGGCAAUGCUUACUGCUUUUGUUAGAAGAUUUCUAUGGCCACCUAAAUCAUACAUACCCCAAUUGACUGUUUUUUUUUUUCUUUCUAUUUUCUAUUUUUGUGACUCGUUUCUUAUCAAUUGAUUAAAUUUUUUAAAAAGGGUUAAUUUAAGUUGGAUUUGAACAAUAGUAAAACUAAACUAUAAUUUCACUCUUAAUCAAAUCAGCUUGUGAUUAUUUGUUAGGUUUCUACGAAAUUACUCUAACUAAUUGGAAUUUCUCUCCCAAAGCUAUGAUAAUCUUUAUUUUCUUUAACAAAAUCUUAUUAUAUUUUCUUUCUAUUGAACCUAAAUUGAGGGAGAUGAAUGAAAGGAACAGAAGAACGUUGAAGAGAUCGUUUCUAUAGAGAAAAAAAUCAAGGAAGAACAAUACAUGGAAGAGGUAAAAAGAGCAGUCACUUAUGGCUUAUGCAAUAGAGAGAGAAUGAGAUAAGGGAAAUGGAGAAAGCCAAUUUACUCUUAACACUCCUCUCAUUUGAUAUGCCCUAUAUAUAUAUAUAUAUAUAUAUAUAUAUAUAUAUAUAUAUAUAUAUAAUUUUUUUAGGCAUCUAGACCUUUUUUGAAGAAAAGACAUCUACAAUUUUACUUUUAAUUAAAAUCAAAAUUUUAUAAAAAUAAUUAUACGCAUUAUACAACGCCAGAAAAUAUUAUACGCAGUAGUGUAACAAAAAACCAGACACACAUAAAGUAUUACUCUAAACACUAAUGUGUGUGUGUAUAUUUGUGAGGUUGAAGAAAAAAAUAAAAAUAUUUGGUAUCAUUAAAUGACAACAUGAGUAAAAAUAUUUGUGAGGUUGUGAUGAUUAAACGAUAUUGAAAUUAAAUAUAUAAAUGAUAAAAAGAUAAUAAAAUUCCUUUGAAAAAAGGUAAUAAAAUUAAAUGGGACCUCCUUACAAAAAAUUAAAUGCAAUGGUUCAAAAAAAAAUUAAAUGGAAGAAAAAAACGUAUUGAAAUAUAAUAUUAAAAAAUAAAAGAAAAGGUUCCCAAUGUGAAUUGAAGAGAGAUACUUGUGAAAUAAAUUGUCGGAAAGUAGUUUUUUGAAGUAGCAUUCAACAACUUUUGGCCAAAACUCAUACCAUUCAAUUUUAUACAUUAAAAAAAGUACAUUUUUUAGUAAGUACUUAUUUGAUAUUGUAUUUGACCUAACUUCUCCUUAAAAAUGUAGAGAAGAUGAAAAAAAUGGGUCAGACGAUAUCUUAUUCACCCACAACGGCACUGUAGAAGCAACUGAAUUUGGAAGAAAAAAUUGGAAAAUAGUUAAAAAUAAAAACUUGUAAAAUAGUUAAAAAAAAUUGUGAGGUAGCACUCAACCAAGCAACACUAAAAAAAUUAUAUGCAUUAACGUAACAAAAAAAUAGACAGACGAACAUAAAAUAUUACUCUAAAUGUUAAUGUGUGUGUAUAUUCGCGAGGUUGAAGAAAGGAAAUAAAAAUAUUUGAAAUCAUUAAACGACAGCGUGAAUAAAAAUAUUUGUGAGGUUGUAAUGAUUAAACGAUAUUGAAAUUAAAUAUAUAAGUGGUAAAAAGAUAAUAAAUUUUCUUUGAAAAAAAGAUAAAAUUAAAUGGAACCUCCUUAAAAAAUUAAAUGAAACGGUUGAAAAAAUAAAGUUAAAUGAAAGAAAAAAAACAUAUUGAAAUACAAUAUUAAAAAAUAAAGACAAGGUUCCCAGCGUGAGUUGAAAAGAUGUGUUUGUGAAAUAAAUUGUCAAGAAAUAGUUUUUUAAAGUAACAUUCAACAGCUUCUGGUUAAAGCUCAUUCCAUUCAAUUUAUGCGUUCAAAAAAGUUCUUUUUUUAGUAAGUACUUAAUUGAUAUUGUGUUUGACCUAACUUCUCCUUAAAAAUGUAGAGAAGUUUGAAAAAAGUCGGGUCAAACGAUACCUUAAUCUCCCACAACGGCAAUGUAGAAACAACUGAAUUUUGGAGAAAAAAUUGAAAAAUAGUUAAAAAUAUAAAAAUUGGAAACUAAUUAAAAGUUAUUAAAAAAUAUAAAAAUUAGAAAAUAAUUAAAUAAAAUUGGUUAGGGGCAAAAUGAAAAUUCAUAGACCAUUAUUAAAAUAAAAACUCAACCAAUUAGUAGACUACCAAAUUGCCCCUUGUAGGAGCAAAAUGGUAAAUUUAAAGGACAUGGAUUUUCUUAUUUGUAUAUAGAUAAAAGGUUUAAUACAUGCUUUGGUCCCUUAACUUAUUUUUGAAUUUCAUUUUGAUCCCUUAACUUUAAACCGUCUCAAUUUGGUCCCAUAACUUUACCAUUUUGCUCCAUACCCAAUGGUCAUAGGGAUGGCAAUGGGUACCCAAUGGAUAGGGUACUACAAUGUCCGUCUCCAUACCCGCAUUUAUAAAAAAUAUCUGUACCCGUGCCCGUACCCUUGUGGGCAACAACUUUAGUCCCCUUCCCCAUACCCUAUGGGUACUUAAGUAACCAUACCCGCACUCAUUACCCGCACUUUAACUAUGGAAAAACAAAAAAAACAUCACAAAUGAAAUAAAACUACGAUCCUAAUUUUUUAAAAUUAACUCAUAAAAUAAUAUGAACUAUGGUAUUUAGUCAAAUAGAAAACAUCCGAAAUAUUCCUAAAAAAUUAUACACCGGCAUGAUGGAGUUGUUAUUGUAUUAAGUAGUUGUUUGGUUUAAGUUUAGGUUUAGGCUUAAAUAACUAAAUAAAUUAAUUAAUUAUACAUAAAAAAUAAAUAAAUAAUUUAUGAUAUUAUAUAAAUAUGCAUAUGCGGGUCUGGGGGUCUGGGCAGUAUAGUACCCUUACCCGUGCCCAUACCCAUUUAAUUUUUUGGGUAUUACCCGUACCCGUGCCCAGACCCAUAAAAGCGGGGUUUUACCCUACCCAUUAUGGGUAUUUUUUGCGGGUAUCCAUUGGGUCUGGGUCCAAUUGCCAUCCCUACGUGGGAUGAGGCACUACGGCGACACGAUAAGGGAGAGAUGAGGCGGAGACUUCACCUUUCCAAAUCUCCCUCUCCGUUUUUCUUCAUUCAUAAAAGGCUAAAUUGCAUUUUUGAUCCCUUAACUAUUUAGGUAGUAUUGCUUUGGUCCCUUAAUUAAAAUUCGAUUUAUUUUGGUCCCUUAACUUCUCCCCGUUACACAUUUUGGUCCUUUCUAUUAGUUUUAAUUCAAAAACGUUAGGUUUUCUUCAUUUUCUUAUGGAAUUUUUUUGAGAUUCUUGUUCUUGAAGGUUGAUGGAGAUGAUAUGAAGAUGAAAAAGAGGAGACGAAGAUUAAGAAAACCUAACGUUUUUGAAUUAAAACUAACAGAAAGGAUCAAAAUGUGCAACAGAGAGAAGUUAAAGGACACUAAAUGAAAUAUUUUAUCAAAAAAGAAUAGAUUAAAUGAAUAUAUAUAUAUAUAUAUAUAUAUAUAUAUAUAUAUAUAUAUAUAUAUAUAUAUAUAUAUUUGUUCUUUCUAAAGCACAUGCCCUUAGUUUUACGAGAGAAGGCUACCUCCAACCAGCUAUAAGACCAUGUAAGCUCAUAUGUUGCAAGGCCACCAUCUUCAUUCUGUAGUGAUUGGAAAAAUAAAUACAUUUAACACAUAAACUUAGUUUUAUACGAAUCAAAUUGAUAAUUAUCUCAAGUUGCAGUUAAAACUAAUAUAUUUUUUUAAUAAAUUAUAGCAUUAUACUUCAAAUAUUUUAUAGGGAAAUUUCUUCUCACUGCUUUUAUAGUGAAAGAAAUGGGAUUGAAGAAGAUGAAGGCGGAUACAAAGAGAAUGUUGAAAAUUGGCUUCAAAUUUGUGGUUUGGAAGAACAGAGGAAUCGUGUCGCGAUUUGGCAAUCGUGACACGAUCGGAGAUGCCGUGAGCCAAGUUUGCUGGAAGCAAAAUCGUGGCACGAUCUUGGGAAAUCGUGACACGAUUCAGAAACUUGCUGGUUAAGUAUCUCUGAUAAGGACUGGUCAACCUGGGGACCGUUGCAGAUCGUGACACGAUCUAGGGAAAUCGUGGCACGAUUUCUUCAGGGCAGGACUAGUAUUUAAAGUGUUCUUGUGCUUUUUUGAAGACAACCUUAAGACAACCUUGAGAGAACUUAAGAGAGAAAACUUGGAGAUCAAAGAGGGGAUCCUUUGGGGUGUGUUCCUUUGAUGAGAGUGUUUCUUAGGUUGGGAAAACAACAUUGUAAUCACCUUGGGAUUUAGGGUUCAUAGUGUGAGGAUGGGAAAAUACCAAAGGGUAGAUCUAGGGUUUUGUCAUGUGUAAAGCUUGAUAAGCUAGAUUCUUGUAACUCUUUUGUAACACAUUCACAUAUUGGAUUGGAGAGCUGCUCUCUCCCCCAGAUUAGGCCACAUUGGCUGAACUGGGUCAACAAUCUUGCUUGGUGUUUGUUCUUUUCUUUUCAUGGUUUAUCUUGUUAUGCUUGUUAGCUCUUAGUGUGGUUUUUGCUAUACAUUAGGCUUAGGCUGUUUUGUUGUUGUUAGCUUGGAGGCCAUUUGCACUCAUAGAUUAUCUCUAUCACUUGCUCCACACAUCAUUGGUUUAUUCUAAUUGGUGUGAAGGUUCAUUAGUUGAGCCGGAUUCACAACAAUUGGCGCCCACCGUGGGGCAUAGGCGUGAUUGAUAGUUGGUAUCAUGGGGUCAAAGUGGGACAUCGAGAAGUUCACCGGAAGUAAUGAUUUCGGGUUAUGGAAGGUUAAGAUGCAAGCGGUAUUGACACAACAAAAGUGUGUAGAAGCAUUGAAGGGUGAAGCGGCGAUGCCGGCAACCUUGACACAAGAGGAGAAGCGUGAGAUGGUAGACAAGGCAAAGAGUGCCAUUGUCUUAUGUCUCGGAGAUAAGGUCUUAAGGGAUGUCGCGAGAGAAGCUACCGCAGCAUCGAUGUGGGCAAAGUUGGAGUCAUUGUAUAUGAUGAAAUCUUUGGCUCAUAGGCAACUCUUGAAGCAACAACUCUAUUCAUUCAAGAUGGUGGAGUCUAAAUCGAUCUCGGAGCAACUAACGGAGUUUAACAAGAUUCUUGAUAAUUUGGCCAACAUUAAAUUUAACAUGGAAAAUAAGGAUAAGGCUUUGUUGUUACUUUGUUCAUUACCAAAGUCCUUUGAGCAUUUCAAGGAUACCAUUCUUUAUGGUAAGGAGGGCACUACUACUUUGGAGGAGGUCCAAGCGGCUUUGAGAACCAAAGAAUUGACCAAGUUCAAGGACAUGAGGGUUGAUGAAGGUAGUGAAGGCUUGAAUGUUACAAGAGGGAGGAAUGAGCAUAGAGGAAAAGGCAAAGGGAAAUCAAGAUCCAAGUCUAGGUCCAAGGGCUUUGACAAAUCAAAGUAUAAAUGCUUUCUUUGUCACAAGCAAUAGGGAUGGCAAUGGGUACCCAAUGGAUAGGGUACUACAAUGUCCGUCUCCAUACCCGCAUUUAUAAAAAAUACCCGUACCCGUGCCCGUACCCUUGUGGGCAACAACUUUAGUCCCCUUCCCCAUACCCUAUGGGUACUUAAUUACUCAUACCCGCACUCAUUACCCGCACUUUAACUAUGGAAAAACAAAAAAAACAUCACAAAUGAAAUAAAACUACGAUCCCAAUUUUUUAAAAUUAACUCAUAAAAUAAUAUGAACUAUGGUAUUUAGUCAAAUAGAAAACAUCCGAAAUAUUCCUAAAAAAUUAUACACCGGCAUGAUGGAGUUGUUAUUGUAUUAAGUAGUUGUUUGGUUUAAGUUUAGGUUUAGGCUUAAAUAACUAAAUAAAUUAAUUAAUUAUACAUAAAAAAUAAAUAAAUAAUUUAUGAUAUUAUAUAAAUAUGCAUAUGCGGGUCUGCGGGUCUGGGCAGUAUAGUACCCUUACCCGUGCCCAUACCCAUUUAAUUUUUUGGGUAUUACCCGUACCCGUGCCCAGACCCAUAAAAGCGGGGUUUUACCCUACCCAUUAUGGGUAUUUUUUGCGGGUAUCCAUUGGGUCUGGGUCCAAUUGCCAUCCCUAACAAGCAAGGUCAUUUCAAGAAAGAUUGUCCGGAUAAGGGGGGCGAAAGUGGUCCCUCGGUUCAAGUUGCGGAGGCUUCAAAUGAAGAAGGUUAUGAGAGUGCGGGUGCGCUAGUGGUAACAAGUUGGGAACCGGAGAAGAGUUGGGUUUUGGACUCGGGAUGCUCUUAUCACAUGUGUCCUAGAAAGGAAUAUUUUGAGACUUUGAUUCUAAAAGAAGGAGGAGUUGUUCGACUCAGAAAUAACAAAGCUUGCAAAGUCCAAGGCACGGGCAACGUUCGUCUAAAGAUGUUUGAUGGCCGUGAAUUCCUUUUAAGGGAUGUGAGGUUUGUUCCCGAACUUAAGCGAAAUUUAAUUUCCAUAAGCAUGUUUGAUAAUCUAGGUUAUUGCACUAGAAUAGAGCAUGGGGUUUGUAAAAUUUCGCAUGGUGCAUUGAUUACGGUAAAGGGGUCUAGAAUGAAUGGUUUAUACAUUUUAGAUGGUUCCAUAGUAAUUGGUAAUGCAUCGGUAGCCAGUGUUGCAUAUCAUAAUAAUUCUGAAUUGUGGCAUUUGAGGUUGGGGCAUGUUAGUGAGAGGGGUUUAGUUGAACUAGCUAAACAAGGUUUGCUAGGGAAAGAUAAAUUGGACAAGCUUGAAUUUUGUGAACAUUGCAUACUAGGCAAACAACAUAGGGUGAAGUUUGGAAGUGGCAUGCAUCAUUCUAGUAGACCUUUUGAGUAUGUGCAUUCAGAUCUUUGGGGUCCUUCUAAGAGUCCUACUCAUGGGGGAGGUUCCUAUUUUCUUUCUAUCAUUGAUGAUUAUUCUAGGAGAGUGUGGGUCUUUGUUUUGAAAAACAAAAGUGACACCUUUGAAAAGUUCAAAGAAUGGCACACUCUCAUAGAAAAUCAAAUGGGAACUAAACUAAAAGGUUUAAGAACUGACAAUGGCCUGGAGUUUGUUUCAGAGCAGUUUAAUGAGUUUUGCAGGUUGAAAGGAAUCAAGAGGCAUAGAACCGUACCAAGAACACCUCAACAAAAUGGUCUUGCGGAACGCAUGAAUAGGACUCUUUUGGAGCGUGUGAGGUGUAUGAUUCUAGGAGCUGGGUUACCUAAGAGUUUCUGAGGUGAAGCCGUGACAACGGCUGCUUAUUUGAUCAAUAGAUGUCCAUCAACGGGAAUAGACUUCAAGAUACCUAUGGAGGUAUGGAGUGGGAAACCGGCGGAUUACUCCUCUUUGAAGGUUUUCGGAGCUUUGGCAUAUGCGCAUAUCAAGCAAGACAAGCUUGAGCCUAGAGCUUUGAAAUGUGUCUUCAUUGGUUAUCAGGAAGGUGUGAAGGGAUACAAGUUGUGGAAAUUGGAAUCUAGUGGAAGAUCAAGAGUCUUGAUAAGUAGGGAUGUUACCUUUGAUGAGACCCGGAUGGGGAUGAAGUGUAAAGACCUAGAGACUCAAGUACCGGAAACUAUGGUGGAGAGAACUCAGUUUGAGGUGGAGCUUCCAAAUGAAGAAGAAGAAGAUGUAGAAGAUGAAGCUUCAACAUCGGAUACAAGUGGAACUCAACCGGUAGUGGAUCCUGAGUAUCUAUUGGCAAGAGAUAGAGAAAGAAGGACCAUUACGGCUCCUAAGAGAUUCGGUUAUGCGGACUUGGUGUGUUUUGCUCUAAAUGCGGCGGAAGAUGUGCAAGACUCGGAGCCUAGAGACUUCAAGGAGGCAUUUGAGAGCAAAGAGAGCAAAUAUUGGUUGAAGGCGGUGAAUGAAGAAAUGGAUUCAUUGGAAAGGAACCAAACUUGGAAACUUGUGAAGUUACCUAAUCACAAAAGGGUAGUUGGAUGCAAGUGGAUCUUCAAGAAAAAGGAUGGCAUUCCGGGUGUUGAAGGUCCAAGGUACAAAGCAAGACUUGUGGAAAAGGGUUUCACUCAAGUGGAGGGGAUCGACUACAACGAGAUCUUUUCACCGGUGGUGAAGCAUUGUUCCAUAAGGAUACUUAUGGCUAUUGUGAAUCAAUUCAAUCUUGAGUUGGAACAGAUGGAUGUGAAGACCGCUUUCUUACAUGGUGACCUUGAAGAGACAAUCUACAUGGAACAACCGGAAGGUUUUGUGGAGGACAAGUCUAAGGUGUGUCUUUUGAAGAAAUCUUUGUACGGGUUGAAGCAAAGCCCUAGGCAAUGGUAUCGUCAGUUUGAUGAGUUUCUUUUGAAGACCGGUUUUGUGAGAAGCGGAUAUGAUUCUUGUGUGUACAUGUUGAAGAAGAAUGAGAAAGUCAUUCUCUAUCUUCUUUUAUAUGUGGAUGAUAUCUUGAUGGCGAGCUCUAGCAAGGAUGAGAUUAUGAAGCUCAAGGAGAGGUUAAAUGGUGAAUUUGAGAUGAAAGAUCUUGGUCCGGCAAAGAGAGUUCUUGGGAUUGAUAUCGUGAGGAAUCGUGACAAAGGGGAACUUUUCUUAUCUCAACUUGGUUAUUUGAAGAAGGUGGUGGAGCGUUUUAGAAUGUCAAACUUUAAAACCGUAAGCACUCCCUUGGGUCACCACACAAAGUUGUCCAUACAACAAUGUCCUUAAUCCGAGGAUGAGAAGCAAUUGAUGGAAGGUACUCCCUAUGCAAGUGGGGUUGGAAGCAUCAUGUAUGGAAUGGUUUGUAGUAGGCCGGACUUGGCUUAUGCGGUUAGCAUUGUGAGUCGGUUUAUGGCAAAUCCGGGAAUUGUGCAUUGGCAAGCUUUGAAGUGGGUGUUGAGGUAUUUGAAUGGGUCGUUGAAGGGCGGUUUGAAGUACACAAGGGCAGCUCAAGAUGAAGACGCUUUGGAGGGGUAUGUUGAUGCGGAUUAUGCGGGCAACGUGGACACUAGAAAAUCCUUGUCGGGUUUUGUGUUUACUCUUUAUGGCACAGCGAUUAGUUGGAAGGCAAAUCAACAAUCCGUGGUGGCAUUAUCUACAACUCAAGCGGAGUACAUCGCACUUGUUGAAGGUGUGAAGGAGGCCAUAUGGUUGAAAGGGAUGAUUGGUGAGUUAGGAAUUACUCAAGAAUGUGUGAAGAUACAUUGUGAUAGUCAAAGUGCCAUUCACUUGGCAAAUCAUCAAGUGUAUCAUGAAAGGACAAAGCACAUUGACAUUCGCCUGCACUUUGUCAGAGACAUGAUUGAAGCAAAAGAGAUUGUGGUUGAGAAAGUGGCAUCAGAGGAGAAUCCGGCGGAUGUGUUCACCAAGUCAUUGCCUCGAUCAAGAUUCAAGCAUUGCUUGGACUUGAUCAAGUUUGUCGAAGAGUAAUUCCCUUUGGAGAGAGCAGCAUGGUGGUUGAUGGUUAUAUUGACAUCACCACCAAAUUAGAAGUCAAGGUGGAGAAAUGUUGAAAAUUGGCUUCAAAUUUGUGGUUUGGAAGAACAGAGGAAUCGUUUCGCGAUUUGGCAAUCGUGACACGAUCGGAGAUGCCGUGAGCCAAGUUUGCUGGAAGCAAAAUCGUGGCACGAUCUUGGGAAAUCGUGACACGAUUCAGAAACUUGCUGGUUAAGUAUCUCUGAUAAGGACUGGUCAACCUGGGGACCGUUGCAGAUCGUGACACGAUCUAGGGAAAUCGUGGCACGAUUUCUUCAGGGCAGGACUAGUAUUUAAAGUGUUCAUGUGCUUUUUUGAAGACAACCUUAAGACAACCUUGAGAGAACUUAAGAGAGAAAACUUGGAGAUCAAAGAGGGGAUCCUUUGGGGUGUGUUCCUUUGAUGAGAGUGUUUCUUAGGUUGGGAAAACAACAUUGUAAUCACCUUGGGAUUUAGGGUUCAUAGUGUGAGGAUGGGAAAAUACCAAAGGGUAGAUCUAGGGUUUUGUCAUGUGUAAAGCUUGAUAAGCUAGAUUCUUGUAACUCUUUUGUAACACAUUCACAUAUUGGAUUGGAGAGCUGCUCUCUCCCCCAGAUUAGGUCACAUUGGCUGAACUGGGUCAACAAUCUUGCUUGGUGUUUGUUCUUUUCUUUUCAUGGUUUAUCUUGUUAUGCUUGUUAGCUCUUAGUGUGGUUUUUACUAUACAUUAGGCUUAGGCUGUUUUGUUGUUGUUAGUUUGGAGGCCAUUUGCACUCAUAGAUUAUCUCUAUCACUUGCUCCACACAUCAUUGGUUUAUUCUCAUUGGUGUGAAGGUUCAUUAGUUGAGCCGGAUUCACAACAGAGAAUGAUGAGGUUCCACCAAAAAGAAAGAUUUGGAGUAAAGAUGAUUCAAAUGACGAUGGUCGGGAGAAGAUGAUGGGAGACCCUUAAAUAAUAGAGUUAAAAUAUUCAGAAGAACCGUGAUUUAUGUAUGUUAGUAGGAACGUAACAAAUAGCAUAAAAUAAUAACCAUGAUUUAUUUGCUAGGACUUGUAUUCAGAUAAUCUGAUUUGAAUUAUGACUACCUCUAAUGAGAUAAUGACAUUUAAUUACAGCAUCAUAUAUAUAUAUAUAUAUAUAUAUUCUCCUUGCAUCCAAUGGUUCACCAACAAUCUCAGGUGCAAUAUUUGAUUACAACGUUUUCAUAGGAGCAGACUAGCAGUUAUGCAGUUUCACUAACAUUUGCACAUAAAUUUGCGAGCCUGAUUCAAGUCUACAUCAUGGUAUAUGGUACAGUAAAAAGCUCUUUUCUCAAAGAUAAUAUUAUUACCAACAACGACAUUAGAAAUAAAUAAACCACAAUUAAUGCCAUGUCUAUUAAUAAAUAAAUAAAAUCAUAUAAAAUAAGGGUAGGAUCUUUAUGAGCUAAUUCACAUUGGUUAUUUAGAAUAUACUCCUCAAGAUAACCUAAACUCACAAUAUAAAAUUAUUGGCAUCCCUAACUUGUGUUGUGUGAAUAAAAGGCCAGACUCCCCCUUCAUACAUUACAUGCAGAAACUAAACACUAAACACUAAACUCAGUUGUAUUAUUUUAAAUUUAUCUAGCUAAGAAAAUUUCUAGAUAAAGAUGUGGAAGCUGAAAUUUUCAAAAAACAAGGAUGGUACUGAAGAAUUGGUUAGAAGUGUGAAUAAGAACAUUGGAAGACAAUUUUGGGAGUAUGAUCCGAAUCUUGGAACUGAACAAAAACGAGCUCAAGUGGAACAAGCUCGCAAACAAUUUCAUGAAAAUCGCUUCAAAACUAAGAACAGUUCUGAUCUCUUAAUGAGACUCCAGGUAAAUACAUGCAUAAAUAUUAUAACAUAUAAUGCUGAAGGGUAAAUAAUAAUUAAUUUUGGUUUUGUAGUUUGAGAGGGAAAAAGGUUUUUUAAAUAUGAAAUCAGAGAAUAAUAAUAUAAGGUGAAAAUGGAGAAGGAAGAAGUGGGAAAGACACUAAAAAGAGCAUUGAGAUUUUACUCAACACUGCAAACUGAAGAUGGUUUCUGGCCUGGUGAUUAUGGUGGUCCUUUGUUUCUUUUGCCUUCUUUGGUAUGUUUAAUAUCAUUUCCCUCUUUUUCUCUUAUACAAUACAAUGUCCUAAGCACUUUUUUUUUUUUUUUUUUUUUUGAGCAAAGGAAAAAAUCUUUUUAGAGAAUAUGUUCUAAUAAUGAAGAACAAGGAAGAACAUAGGAGAAAUGAAACCAAUUUAGAUCAUUGAAAAAUUCACAUGAUUAGCCGUUACUUUUUUCCCACAACCUCCUGCACAUAAAAGAGAGUCAAAGUGUAAAAUUUCAUGUUGGACCAAGUUGUCCUUAGUUGAAACUCUAUUGUUUGGAAGUCGCCAUGCAAACAUAGAAGUCUUCAACCGAUCAAUGCGAGAGUAUGAUAAAUUUUGAGCGGGUAUUAAUAGUGUAAGAAAAUUAUACUUGUUUAAUUUGUAUCACAGACGUUGUAAAACUUUUUUACAUAUGCACCAAAUCAAAUUAUUUUACAACACCACAUUUUUAACUUAGUUCAUAAAAUAUCUCUUUAAAUAUCUUUUUUUUUAGGGAGUCUCUACAAAUAUCUUUUUCCUUUGAUUUGAUUGAAUAGAUGUGUAAAAAAAAUUCAUAGAAAUUAACCACUUAUUAAAUAUUUGUUGAAGUUUAUAGAAAGUAAACAAUUUAGGCUCUUGGACAUAUUUUGCACGAUUGGCUUGUUUUAAAGGGAAAAAAAUUAGCUUAUGUCAGCAAUUUCUUGAUAUUAUAUCCUAUAAAAACAAGCAUUUUCUUGAUAGUGCACCUUAAUAUAUUUUAACAAGUGCUUGGCAACGUGAUGGGAUCAAUUUUAACACAUUAUAUGUGAUUUAUAAUAAAAAAACUAGUUUUUUAAUAGUUUUAUAUAUUGUCUCUGAUGUGGAGUUCAGUAACAAGAGUUUGAGAUUGCAAUCUAACAAACAAAGUUCAAAUCCCUUUAAAGAUGCUAUACAAAGUUCAACUCCCCAAUUUUCUCAAAAUUAAUAAUUAACUAUACAUUCAACUUCUUGUUCAAAAAAAACUAUACAUUCAACUUAAACAACUAAGAGAUCCGCAAGUGGACGGUGAGACUAGACCUUUCAGAUUAGUCGAUCCUUGAGUUAAGUAUCGAGUUAAAAAAAAGAGGAGAUUUAAAAUAAUUGUUAUAUUUCAACUAUCUUAUAUUAUGUUGUUUUCUUCUUACAUGAUAUUAUAUGACACAAUUAUAUAUGAUAUGAUAUUAUUUUUUUUGAAGAGAUGAUAUGAUAUUUAUUAUAAACAUAAAUAAAUUUAUCGAUAUAUGAUUAACUGAAAAUAUUUAAGAUGAAUAUUGAAAUUCUAAAAAAGGUACGCAUAAUUGAUUCAACUCUUCAACAAAAAAAAGUAUAAUUGAUUCAAUCAGAGUAUUAUAUAGCCUCUUGGUUUUCUUGCUUUUGUUUUUCUCUCUUAUUGCAUUUGUUAUAUUGCUUAAAAAAAAUGAAUCAUCAAUUAUUGGAUUAAUUAUGUGAUAGGUAAUAGGACUAUGGGUGACUGGGGCUGUUAAUGCAGUGUUAACACCCGAGCAUCAAAGUGAGAUGCGACGCUAUGUCUUUAAUCAUCAGGUAAUUUUUUGUAAUUAAGUAGUUUAGUAUCUAGAACUCCAACUUUAAAAUGCAUAAGUGGGGAAUUUUCUUACAAAUAUAAUAUAAUAAAAUGUUUUUAUCAACUGAGCUAUACUGGUGAGGAAUAAUGUUAGCUAGCUAUUGUGAUGAAUAUGACAUUAAUCGUUGAUACAUAUGAUAAUGAUAAGAACGAAGAUGGAGGGUGGGGAUUGCAUAUAGAAGGGCCCAGCACAAUGUUUGGUACAGCUAUGAGCUAUGUGACCUUGAGAUUGCUUGGAGAAGAUAUAGACAGUGGAGAUGGAGCCAUGCAAAAAGCAAGAAAGUGGAUUCUUGAUCGUGGGGGUGCCACUUCUAUUCCUUCAUGGGGCAAACUCUGGCUUUCUGUAAGUGUGUGUGUAUUUAUUUCUUUAUUUAAGGUUUUGAUUGUUAUACUUAGUUUAAUACACAUUGCAAUUGUUUUUUAUAAUAGUUUAAUUUAAUCAAAUGGUACAAGUGUAUAAAUAUAUAUAUAUAUAUAUAUAUAUAUAUAUAUAUAUAUAUAUAUAUAUAUAUAUAUAUAUAUAUUAGGUACUUGGAGUAUAUGAAUGGAGUGGAAUGAAGGCAAUCCCUCCAGAGAUAUGGCUUCUUCCCUACUUUGUCCCUUUGCAUCCAGGCAUGUUCUCAUUAUUUCUUAUUCGGUCUAAGUCAAAUAUGUGGUACCAUAUACUUAUUUAUAUGAUAUGAUAUGACAUAAUACAUAUGAUAUUAUGUGGUACCAUGUAUUUUUUUUAUAUGAUUACAUAUGUUACUAUCCAUGUAUUAUAUGAUGAUAUAAUACAUAUGUUACUAAUUUAAAAAUUUGCAGGAAGGAUGUGGUGUCACACUAGACUUGUAUAUCUACCAAUGUCAUAUUUGUACGGUAGAAGAUUUGUGGGUCCAUUCAGUGCUAUUGUUUUAUCUAUCAGAAGAGAGAUCUAUACCUUACCUUAUCAUAUACUAAAUUGGGACCACGCUAAAUAUCAUUGUGCUAAGGUUCUUGUCUUAAUUAAUUGUGUCACAUAUACCUAUAAUAUUUCCAAUUAAUAAUGAGUAAUAAUUGCAGGAAGAUUUGUACCAUCCAUGUCCAAUGAUACAGAAUAUUUUAUGGGGUUUUCUUGAUAAUGUUGGGGAACCUCUUCUCAUGCAUUGGCCUUACUCUAAACUAAGGAAUAAAGCACUCAAUCAUGUUAUGAAGCAUAUACACUAUGAGGAUGAAAACACUAACUAUAUCUGCCUUGGUCCAGUUAAUAAGGUGGUUAAUUAUAUAUCAUUAUUAUGCUAUGAAGCACGGACAUUCCUUGGAUUCCUUGGAUUAGGUCUGUCUUGAUGUCAUACAUGUGUCCUGUCCGACACCGGCACGACAAUGACACUUAUAAUUACAGUAAAAUAUGUGAUUUUUUUAAAUUAUCAACGGUGUCGGCGUGUCUGUGUUUGUGUUGUGUCCGGUGUCUGUAUCCGUACUUCAUAGGUAGCUGUAAAUAUCAUAGUCAACUGAUUUUAACUCAAUAAGACAACAUGUGAUGAUAAAUUAGAUGAAAAAUGACUCUAAAACAGGUACUAAACAUGGUUUGUUGUUGGUUGGAGAACCCAAAUUCUGAGGCAUUUAAGUGUCACAUUUUAAGAAUCAAAGACUAUCUAUGGUUGGCUGAGGAUGGAAUGAAAAUGCAAGGAUACAAUGGUUCUCAAUGUUGGGAUGUUGCUUUAUCUGUUCAAGCUAUCUUGGCUACCAAUCUUGAUGAUGAAUAUGGUUCAAUGCUUAAGAAAGCUAACAAUUUCAUAAAACUCUCACAGGUAAUAAAUAUUUUGACUGGAAGUUACAUAAUUAUGAAACAUUAAUGCCACGGAAGAAAGUAAUUAAGAUCUAUGAAGGACACUUCUCAGAUUAGACGUGUCCCAGUGUCGGACACACGUCGAUAUCUGACACCAACACAUAUGAUUCCAUUGAGUUAUGUGAUUUUCUCAAAUUAUUACCAGGUCGGCGUGUCAGUGUGGUGUCUGUAUCCGUGUUCAUAGAUUAAGAUAAAUAUUUACAACUUCUUCAAAAAAAAAGAUAAAUAUUUACAGUCAGAAGUAUUGAAUAUGAUAAACACUAUUGUAUUUUGGUUUUGAAGGUUACAAUGAACAGUUCUGGUAAUACUAGUUGCUGGUAUCGCCACAUUUCUAAAGGCGGUUGGCCUUUCUCGACUCAAGACAAUGGUUGGCCUGUUUCUGAUUGCACUGCAGAAGGCUUGAAGGUCAUUAAUUUUACCAAAACACUGAUUUGGAUCAGCUAAACAAAUUAUAUUUUCUUAAUCUGUUUGACUAUUUUCAGGCAGCCAUUUUGUUAUCAAACUUGCCAAUUGAGAGUGUUGGAAAAGCAGUGGAAACAGAACAACUAUGCAAUGCAGUUAAUUUGAUUUUAUCCCUGCAGGUACUCUAAACUGAUCUUUCACUCAAAUACAAGUUAAUGCCACUAGACUACUAGUAGACGCAGUCGUUUAUAAAGUUCGAAGAAGUAAACAAAAAUGGACGAGAACUAUUUUAUUUUUGCGUUUUCUUUAAGUACUCACGAUUCAAGAAUAAAAAGAUGAUUUUGUUCAAAUUUAAUUAGAUAUAACUUCAACCACGCGGUAACCAAUUUUCUCUUCCACAUUAAAUACUACAGAAUAGAAAUGGUGGGUUUGCAUCCUAUGAGCUCACAAGAUCUUAUACAUGGUUGGAGGUAAACCUUUUUUUCUUCAAUUAAAUGAGGAAUGUAGAUUCAAUUAUUAAAUCUUUUAACACCGAAUUUGUUUAUGUUACAGAAAAUAAAUCCAACUGAAACAUUUGAAGAUAUCACCAUUGAUUAUCAGUAUGUACCUGACAUCGACAUUGUUGUGAAUCCCCGGACCUCCAAGACCCGGAUCGAACCACACCAAUACAAAGAAUAAUGAUGUGUGGAGCGACGGAGAGUGGUAACCACCAAACAAAGCUUAUUGUGCAAGCAAGAAACAACAAAACACCACCUAGAUCUAAUCUAGGAACCAAGUGUGAAACAAAGCAACUAAACACAAGAUAAACAAAGGAGAGGGAAGAAGAAAACAAUAAACACAAAGAGAUUGGUCACCCAGUUCGGUCCAAACUUGACCUACUCUGGAGGAGAGUUUGUACUCUCCAAUCCACUAUCAAAUGAGUUCUUUACAAAAGGAGUACAAGAGGUUACAAGAAAUUAGCUUGACAAUGUUCACUAUGAACAAACCCUAAUUUCUACCCCUUUCCCAAUCUCACCAAGACACUCAAUGAUUCUCUCUACAAGGUGUUUCCCAUGUUUUCAACCCAAGAGAUACUCUAAUCAAAGAACCCUAAACCCUAGAGCUUCCCCUUUGAUUUCCCAAGUCUCUCUCUUCCAAAUUCUCUCUUCAAAUCUGCACAAGAACACUUAAGUACUAGUCUUCCUCUGUUCCAAUCGUGUCACGAUUUGCCCAAUCGUGUCACGAUUUGCGUCCGUCCCAAGGAACGACCAGUCCUUAUCAAGGAUACUUAACGAGCAAGUUUCUUGAUCGUGUCACGAUUUCCCAGAAAUCGUGCCACGAUUUGCACCCCUGCAACCCUAGCUCACGGCAUCCGAAAUCGCGUCGCGAUCCCAAAAUCGUGUCACGAUUUCCAUGUUCUUCCAAACCACAAAUUUGAAGACAAUCUCAACAGACAUGUUUCCUUGUAAUUAUUUUUAUGUCGUCUAUCAUUUGAAUUUAUGAAAAAUGAGUCCAUUAUCUAUAGGUAUGUGGAAUGCACAUCAGCAGCGAUACAAGGUCUCGCAUUAUUCACUCAACAAAAUCCGCGGCACAGGAAGAUGGAAAUAGAUAUUUGCAUUGUUAAGACUGCAAACUAUAUCGAAAGCAUACAAUGGGCAGAUGGUUCAUGGUUUGCUUUAUUACUAGUCGAUAAACUUAAUUAUUGGCCAAAAGAGGUUUCAAAAAUGAUAUUAAUUAAUUUCUUAAUAUGAGUUUAAAGAAUUAUAAUUACUUAACCAAAUAGGUAUGGAUCAUGGGGAAUCUGCUUUACAUAUGGGACAUGGUUUGGAAUAAAAGGGUUGAUAGCUGCAGGUAAGAGCUACAAAGAUAGUGUAAGCAUAAGAAAGGGAUGUGAGUUUUUACUUUCAAAACAGCACAAGCUUUCAGGUGGGUGGGGUGAGAGCUAUCUCUCAUGCCAACACAAGGUAUAUAUAUAGUAUGAACUUUAAAAGUUCUAUUCUAUCCCUUUAAGCAUCUAUCAAGCACAGACACGGACACUAAUAAUAACUUGUAAUAAAUUAACAGGUAUACACAAACCUGGAAGGAAACAAAUCUCAUGUAGUGAACACUGCAUGGGCUAUGCUGGCACUCAUUGAAGCAGGACAGGUAUAAUGUAGCAUAUUAUGACAAGUUAAACAAACUAAGCUCAACGCCAAUUAUAUAUAGAACUAGAACAUAAUAUAUAAUAAAUAAACUCGAUAUUCAUUAUUUUACGGUAUAGGCCGAAAGAGAUCCAACUCCAUUGCAUCAUGCCGCCAAGGUUUUGAUAAAUUCACAAAUGGAAAACGGGGAGUUUCCUCAACAGGUAACAAUUGUUAUGCAGAUGACAGAUGAAAAACUCUUUUGGUACGUUAAACAAGCUCUUUUUAACAAAAAGGAGUACCUAAUAUAUAGGAAAUGAUAGGAGUCUUCAACAAGAAUUGCACUAUCAAUUACUCAGCAUGCAGAAACAUUUUUCCCAUAUGGGCUCUUGGUGAUCAAUAUCGAAGUCGAGUACUCCUUUAAUUUAUCCCGACAAAGAGUCCAGAGAAAUUGCAUCAUAAUCAGGUUAUAAACAAAUGUCUAUAUUAAUUGUUUUCCUUGUCAUAAAGUAAUUCACUUGAAUCCUCUUAUAUUUAACUAAUCUCAUACCUUUUCAGCUACAAAACUGCCAGCAAAUGGAGCAGGAGGCAAAACAAAGUGCACUAAGUUUCAAACUUUAUGUUGAAUACAUGUGACAUGUCAAUUGCAAUUUAAAUGAUACAAAAAAUUGGACCCUACUACAAGAAUUCCUCAAACAUUUAAUCAAUUUGCUGUUGUCAUUUCUCCAUCAAUCAAUCAAUUCAAUAAAUGGCUACAACUUUCACGCAAAACAAAAGUAAUCCUCGUUGGUUAUUUCAGUUAGCCUAGUUACUUGUAUUUUUUUUUUGGUAAAAUGACAAAAGAAAAAGAAAAAAAAAAAACCCUAAAAACAGGGUUCAGCCUGGGGCAUCAAGCCUCAAGACUGACUUCAACUCCGAUGGGGGAGCAUGCCAAAAUGUCACACUUAAUCUUGAAGAGCGUCCGAACUUGACCAAGAAAUAUGCGCAAUAGUUGCCCUCUCGAAGCACAUGUUAGAAAGAAAUGUUACGAAUAUACUCCUUUAACCCAAAAAUCUUCACCAACAAAGAGGCGUACACAUACAUAUGAGAGUGAUCUGGCUCUUGAAGAAGACGGAAUGCUUCUAAAGAAUGUUUCACAAAUAACUCGUUGAAUAGAGUCGUUGAUUACCAACAUCAAACCAUGGUAAACCCCAAAUAGCCCAGAAAAAAGCGCAUCUCUUGCCCAUCAUUAGAAGAGAAUCCAACUAUCCAAUUUCCCUUGUUAUCACGAAUUAAACCUCCAUAACCAAUAUCGCCAGAAGCACCACAACUUCCAUCAAUAUUCAACUUAACACAUCCAUCUGAAGGUGGGGUCCAAUUAACCAUGUGACAAUUAAUGCCGUGCUCAGCAGGGGUAGCCCUGAGGGCGGCAGCCCAAGGCACCAUUUAAUUAGGGGCACCAAAAUUAUUAUUUUUACUUAGUAGUUAUAUAUAUAUAUAUAUAUAUAUAUAUAUAUAUAUAUAUAUAUAUAUAUUGUAAUUCGCUUUGAUUAAUUCUAUUGAAAAUAUAUUUUUAGAUAACUUUGAUUAUAAAUGAAUAUUUUGCAACAAAAAAUGCUAGAAGAAAAAUAUUUGAAUAAUUAAAAGGGCAUAAUUUAUUGUUUCGUCCAGGGCACCAAAAAUCUUAGGGCUGACCCUGGUGCUUAGAGGAGUGAAUAUUGAUAGAAGUUAGGUCGGUAAACAUAAUGUCUAUAAAAUGAAUGAAAUUUUGGAUUUUCCAUUGCUUGUCGCCAAGAAUAUGAUUAUUCCUGAAGCGCCAGAUCCACCAAAUAGUUAUUACAAACUAUGUCACCAAAUAGACAUAGUUUGUAACCAUGUUUUCCAAGAUGUUAAGCUGAAUAAAUAUUGAUGAUUAACACUAGAUAUUAGCUGCCAAACUUCGUAAAAGGAUCACGAUUCUUAAAACCUAAAAGCAACAACUAUUUCUUUAGGAGUUCGUCGCUACUCUACUUGGGGAUCGAUCCUUAUGCACCGUGCAUAAAUCCCAACAUAAUUGCUUCUACACCUCCAAAGGAAAUCAAACAAAACAAAAAGAACCAAAUGCGGAAACAAACUGAAUCAUCACCGUCGUUCAUCAUCAUCAUCAUUGGUAUCUUCAAUCUCAUUAUCAACACUGUCGUUCAUCAUCAUCGUCGUACCGGAAUGCCAAAACCAUUUAUCUGUGGAAAUGGUUUCUGUGAGUUGUACUCCAAACCCAUUUUGCUGUGGAAAUGGUUUCCAUAAUCUUCAAUCUCAUCAUCAACACCGUCGUUCAUCAUCAUCACCGUACCGGAAUGCCAAAACCAUUUUGUUGUGGAAAACCAUUAGAUGUACUUAAUGGUUUCCGGCAGUUUGCCAGUCAUAAAUCCCUUUAACAUCACAAAGAUUUCGAAUUUAGUAACAAAUUCAGAUCUGAAACCGUAAACCUCAUGAACACUAAACCACAGAAAAUCACAUAAACAUCAUUUACCACUCUCAAAGUCAUCAAUGAAUCCAGAAGAACAUCCAGAAUCGGUUUAGAAGAGAUAGAGGGAGAGUUCAACACAACAACAAGAUUCGAACCGGAUCGGAACAACACUUCAACACAACAACAAAUCCGAACCGGAUCGGAGAAGAAGACCAAAACGCGAAACGGAUCCGUGAAGAACAAGAGGUAGUUUCAUUUUCUCUUUUUGUUAUGUUUUUUUACUUGUAGAUCUACGCUCAUGUGAGUUUUUUUUUUGAGAAAUCUAAGGCGAUAUUUGGAAUCGACACAAAAAAGGAUGUCUAAACCCGUGAUUUUUUUUUAUUUGGACAGAGUUUUGAACUCUAGCGCGGUGGUGCCACUAUCGGCCACCACGCCGGAAUCAUCAUGUGUGGCCGAAAGAGAUGAAGACUCAUCUGAAUUGUAGAGAGAGAGGGAGAACUUUAUGUUUUAGUGAGAGAAAUGUUUGAAGCAAACGAAGUUUGAUUUGACGUAGUUUGAGAAGCCUAUAAUUAUUACACGUGUACACUAGAUUUGAUGGUUGUGAAGUGUUUAUGCACGGUGCAUAAGGAUUUCCUUAUGCACCAUAACUUUUGCCCUCUACUUGUAUGCAUUGCAAAAUAUUUGUUCUAAAAACAAGGCUAAAUUUCAUUUUGGAUCCUUUAACUAUUUAGGUAGUAUCGCUUUGGUCCCUUAAUUAAAAUUCGAUUUAUUUUGGUCCCUUAACUUCUCUCCGUUACACAUUUUGAUCCUUUCCGUUAAUUUUAAUUCAAAAACGUUAGGUUCUCUUCAUCUUUUUCAUCUUCAUAUCAUUUCCAUCAACCUUCAACAACAAGAAUCCCAUAAAAAUUUCAUAAGAAAAUGAAGAAAACCUAACAUUUUUAUAUUAAAAUUAACGAAAAUAAUAGUUAAGUAUGUAUAUUAAGCUGGAAGCAAAUAUAUUAUUUUGAAAGAUUAUAUUAGCUAGAAGCAAAUAUUUAUAAAUAUAGAAAUUUGAGCAACUCAAUUUUAUUGUAUAGGUUCGAAAGUUUUUUUUGGUGGUAGAAGAUUCAAAAGUUUUUGAAGUACCUUAUUGCAUUAUGUGAAAAACGAAAAAGUAUAUGAUUAAAUUAACCUAAUUAUGAAUAUAUAUAUGUCAAGUUUUUUUCUAUUAUCAUAUGAGAAUGGGUAUCUUAUGUGAGAAUGAUGAGAACAAUUAUAGACCGUUAGAUUAAAAUAAAUGGAUCAGAUUAAAACCUUUAUUUUAUUGACUCGUGUGCUAGAUGUUUCCCCAAUUUCAUUAAGUUCUGGACUAUUCAUAUUCCCUCGUCUCAUCUUCAUCCUCUAAAAUCAAUAUCACGGUAUCUAAUUUCCCAAACCCCUUCGCACACUAACAAAACAAAGAUUUAUAGUCAUUGAUAUUUUUGCUAUCAACCGAAAUAGCAUUUCUCAUGCAUCAAAUUGUGAAGAAGCCACACACUAAAUUUUAAAGAAAUGACAUGUGAAUUGAGUGUGUCACCUAAUUUUCUUAUGGUUUCUAUACUUUUUUAGAAUUUUAUGGUGAAAAAUUGAUUUCAAGGUUGUUCUUGAUUUUGGAUCUGAGUAUUGAUUUUAAAAAUUAGCUUUUUUAUAUAGUAAUUUGUGGUUAUAAAAACGAAGGAGAACCGGAAAUAAAAGAAAUUUGAAUCUGCUGAUGAAACAAGUGUGAAUGGAAUAGCAAACUGGUUUUAAGUGGAAGUUGGAAGAAGGAAGAUGACGAGAAAGUUGGGAGUGGAUAGAAUAAGGAGAGUCACAUGGUUAGUUAGAAUAGAGCUUUUAAUCCGAUCUCUUUAUUUUAAUCUUACUGUCUAUAAUUGUUCUCAUCAUUCUCACAUAAGAUACUCAUUCUCAUGUGAUAUGCCCUGUGUGUGUCCAGUUUUUUCUAUUAUCUUUUAAAAGUUAUAACAAACUAUAUGAAUAUAUUUAUACCUUUAAAUCUGACCAAAUAUAUAUAUAUAUUUAUACCCUUAAACAACUUCAUCACAAAAUACCAUUUGACUAUCCUUUUAGUUUCGAAAAGGCAAAAUAUUGUUUGCAGAGGCCGUGAGUUUUCAUUGCCUUGAAUUCGUGUGAAAAGUGGCGAAUGAUACUUCCUCCGUCACUUAAUACAUGACACAGUUGACCCAAUUACGCAUAUUAAUGCAUAAUUUUGAGUUUAAAUAUCUUGGAUAAUACAAAAAUUAAAUAAAUGAGACCCACAAGCUAACAAAUAAUUCAUCAUAACUUUGGGACUUCCAAGGGAUCCUAUCUUGAGUUUUAUCACCACAUUAGACCAAGAGAAAAUACACAAGUGAAAUUGAUAUCCUUCCAUCUCACUUAUAUGUUGUUCAAAAUUUAUCAUUCCAUCCAAUAUAAAUAUUUAACUCAUACUUGACACAUUAAUACCUCUUAUUCAAAUUUGCAACUCUCAUGUUCAUAAUUACGUGAUAUAGUCAAAUAAGAUCGAAGGAAGAUACAAUAUGUUUAAAAAAGUUUGUUGGUGAUGGUUUCAUUACAAGUGGUUUAUGUUCCUUUCGUACAUGGGAAGGGGGGAAAAAUAGAAGGAAAAACAAAGAUACCAAAAAGAAAUUUGAAUAUGAGAGAAGCUAAAUGAAAAAGAAAAUAUAAGUAUUGUGUGUUUUGUUUGUGAAAGUAUAAGAAAGAUUGUGAGUUGUUGAUAAAUCUAUGAGUUUUUUGAAGGAGUUGAAGAUUUUUAGAUAAUCAUUUUACCAAAAAAAUUAGAUUCAAUUAAAAAACGCCACGUAAUUUUAAAUAUGUAAUAAACAUGUAUUUAUCAACCCAACAUAACACAUCUUCAAUUUUCUAUUAUCAUUUCCCACCAUUAACCAAAAGAAUAUAUAUAUUUUUUUUAACUGAUGAGCCUAUCACGGCCUCAUCCAAAAUAUAUUGAAAUCAAAAGUGAGGUACAAAAAGGAGGGGGGACCAAACCAAGCCCUCAAAGUAAAAUUAGAGAACUUAUAAUAGGGGAGACCAAGUCUAUUAUUGACAAGGUCUGCUCUAAUAUUAACAGGGGGUGAAGACCACCAAGUGAAACCAUCAACGGUUAACCCUAUGCUGGCUAGCUUAUCAGCACAAUGAUUUCCUUCGCUAUACAUGUGUGUGAUCAUACAGGUCAAACCAGUCAUCAAAUGCAAACAGUUUAGCCAUCUAUUCUUUAUCUGCCAAGGAACUAUAUUAGAUGACUUGACUGCCAAGUUAGCCAAUUUUGAAUCGCUUUCAAUCCAGAGAUGAGUCCAUCUUUUCUUAAUAGCACAUUCAACAACAAAAAUCACUCCCAUGAGCUCAGCAUAAAAAUCAUUUUCAAUCCCUAAAUUAGCUGCAAAACAGCCAAGGCUUUCUCCAUUUCGGUUUCUGAAAAUACCUGCACAAGCUGCUUGAUCGGUGGUGCCAAGAGCUGCUCCAUCAGUGUUGCACUUGAUCCAGUGCAAUAUUGGGGGGCUCCAUAUGACUUCAGUGAUCUUAGGUGCAUUAGGAUAAUGUGUAUUCACUUUGAAAGCCUUUAACACAGUGAAAUCUCUAAUUGUAGAACCAGUAGCUAACUUGGUAAGGUUGCCAGCUAUAGAUACAUUUGCUAUAAUCUGCGUUAUUGUUGAUUUCAUAAUUUGGUUGUUCACCUUUGAAUCUAAAAGAGUUCUAGCAAGACCAGAUAGCAUUGAGAAUAUAGAUGAUUGCUGAGAUGAUGGUAAGCUUGCAUUUUGAACUCCAACCUCUCUCACAAACAUCAAACAGAGAGAGAAUGGAGUUGCAAUUGAUGGAGUAAUGGAUCAGAGGCUGAAACCAUUUCCAGAGAUUAGUAGCAAAAUGACAGGUAAGGAACAAAUGAUCAGCAAUUUCAGAUUUUAUAAAUUCUCAAGAAAGAGAAUAACAGAGGUUAAAUGAAAAAAAAUCACAAAAAAAAGAAUAGCAUCAAAAAACUAAAAUUUAAAAUUCAAAAAUUAAAGACUUAAUUGCAGUUUUAGUCCCUUAUUUUUAGUAAAUCGUGAAAUUGGUCCGUUCAUUUUAAGAUCACUCAGUUUUGAUCUCUUUAUCUUAUUUUAAGACUGAAAAACAAUGAUGGACAUAUUUUAAAUAACAUGACAUACAAUCCAAUGAUGUAAAAUGAUCAAUACCAACAUAAUUAUUUGAAAACUUUGAUUAAGUUUUAAUUUAAACAUGACAUAUCACCAUCUUUAAGUUUAUAAAAUCUAAAAGAGGGACCAAAACUAUGUGAUUUUGAAAUGGAGGGACAAAUUAUAUGAGUGAGUGCAAAUAUGAUGACCAAAACUGUAAUUAAGCCAAAGUUAAACAAAUAACUUCCAAAAACUAAAAAAACAGUACAUCAUAAUGUUGUGAGUUUCGGAGGAUCAUAUAUUGAGUUUGAUCAUCACGUUAGAUUAAAAGAAACCACACAAGUGAGUUUGAAACCACAUCUCCAUCUUAAACCUUAAGUCAUUAAUAUAUGAGUCAUAUCACUUAUAUAUUGUUCAACAUUUACUAUUGCAUUCAAUGUGGAACUUUAAAUAACACUUGACACAUUGACCUCUUUAUCUCAAGUAUGAGACUUUCUGCAUAUGUAAUCUACCACCAAGAACAACAAUUGUUUCCCCCACAAAGUUGAAUCGGCAUAUGGUAUUGUCGUUGGACCGUACAGGAGAGCCAACACUGGUGUUGAUUGACUCAUUGAACACAAAGCGACCACACAGAUGUGCAUGAUACCAUAUCUUCACCCAAUAUAUUAAAUUUGACGAAAGUCUAGCCCGUGCUUGGCACGGGUUUCCAUGCUAGUAGCACAUAAUUUACAAUAUUCGAAAUAUUCAACUUUGCCCUAUGAUGCAUAGGUACGGGUACAUUGAUAUAAAACACUAUAAAAAAAUAAAAAGAUUUUUCAAGUAAAUUACUAUACUUUUAAUUCUAUCAUCAUGUUGCCUGUAUUUUUCAAGUACAUUGAUAUAGUUUUACUUUUAUGUGCACCCCCUCUACUAUUUUUAUUAAAAGCAAGAGUGAGAAUUAAAAUACAAUAUAAAAGCAAAAUAAUUUUGGUUAUUUUUCCACCGUCCAUGCGUUUGUUGCACCAACUAAGAUGAAACAUCUAAGUAAAUAUAAGUACAGUUCGGUAUGUAAGUUAGGAGUACCAUACGCGUACCUGGUACCAAUACUUCUUCAUGUUUGGAGUACCCAUGCUUUCUCUCUGCCAUCAUCUGAAAUAGAUCAAUGAUUAAUGAUUAUUAUCCUUUACAAUAGUAGUAACAAAUGUCAAGAAUUAAUGAAACAAACAAUUCAAACCUUAAAGAAACUUGUAGUUGAAAAAUGCAUCAACUAAUAAUUUCAAAACAUAAACGAAUUACACAAAAUUCAGUCCUCAAGUAAAUUCAAUACUACAGAUCAGUAAAAUGUGUCCGCGCCUAAUCAACAUUUGGUUAUUAUGAAGAACAAGAUUUCUGUUUUCAAAAAUUGAUCUCACUCCGCAGCAUACUUCUUCCUAUGAAAAUGCAAAGACAAAUACUUGUCUUGAAAGCGUUGUAAGCUAUGCCGGUAUGGCUGUUUCUUUUUGAACUAUUUUUCCGAGAGUGAACCGAACAAAACGCCGCGCUUUAAUGUUCUCUCCAAUACCAGCUAUACUUUGCCUCACCAAGUCUUUCACUACAACACUGUCGUCCUUAAUAAAGGAUGCCCUAGAAGAGCAAGCUCUCCUAAUGUCACCUUCAUUUUAGCAGUCCAUCAUUCCAGCUCCUGCCACGUUGGCAUCUGUUUGUUGGAAUAAAAUGUGUUUAGCAAUAAUAAUCCUCAAGAAUUUUGAUGAUAACAAAGUAUUAAAAAUUGUCAAUUGGAUAGGCUAAUAUUUGUUCAAGUGUACAGGACUAUAGAUAAAAAUUUGACAUCUUAAAGUGGUCUUGGAAGAACAAAUAGAGAGCAAGUACAUCAACAAAAAGGGAAGCUUAAAGCGUCUGAAGAAAACUGCUCCUGAAGACAAAGUGCUCUUGAAGUGAUGAUGUCAUCAGAAGCAAGUUCAUCAGAAGCUGUGAAUCACCAGAAACUGCAUUUCAUCGGGAGAUGCAACUUAAAGCCUCAAAAGCUGUUUCAAGGAUUCACACUCGUCUAAGAGUGCAGAAGACUGGAAAAGUAUAGCAAGGCUAUUUUGAAAGGAUUGAAAAACAUUGGAUGUUUAUUCUUCAAGAGCGUUGACAUAGUACGUUUGUACGAAGUGUACAAUCACUAUCUCCACUACUCUGUUUUUGUCUCUGCUACAAGACAAGAAAAACAGCUCUGUCUGCAACAAUGUUUCUUCACAUUGGGAACGCAUUUGAAAUUGAUCCUUCAUAGGACAAUAACCAUAUCAAGCAAAGGAUCAUUGGUGAUUGAUCAAAAGCUUCAAACGACUCUAUUUUGAAUGUGUUGGCAAUUCAACGUCUCUUUCACACCUCUAUAUGAAGGAGUGAAGACUCAGAGUUUCAUAAGAACAAUACGACGCAUUAGCUAAGCCAAAACUCUGUUGAAAUUGUUCUCCACUUCAAAGUUCACUUAGAAUUUCUUAACAAAGCUUAUAGGGUUAAUGGUGCUUUACCCCCCCUGUAAUAUAUGUCAUUUUUUGUUUUCCCCCCUGUAAAAUAUAUUUUUUGAUUUACCCCCCAGGGAAAUAUUUUUUUUUGGAAUACCCCCCUAUAGGUCAUAAAAAAAUGACUUUAUUAUUUUUUUUUAGAAUUUUUUCGUUUUUUUAUGACCUAUUAGGGGGGUAUUCAAAAAAAAAAAAAAUUUACAAGGGGGUAAAUCAAAAAAAAUAUUUUACAGGGGGAAAACAAAAAAUGACCUAUAUUACAGGGGGUAAAGCACCAUUAACCCAAGCUUAUAUCUUAGGAAUUCUAGAGUCUUUAGAGUCUGUAUCUGAUUUAUAUUGUGAACACCACUGAUUGUAUAUCGAGUGUUCAACUUCAAACAAUUUUCUUUGUAAUUCUGUUUGAAUUCAGAAGUCUCUUGCAGUUGUGCUUGAGCAAUAGAAGUCUCUUGAUUGUGUUCAGGAGCAUAGGAAGUCUCUUGCAGUUGUGCUUGAGCAUUUGAAGUCUCUUACUAAGUUUAGUAGUGAGCAUUUGUAAUCAGAUUUUACAUAGUGAACUCUCCUUGGAAGUGCAAGGGGGAUAUGACUGACUUCCGGUUUGUGGAAGGAACCUAUAUAAAUUGCUUGUGUCUUUCUUCUCUCUCUCUCUCUCUCUCUCUCUCUCUCUCUCUCUCUGUUUUAUCCGCUGCAAUUAGUUCUGAAUAUCUCUUCAGAAGUAGAACUCUAUCUGCUUCUGAACUGCAUUUUCAGUUACAAGAAAAAGAAGAAAAAGAAAACACAAUUCAACCCCCUUCCUGUGUUUUUCUCACCUUCACUGUUGACUCUGUUAUGCAUAAUUCCAUUUCUAAUGCAUGGGAGAAUUUUAACUUGACAGUGAUAAUGUCUCAAUAGUUAGUGAUUUUACGGUCGUUUUUAAAUAGUUUUCAGUUAAGUUGAGUCAAUAAAGGGUGUUUUUAUAGUCAAACUAAGCAAAAAAGAGGAUUUUGAAAAUUUCAAGUUGUAUUGGUUAUUCUUGUUGCUACAAACUCUUGGAGUUUUUGCUCUCUCUCCAAUUUCAGAUUGACAAAUUGAACGCAAUGAAGUGAAAUACUACCAUCAAAGUUGCGAAGAUUUUGUGCAUUACCUAAUGAUGGAGAAUUACAAAUAAUAUUUCUUUGACACUACUUUUUAUAUAUUUAUCAUUGUUAGUGGUCUUUGAAGGAAACUAAAAGUGUAGCCUAACAAACACUUAUGCUGAUGGGUUCAAGUAAUAAGAAAGGAAAUUGGAUUUUGUGUGGGGUAGGCCACGUGAAAGGAAAUAAAAAGGAAAUAGAAGGUUGUGCUGAUGUGUAAAAAAAGAAGAAGAGGGGAAUUAGGUUUCACUUGGUUUUGAAAUAUAAAAGGAGUGCAGCUACAGCAAAAGUGGGAGUCUGACUUUUGGGAGCCGCACAACACAGGAAAGGAGGAGACAGCGACAAGGAAAUUGGAAGGAGUCUUUGGGAGAACGACAAUGCGGGGUGACGUCGGCAGCGUCGGAAAUUUCUUCCGGUUUAUUCUCUUUUCUUUGUUUAUUUGUCUUAUCAUGAGUAGCUAAACUCCAAGUUAUUGGGGAUGAGUAUACCUAGAUGAAUACUUUUGUCAUGUGAUUUGAUUAUGUUUAUUGAUGAAACUUAUUGAAUUAUUUUUCUUAUCUCCAUGCUUAAUGCUUUUAUUGAUUGAUCACCUUUAAAUUGAUUUACGGUUUAUAUUGUGAAACGGGGGUGGAAUUUAUAAACGCUUUGAGAUAAGAAAUUCUUGCCUUUGUAAUCUAGGAAUAGAUGCAAACCCUUGAAACCACUUGAGAAUUCUUGUUCAUUUAUGCUUAAUUCUAAUCUUAAAUUCACUAAGGAAUUAAGAGUUGUUUUAGAAUUAAUGGUUUUGUCACUAAGGAAUUAGGGCAAGAAUAAAUUAGAGAAUUCGGUAAUAAUUCGAUAAGUUGAUUCAAUAGUUAUAUUCGAGUUACUAACUUAAGAUAGUCAUCUAGCAAACCUCAUCCUCAACAAUUUUCUUAUUAUAAAGUUAAAACAAAUUUUCUUCUGAUUAAUUUACAUUAUUGCUAUCAAACAUAUCUCGUACCUUUUUGUUCAAUUAAGUAACAAAUAUUAUUUGACAGUAUAACGCGAUCCUCGAGUUCGACACUCGGUCUUACCGUUUUAAUUUUAUUACUUGCACGAUUUCGUACACUUGCGAAAAUCGCUAUCAGACAGCAAAGCACAAGUUUUACUACCAAACAGUGUUUCUUAUAAAAUUGCGAAAUUUCUUUUAAGUAACAUAAUAUUGUAAGAAAAUGUUCAUGAAAAAAAAAAUAGGUGAUAAAGCUCUUCUCUAUGUUGAAAACAGAACACACUGAAAUCACUAAAGAAAAAUCAAUUAUACCUUUGCGCACUAGGGCCACUCUUGAAGCAAGGAUGAUAACUUUUGAUGGCACAUAAUUCCUGCAAUUGUACUUCUCCAAACAUAAUUCCUUGAGGUUCCUUUGCUAACUAUUUCCUAAUGGGAUGCAUGUCAUCAUGUAUGAAUAGCUGCAGAGCUCCUAAGAAUAGAUUUACGCCUUCAUACCAACACUGAAAGGAUCGUCAAAUAGAUUUACGCCUUCAUACCAACACUGUAAGAAUAGCUGCAGAGCUCCUAAGAAAGUGAAGUCAAGGAACCUUGCAAAGCUAUCAGUAUUAGGGAAAAGAAAUUGAAGUACAAUGCAAGAUUGAAUUCUGCAUUAUUUAUGGAAAUAAUCUUUAUAUGCAGAGGAUAAUGUCUCCCGUGAAGAAUAUUAAUUAAGGAAAAAAUGUUCUUCUGUAGUAAACAACUAGCUUAACACUCUGUUAACACCAGCAUUAUUUGCUCAAAGUAACACACUUACAUCAGUAUUCUAACCACAUACAACCAGCUAAAAAAAUAUAGAUAAACCGGGGGGAAAAAAUUGAACGGAACUAGCAUUUUUAUGAAAUAACACAUGUUGUCAUAAUCCAUUCAGUACAAACUUACAAUCCAAAAUCAAAUUAGAAUGACAAGAUUGUCACAAUCACAUGAAAAUUACAAUCAGAAUCAAGCUUACAUUUAACAAUAUGAAGCAAAUAAGAUGAAAUUGCAACCUUUGCUCCGGCUUUCAUAAUAUGUUUUUACUACAGACCGCACAGGACCAUCCUUUGCAUCUGGGAGCAACAUCUGCUUGAUCUUUGAAACCUGCCAAAUAAAUUGAAGCAUAAGUUUGAAAGUUGUGUCAAGAAAGAGGAAUACAUUUAGUCUAAAUGAUAAGCAGCACCUCAAAUAGUUUUAUUGAUGUAUCUGCACUUCUAGUGGCAACAAAUCUUCCAUCAGGACUAAACCUAGCACACCUGGUAAUUUUCUAGAAAUUAAGCCAAUCAGUCCAAAAAUCAAUUAGUAAAAAAAAGCAUGUGCUCAAUGGUAGGGGAUGUUGUACUUGUAUGGUAUUUUGAAAUUAUAAUGCAGGAUAUCAUGAAGCUAUGAAUGCAUAUUGCUUACCUUGGGAAACUUUUUGACGAAACUUUUAUAUCUGGCAAAGAGAUGUUACACGAAAAAACAAUUAUCAAUGGUUGUUUCCCUAUCUUAUUUGCUAUAUGAAAAUGAAGGAACUUAAAAGCAUUAUUUAUAAUUAGCAUGAGACCAAAAUAAAAGAUAACAAAUUGUGCAAGAAAAUGAAUAUGAAAUAUCAAUUUGGAAAGCUUUGAUAAUCAAAAGAUGUGUUCAAAUUAAUAUGUAGUCCUGCUUUCCUUAGAUCAUUCUUUUCUACAACCAAAAAUUAAAAGCAGGUAAAUGAAAUACACCAACAAGUAAGACCUACAUAUAAUAUGCAAUGGCGUAUCCGGGUAACCUACAAACAUGCAUGCUAACUUUUUACUUUAUUCAUUUCCAAUUAAAGGAAAUGUAGUUAGCCUUGGUUAAACUCUUGCAUAGCUGAAAAUAGACAAGUCUUCACUGUUUUUUCCUCACAAGUUUUAAUAAAGAUAAAGAACAAAAAAAUAAUGAGCUAAACUAAAAGUCAUAAUUCUCCACAAUAGCUAUGGAACAAAAUGUUAUUCAAUGCCAAAAAAUUCUGUAACAAUAAUGAAACACCAUGAUAUCAAGCAUUUCUCUGAACAAUAAAUUAAAAACUGUUCCAUUGACUUCAAAUGCAAAAGAAAAGCAGCCAAAACAGGAGAACGAGUGUAAAAAAAUUGCCUGAAAUCAAUGGUUGUUGCACCGGGACGAGGCAAGGGCAAUGAUGCACCCAAAUCUUGAAAAGGAGAAGAUGAUUCCCUCUUGGCAAAUCAUCCUUUUCCGCUGCAAGACCCUGUUAUUUCUUUAGAACAAAAUCCUUCCUCAUGCUCACAUUAAAGGGAAAGUUUAGAUUACACAAAAGAAAGGAGUAAACUCCCAGCUUAAUUUUUUAUAAAUUCCACCACAACACUCAUUAGUCUUCAAGAAUGCAAAAAAAAAAAAAAAAAUGAACUUUAAUCCCUAAGCACCCCAAAUAUAAGUCAUUACUAGUCUUUCAUAGGGGUAAGCCAUCCAAUGUAGAGUGACGGUGCCCAAGAUACAUGGUACGACACAGAAACGAGAAAAAUUGUAAAUUCAUGAUAUGAUACGGCCUGGAUACUUGUGAUUGAAACGAAAAUAUAGAGUUUCUACCUAUAACAUAAUAUAUUCAAACUCGAAUGUUACGAUAACAACAAAAGUAUUUUUAGAAAAACUAAAACAUUGAGUAUAAAUCGUCUAUGCCCGAGGAGUAUCAGGAAGUAGCCAUAAUAAAAUAAAGAUACUUUAGGAACACAUAUCUGUUAGUAUCGAUACAAGUACGACAGUGGACACCCACACAUUUCGUAUUUUGAAGUAUCGAGGCUCCAUACAUAGUAUUUCAGUUGAUGGACGUUUGAGUAUUUAAAGAACUAGACUACAGUUUUUGCAUUCUCAGGGACAAAUAUAUUAUAUCCACCACAAUACUCAAUAAAUGAAGAAGGGUUAAAUAAGUUUUUGGUCCCUCCCUAAAAAACGAAUUUAAACCAUACAUAAACGAAAUGUUUCAUGUUUAGUUUGUACCUUAUUAGCAACCAAUUGAAGAAUCUUGUUGGGUGGAGCUUGUACAUUGAAUGGUGUCAUAGUUGCUGAAGCAACAGCAGUUGCAGCCUGAAAUGAAAAAACAAUAAAUCAAUUGAAUAAUUGAAUUGAGAGGAAAAGAUGUAUAUAAUAAGUAAUAACUAACCUGAGUGAGAUUGUUGUGACGAAGAUGAGAGACGAUAAGAGAAUUAAGAUGUCUAUACAGUUUCCCAUCUUCAACUGUCUGCUCCGACCUACAACUACUACUGUUUUCCAUUUUUGGCUGUUGUCGGCUUCACUACACUAGUUUUAGAGUGUCAGGGACCAAAUUUGUCCUUAACAUUGUACCACAUCUAAAUCUUCUUCAGAAACCAAACUAAAGUAAUCAAACAAGCACAAACAAUGAAUCGACCAAUGAUAUGGAGGUUCGAGAUUUUUUCUGUGGAGAUUCAGUAGAAACUUCAUCUGCAACAGGUGAAUCUGGUACCUCCACGGAUUCUUCUGUUUCUUUGGCUGAUAUGGAGGUUUGAGAUAUUUUUCUGUGGAUGAUAUGAAAGCAUAUUUCAGUGAUAGUGUUCCUUAAAAUGAUACACAGACACUGAAACGGCACGGAUACAUUAUAGGAAAAACCCCGCAAAUUAUAAAAUUCAGUCUAAAAUGCAAAGCAGAAAAAGUAAGUCGCACUUCUGCCAACAAAAUCAUUGAAAAAAAAUUAAUAAUAUAAAGUUAACAAGAUUCUUUUGAAUUACCUUUGAUUGUGGUUGACAGCGGAGAUUGUUAUUGCGGUUGACUUUCUUCUCUGUGAAGUAAUUAUGACUUGUGAGAUGAAUGAUUCUUGUUCUAGUUGCGGUUGCGGUUGCGGUUGCGUCUAAUCUUCAAUUGCCAAAAUCUUGCAUUUCCCAGUUAAGAGAUUUUCGUGAUUCAUCAUUGUGAAGUUGAACUCUUGUAGGUCUUGUUUAAAACCCAACGAUACUCACAACUCUUCACCUCGACCAAAUCUUUACCAUUAAAAAUGUUAACAUGCAUUCUAUCCAUAGAAUGAUACAAGAGUGACCUACUGUGGAAGUAGAUUAUCCACAGGUGACUUGAUUUGGGCGUAAUAAGACCUCCAUUGAGAAUUACUGGAACACUCAUUUUCCUCAAAAUACUAUUGGAAUCUGUAGUUAAAGUCAGUUCCAUAAGGGACCACGGUGGAAAAUACCCAUGCUGAGGUGUCAUGGAAAAUACUGCACAACAUACAAAACCAAUGACAUUAUUGUUAUUGUCAUGCCUAAUAGGAGAUCCAACUUAGCAUUUCACUUCCUGGAGUAACUAUUUGAAUGCUAUGAAAAUAGUCAGGGUAGGAUGGUGGGUUUGCCAGAAUGAAUGAAUUGUUUCAUCCAUGAAAGUGUCAUGCUACUGCAACGUUCCCUCUCCUAUAAUCUGGUAAUAUUUGUUGUUCUCAUCUUGUUCCCACCCAAUAGUGGUAGGAAAAGGAAGUUGAGGCAAAGAUUCCAACAACUUGCAAUGUUCCAAAUUUAAAUAUACAAGUUUAGAAAGCUUCCUCAGGCUAGGUAGUGUCACAAAAUCGUUUCCCCCUAAAUUUAAUAUUUCUAGCCAAUGUAAACAUUCAAUUGCAUCGGGAACUUGACUUAGAUGGCAAAAACUAAAGGCAACAACACGCAAACAAUAUGUUGGAUAGUCAAACACUUUGGAACAACCGCACAUAUUUUGAUCUUCAAGAGAGCUAAGACCAAAUAUGUUGUUGGGUAUGCUUACUAGAUUUUUGUAAUCUUUUAAGUUCAAGUAAACAAGCUUUUUUAGAAGUCCAAGAGAUGGAUCCAACUCCACAAGUUUUACACAUCCUUUCAAAUUUAGCUUUUCAAGAUUCGGGAACUCCAAAAUCUGUUAUCUUUUCUAGCUCUUUGGAGUUACUUAGAUCCAAUGUUCUCAAAUUGGGAAGAUACUGUGACAUGAAAACCAACAAAACUAGAGCAUUGCUUUGAUUAAAAGAUAAUUAUUUUCAAUUGGUUUAUAUUUCUAAAAUAAACAUUAAUAAUAAGAGAAUUUAUAUUACCUUCUUGUUUUUCCAUAGUUGUUUAAUGCUGCUUUUCUUCAAGAUCAAUUCUACAAGUUCAUUGGAGUUAAAACUUGUUGGCAAAUACUGGCAAGGAUAUGCCUCCCACUGAAUAAAUCUUAAUGCGUUUGAAAGACUCGUUGGGCUUCUUGAGAUAUAUGCAUUGAUGAUGAGCACUCUAAGAUUACUCAUUUUUGACAAGUGUUCAAAGUCCACCAUCUUUUCAUGAAUCAAAACUAUGGCUUCAACAUGUUUUUCCUAAAGUAUUGCAAAAAAAUAAAAAUAAAGAAAAAAUAAAUUACUUUCAAUAUUUAUAGUUUUUAUAAAAAUGAAAAUAUGUUUUUUUUCUUUUCUAUAUUUCUAAACAGCUACUUUACCAUAUUCUCCUUCAUAACAUUGCAAAUUUGUUUAUGGGACCACAACCUGAAUCAAAAGGGCUCUUUCAUGACAUAGCCUCCUUUGUAUCAAAGUAGUUGCAUGGUAACAAUCGCAUAUUUUAUUGUGUUCUAUGCUGAGAGUUUGAAAUAGGAUUUUCUUUUGUGCAUCGAGUGGAUUAUCAUGUAGUCUGUAAAUUUUAGUUACAUCAUCAAUAAAAAAAGAUGCACUAAAUUGGUGAGAGAUUUGGCCAUAUAAAGUCGUAGCAAGGGUUGUUUUCCCAAUUCCUCCAAUUCCACAAAUUCCUAUAGCACGAACACCAUCAACCGAGUUCAAAAGCAAAUGAUUUUGUAAUGCUUGUAUAGGAGAAUCAAUCUCAACUAAAUCUUUUGAAACACAUGAAUAUUUGCAUUCCAAUAUAUUGAUUAUCUUUUGAACAACCUCUUUAAUUUCUCUAGCUAGUGGCCUGAAAGUUCAAAAAGUUGUUCAAUAACAUUAUAUCAUCAUGUAUAAAAAAAAAUUAGUUUGAACACCAAAUAUUUGUUCUAAAGGGAAAACAAAAAACAUACUCUUUGAAUUUAGGUUUAAAUGUGUCAUUGGUCCCUGCACUUUCAUCAGAUUUUGGCAUUGGUCCCUGCACUUUUUUUUGUUUGGUAUUGGUCCCUGCACUUUGUAAAAAUAUUGGUAUUGGUACCUCUGUUAACUUUCUGUUAAAAAAAAAAAAACACAAAACCAACGGAGUGCCACGUGGCCCAAUCAUUUCACGCCAAGUGGGACCAAUACCAAUAUUUUUACAAAGUGCAGGGACCAAUACCAAUAUUUUUACAAAGUGCAGGGACCAAUACCAAUAGUUUUGUGUUUUUUUUUAACAGAAAGUUAACAGAGGGAUCAAUACCAAUAUUUUUACAAAGUGUAGGGACCAAUUCCAAACAAAAAAAAGUGUAGGGACCAAUGUCAAAAUCUGAUGAAAGUGCAACGACUAAAGACAUAUUUAAACCUUGAAUUUAUAUCCUAGACUCGUGCAUCAUCUCUUCACAUUCACCUUAUAUUUUUUGCCAAAAAAAAAACUAUAAGUUACUUACUUAUCAUGUAGAUCCCAACCAGAGAUAUCCCCCACUUGCUCUAGAGCUUCCCUCCAUAUUGACACCUUCUUAGAGUCUUGUUGGAAUCUUUGUUCAUGUUUGACAAAAGCUUCACUAUAAAUCUCACUUUGCUUCCGCACCUCAGAAGGAUCAACAUCAUAGAAAACAGGAAGAACAUGUUUUCCUGAUCCCUUAAUGCAUUCACAUAUCUUUUCUAAUUCUUGCAAACACCAUGUUGAGGAAGCAUAGUUUCUUGAAAAGAAUGCAACAAAAACCUGAGAUCCUUCGAUUGCUCGAAUGAGCUCGGGUCCGAUGGAUUCACCUUUUGGAAGAUUAGUGUCAUCCAAAAAUACAAUAAUGCCUUUUGUUUGAAGGGCAUCAAAAAGAAAAUCAGUGAAAUUGUUGCGAGUGUCUUCACCUCUAAAGAUGACAAACACAUCAUAAUGAUUUUUCUUUGAAGAAGUCACAAGAGCUGAAGAUGAGUUGUUGCUGCUAGCCAUCUGAAUAUACAAGUGUUUAGAGGAUUUGAUAUGGCAACGUGAAUGAAUCUAUCACACUUAAAAAAAGGAUAUAUUAUUAUUAUUAUGAACAAUGAACUUUAAGCGUUUGAUUUCGUGGCACUUUCUUUACAAUAAUUUGCUUCUUUUCAAUAAUGGAGCUUCUAUUCAAUAAUGGAGAUUAGUUGCUUCUUGACAGCUUCUCCAUGGGCCAUAUAUGGUGUUUUAGUCACUUUUAAAAUCAUUUUCCAAAAAACUAAAAAAACAAAAGUUAAUAAGAUAUUACCAAUCCUUUUAAAAUUGUUUUCGAAUUUUUGUCUCCACUAGAAACAUUAUAAAAAAAAAAUAUGAUGAAUAAAUCUAUAAAUUUAUCCUCCAAAGAUAUAACCACUCCUUUUAAAAUUGUUUUCGAAUUUUUGUUUCCACUAGACACAUUAUAAAAAAAAAUAAUAACUUAUUUUGUCAAAAAAAAAAACUUAUGAAUAAAUCUAUAAAUUUAUCCUCCAAAGAUUAAGAUUAUAUUACCUUUUCUUGUCAAAAAAAAAAAGAUUCUAUUACCUUUUAUAUAGAAUUAUUUAUCUUAUCAAAUCAGUCCAUGCAUAACGAAAUAUUAUGUCUUCUAAACUAAAAAAAAAAAUUGAAAAAAAAUCCUUGAAUGUUUAUGAUUAAUAGAAUAAUUGCCUUGCCUCUUUCAUAUAUGAAAUAUGUAUAUACACAGAAGUGUUAAAUGCCUAUUCAAUACAAAAUUAAGGCCUAUUCAAUACAAAGGUUGACUAAGAAUAUUUCCUAUUCUAAUACACCCCCGUAGUCGAAACUGGAGGCUGACGAAUGUUGAGACUAUCUCGGAAGUCAUCAAACAGCUGCAGCGGAAGACCCUUAGUAAAAAUGUCAGCUAUCUGGUAGCGUGACGGAACAUGCAUUACGCGAACUUGACCGCGAGCAACCUUUUCUCGCACAAAAUGAAUAUCCAUCUCAAUGUGUUUUGUGCGUUGGUGUUGGAUGGGAUUACCUGAUAAAUAGACAGCACUAACAUUAUCGCAAUAUACCAGAGUGGCUUUCGUGACAGGACACUGAAGUUCUAAUAGAAGAUUUCGAAGCCAACAAGAUUAAGAAACAACAUUAGCAACACCACGAUACUCCGCUUCUGCAUGCACUAGAACGAGAGAGAGUUGGUUGUCGUUUAGCAGACCAUGAAACUAAAUUAUCUCCAAGAUAAACACAAUAACCGAACGUGGACCUGCGGGUGUCUGGACAUCCUCCCCAGUCAGCAUCUGUAUAUGUGGUGAGUUUGUCAAUUGUGGAGGGAUAGAGAUGGAGGCCGUGAGUGCUUGUGCCUUUAAUGUAUCUAAUGAUUCGCUUCAAAGCAGUCAUGUGUUGUGUUUUUGGAUCAUGCAUAAAAAGGCAUACCUGUUGAACGGCAUAAGAGAUGUCAGGUCGUGUGAAGGUAAGAUAUUGCAGUGCACCAGCAAGACUUCUAUAUUCAGAGGGAUCAUGAUAUGGGUUGCCUGAGGUUCCAUUAAGUUUCGCUUUUGUAUCUACUGGAGUAGAAACUGGUUUGCAGGAUGACAUGGCAGCUCUCUCAAUGAUUUCUUCGGCAUAUUUAUUGAGAAAGAAACAUACCACCUGAGUGUCUUGUAACUGAGAUACCGAGGAAGUAAUUGAGAGGACCCAAAUCUUUCAUAGCAAAUUCGGAAUUCAGUUUAGACAUGAUGGACUGGCGAAGAGUGUCGGAUGAUGCGGUGAGAAUGAUAUCAUCCACAUAAAGAAUAAUAUAGGCAGUGUCAUCGCCACGGUGGUAGAUGAAUAAGGAGUGAUCACAUACACUAUGAGAGAAACCCAAAGUAGCAACAAAAUCAGUGAAGCGUUGGUACCAAGCACGAGGCGCCUGUUUCAGACCAUAGAGAGACUUCUUCAGCAAACACACAUAAUCAAGGUGUUGAGGAUCACGAAAACCGGGAGGCUGGUACAUGUACACAGUUUCAUUAAGGUUCCCAUGUAGGAAUGCAUUUUUAACGUCUAAUUGAUGCAAACACCAUGAUUUUGAAAGAGCAAUACUUAGAACCGUCCUUAUAGUUGCAGGUUUAACUACUGGACUGAAAGUUUCAUCACAAUCGACACCAGUCUGCUGAUUGGAACCAUUUCCGACUAACCGACCCUUGUACCUCUCAAAAGAACCAUCAGCUUUCUUCUUAUGCCUGAAAAUCCAUAAACUUCGAAUAAUAUUAGCAUUAGAAGGACGUGGCACUAAAUCCCACGUCUUAUUAUCAAUAAGAGCAUCAUAUUCGUCUUUCAUGGCCAUUUUCCAAUUAUGAUCCUGUAAUGCAUUAAUAGGAUUGGUAGGCAAAGGAGAAAUUUGGUUUGAACUAGAGGUGUGGAGAUUAAGUAGUUAACGAGGCUUGAAGAUGCCGUGUUGUGCUCGAGUUGUCAUUUGAGGAGAGAGUUGAGGGUUGGCUAAAAGAGGAUUAGGUGGAGGUAUUUGAUGGGGAGAUGCCGUGUUAGGCGUAAUGGUGAGUUGUGGAGAAGUUUGUACUUGUGGAGAUGGAGCUACUGUUGGUUGGUGUGUGGUCGUGUUGAUGGAAUAUGGUGUGGUAAGUGGUGUUGCCGUGGUGGUGGGAGGCUGGUCGUGCGAGUUAGGUUCAUUUGUAGGAAGGAUUGAUGUAUGUUGAAAUAAAUGAUAAGGAAAUGGUGUAUCACUUGUAUCCAAAAAAUUAUAGCAUGUGGACUCGGGAAUAUUGGAAUUUGAGAAAGGAAAAGUGUUUUCGUCAAAGAUAACGUGUCUUGAAAUGAUGAUUUUACGACUUGACAACUCAAAACAUUUGUAACCUCUAUGAUUAGAUGGAUAUCUUAAAAAUACACAUGGUGUUGAUCUUGCUUGAAGUUUAUUUCUUGUAGUGGAAGGGAUGAGGGGAAAACAUAGACAACCAAAGACUUUAAGAUGAGAGUAGGAUGGAGAUUUUUGGUAGAGAAUUGUGGUUGGUGUUUGAAGAGCUAGUUUCUUGGUGGGUAGGAUGUUUAAGAGAUAAGUAGCCAUUUGAAGUGCGUGAUGCCAAAAAGAAGGUGGCAGUGACGCGUGAGCAAGGAGAGUGCGAAUGAUGUUAUUGAUAGUACGAAUUUUUCGCUCAGCUUUUCCAUUUUGAGGUGAUGUGUGAGGACAUGAAAAUCUGAAUAUCAUUCCAUUUUGCUUACAAAAUUGAUGAAAAUGAGAGUUGUCAUACUCCUUUCCGUUAUCACAUUGAAAACAUUUAAUAUCUUUUUCAAAUUGUGUUUUAAUGUGAUUACGAAAUUGGAGAAAAAUGGAGUGAGCUUGUGAUUUAUUUGUUAGAGGAAAAGUCUACAAAAAAUCCGUAAAAUCAUCAAGAAAUAAAAUAUAGUAGCGAUGACCACCGGAACUAAGAAUUGGUGAUGUCUGUUAUCAUGGUUUUUGGGUGCCAAGCCAUUAAUUGGACUUGAACCUUUUGACCGUUGAUAUUCUCUAUUUUUUCUUGGGAAGGGCAAAAUUGAGAAAAACCCUUAGAUUCUAAGUUCGGGGGUCGGAACUAAGUUCGGGGGAAGGUGUUAGGCACCCGGAGCGAUUAUGGUAUUCCAUAAGAACCGUUCUCCUAAGUUUAUUUCUACGCUUUAGUUUUAUUGCUUAUUCGUAUAAAAGGAAGUGUGAUUAGUUAAGAAUGGGGGGUGAGAAGAAGUAGAAUUUGAUUUUAUUUCGGCUUGGAUGAGUUUUGACUCAUUGCCUACGUACCCUUUUAAGGGAUCAAAACCGUUCGUAGUUCAUUCUCAAAAAUGGUUUUUGUUUUUGUUGGUUGAUUUUAAGUUUGAAAAGAAAUUUUGAAGAAAGGAGAUGAGAGGCCUCAAGGGCAUAAGAUUUGGAAAGUGUGAGGUGGAAUUAGUCAUUUUGCAAAAAUAAAGUCCAAGGAGGAUUAAGAUUUAUUGAAAAUUUUACUUAAGAAAAUAAAGGGGGAAACAAGGAGUUUUGACUCCAUUUUAUUUUCAAAAAGGUUUUCAAGUGUUAUUUGCAUGUUUUGGAAAAAAGUUGAUUUUUAUCUAAGUGUUUAAGCCUAAGCAUUCAUCUAACCAUACAAUCCUAUGCAUACAUCUAAGGUGAGUGUGUGCGUGCCGGUGCGUCAUAGUGUCCAUAGUCCAUAUUACAAAAAUUCCCUAAAUACAUUCUAUGGCCUCUUUGCCAAGCUACAAACCAAUGGUAACAAAUUACAUCACCAAAUGAAUUAAAACUUGCAAAAAAUAAAUGCUAGGCUUAAAGAAAGUGGAGAGUGGAGAGGGUGGUGGAAUGCUAUGAAAUGUAUGACACAUGAGAUGAAAUGGUUAGUAAUCAUAAAGCACAAAAUAGUAGGAAGUAAUUAAAAGGAAAUGCAUAAAAAUGGCAAAGAAAAGGUAAUAAAGUGGCAAUAAACCUAAAAACUUUGAUGUGAUACCUAAAGGUGCUUGUAACCCAUAAUCAUCACAUCAUGGCAAUUUUGAAAGAAAUUUUGUUUCAAGCCAUGACAUGAAAUUAAUGGAAACACAUGCAAGCAAGGUAUCACACCAAAUUCAUAGAGAAAUUUGACACUUUAUUCUCUAAAACAAACACUUGUUGCUCGUAAAACAAGAAAUCCAUAAAAUCAUAUUCAAAACAGCAAAAAGAAGCACAUGUCCAGAGGCAUAUUCAUCAUAAGAUAUGGUAUCAUUUAUUCAUAACACAUAUCAAAGUAUCAAGAACAAAAACAUAGCAAAAAGUAUACCAAAAGUGUAAAAACACAUGGAAAUUAGUUCAUGCCAUUUUAACAUUUUUUACAUGCAAGAAAACACCAUAAAAAUGCCAAAAAUAUACCAAGAAACAACUAAGAAUUUUUUAGGAAUUUUUAUAAAAAAUGUAGGCAAGUAACAGGUUCAGAUAGCAAGAAAAGCAGUGCAAAUAGCAAGAAAAUAACAAAAAAAACAUAAAAAGAACUAAGCCCAAACCAAAGCCCAAUCCUACAAGGAUCCGGAUGCACAGGGGACGUACGAUUGAUCCAGGGUUCUGAAACCCUAGAUCAAACGGCCAGGAACAAAAGGGACUGGACCGGUCCGGUUCACUAGCUUAUAUAAACAAGAGAGCACCGGUUUUUUCCAUUUUCCAAAUCCUUUCUCUCUCUUCUCUCAGAGCUUCUCUCUCUAAACUCUUCUCUCUUCUCUCACCUCCACCGGUUUCUGGCUAUGUCGCCGGAGAAGAUGAAGGUGACCGGAAACUUCAUCUUCUCCGAUGAACCUCCUAGGGUUCCGGCGAAGAGAUUUCCAGAAUUUCAAGAUUCUUACAUCUUUUGAUUCGUCUUAUUCUACUGGUUACGUUUCUGGUACUUGUUUUCACAUGCAAGGUCUGGAUCCUUAUGGAUCUAGGUUUGAACUGACGGUUUUGAUUUUUUUAAGUUUUGGAAAUUCUGGAUCUGUUCGUUUUUUACUUCACUGAUUCAUGCUUUUUCAAAGAAAGUGAUGAUGAAGUUGUUUACCUGUGGUUUCGGUUGGAAUUCUGAUGACGAUUUUCUUCGGAAAACUGUGAUCUGCUUGCUGCGUUCUUGAUGAUUUUUGUUGUUGAGCCACUGAAAAUAAAUCAGUAUUUUUGCACGCGAAUCUUCAUCUUCUUCACCGGUUUAAACCUAGCUUCUUCCCUCUUCUUUCUCUUCACUGUUUCCUCGUGAUCAGUGCUUGAGUUCGUCGCGUUUCAGUGAUGAACUCGCACUUUGAAUUGCGAGGAAAUUGGUUCUGUGAUGAUGAUUCCGUAUUGAAUCUCUGAGAAUCAAUGAGUAAUCAAAGAAACUUGGUUGAGUUCUGUUGAAUUUGGUGUUUUUGUGUUGAUUCGGUGGAAAUCAAUGGUGGAUUGAGGUGGUUAGGGUUUCUGCCAUUGAUGAAUCUUUGAAGCUCUUUGUUGAUACUGUUUUGAUCUAACAGAAAAGAGAGAGAAAGUUGGAUUCUGUUUUGGUGAGUUGGCGCUUGGUAAAUGGAAAACGUGUGAAAUUCAUUGCCACUGUGUUGCUUUUAUAGCUGACAAGUGUGUAUUGGAACCAAUAGGAAACUGACAUGUGGCAUUGGACUGGAAAAAAAAAGCGCUGCCCUGUAAUUUUAACUUGAAGGACCUGUUUGCAAAUUUGAAAAAUAUAUGGACUGGACUGAAAAAAAGAAAGUAAGGACUAAAAUGCAAUUAAAAAAAAUUUGGACAAAACAUGCAAUUUUGGGAUCUCAAUUUGAGGGACCAAAAUGCAAUCUAAAAAUAAAAUUGAAUAAAAAACGUAAUUUGACCAAACGUAAAGCGAAACAAAAAUAAAAUUGACAAAACGGACUAAAACGAACCAAUGGCCUAAAUGAGGUACUUCAAAGUAACCUCCCCAUGCCGAAAUUUUAUGUGAAAUGACCAAAAUGCCCCUAGGGCUAAAAAUGACCUAAACAGAUUCAAAUUGACUCGACACUGACUCAGAUGCAAGUUUGAAAUGAAUUUAACAAGGUUCACUAAUGAAAUGUUAAAAAUCAAUCUGAAAAGACUCAGAGACAGUCACAAGGAUGAAAAUGGGUCCCACUGCAUGAAAUGACCAAAAUACCCUUCUGUACGACUUUUUGCAAAUUUUGAAAUAAACUGUAGAAAAAGCAAUGUAAUGAUUCAGAGACACUUUUGAAUGACUUACAAGACAAGUAAAGACAUUUCGAAAGGUUUUAUGCAAGAAAAACACAGGUAAAAUUGUGAUUGAAAAUACUGCGAGGCAGAGACAAUUUGAACUGUGCAGUUGAAAUUUGAUAAUUGACAAAGUUUGAAAUGAAAUUGGGCCCAGUAUUUUUAGGUCCAAAAACAGGGUAUAACAGCUGCCCCUAUUUAAGUUUCUUUGUCUGGAGAGUCAAGAGACGGAGUCUUUGGCUUGACAGGACGAAGAUACUUAAAUAUUAGCAUUUGCACUGUGUUUGGACGUAAAAAUACGCCUACCCAUUUUCAAAUAAUAUGCAUGCCAUGCAUCAUUUGGAUUAUGAAUGCAAGACCUCAUGGGGAUUGGAAUUAACAAAAUAUGUCGUAUCCAUUGCGGGAUUGGUAGACAUUGACAAAGAUAGUGAAUAGCAGAGUAACGGGAAACUAGAAACAAGUUGGACAGGUACAAGCUGUUCUUGGAUUCAAACUAGCCACUUGACCGGGGAUGAAACAAACAGACAACUGCGAGUUGUUCUUAUGGAUUCGAACUGGUCACUUCACAGGGGAUAGAGGUUACUGGACAAACAUGAGUUGUUCUUAUGGAUUCGAACUGGUAACUCACUUGGGGACAUUGGAAAGUGCGAGUUGUUCUUAUGGAUUCGAACUGGUGACCCGACUGGGAAAAAGAGAAAAUUGGCAAGUACGAGUUGUUCUUACGGAUUCGAACUGGUGACUCGACUGGAAAAGGAGAAAAUUGACAAGUACGAGUUGUUCUUGUGGAUUCGAACUGGUGACUCGACUGAAAACAUGUAAAAUUGGCAGGUACGAGUUGUUCUUAAGGAUUCGAACUGGUUACUCGACUGAAAGCAAGGCAAAUAGACAGGUGCGAGCUUGUUCUUGGAUGCGAACUGGUUACUCCACCGGAGACAAAUACAAAAAUAGACAGGCGCAAGCUGCUCUUGGAUCGAGUUAGCCACUUGAGCGAACAGAAACAGAUAGACGGGUACAAGCUGUUCUUGGACUUGAACUAGCCACUUGACCCAAAAUCAUAGACACAUAGACAGGUACGAGCUGUUCUUGGAUUCGAACUGGUAACUCGAUCGGGGUCAUGGAAAAGUAGAUAGGUACGAGUUGUUCUUGGAUUCGAACUGGUCACUCGACCGAAAGCAAAGGCAAAUAAACAGGUGUGAGCUUGUUCUUGGAUGCGAACUGGUUACUCCACCGGACAGAAACAGAUAGACAGGUACAAGCUGCUCUUGGAUUGAGCUAGCCACUUGACCAAACGGAAACAUAUUGACAGGUACAAGCUGCUCUUGGAUUGAGCUGGGCACUCGACCGAUAACAUAAGCAAAUUGAUAUGUACAAGCUGUUCUUGGACUUGAACUAGCCACUUGACCAAACAGAAACAUAUUCACUGGGGAUUGGUUUUUUUUUUUUUGACAAAAUAUAGAUUGAGAUUGACUUGACGUCGAUUUGAAUUGAAAGGCAGAAAUUGACCGAUAUUAUUGGCUCACAAGGUUUUGACAGAGAACCUGACAUGAGUAUCGAAUUGAGACUGAUGUUGACAUUGGAAAUGCAAUAUGCACGGAUGAUAUAACAGUUUCAUUAAAUGCAUGGGCACGUAAUAUGCAUGAUUAUGCAUGUAUGAAUGCUUGUAAUGCAUGACUGUUGGCAGUUUGUAGGCACGACUUCACGGGGAAGACAAGACAUUAGAGUAUUGGGCACGUAGUGGCUCGUGCUAUAUUACACAUUCUUGGAAAUCCUCUUUGGAGAUGACGUCGUUGGGAGACGUAUCGGAACCAUGGCUGAGGGCAGGUAGGUAUGCAACUUGCUGGGGAUAGAAUCUCGGAAGACUCUACUGGGAAUAAUGCCGGAUGUAUCGUGGACGUCGCAUCUGUGGUCAAUGCUUUUUGCAUGUUAUUCUCUCAAUUUUCAUUCAUUCAUUUUUUUGCAUCCCAUUUUUGCCUGGAUCGCCCUUUCGGGUUUUCGAUCCACCGGGGAAAUAAAUUCUUUUCAGUGCCCCAUUUUUGCCUGAACUGCCCUUUCGGGUUGUCAAUCCAGCGGGGUGCUCAUUUUUGCCUAAGUCGCCCUUUCGGGUUUUCAACUUAGCGAGCCUAUUCAUUUUCAUGCAUUUUCAUUCUAUUUUUUCAUUCUUGCCAUUGACCACAGACUAUCCUGGAGGAGAGCCUGCUUGUAACAUAUAUUGAAAUAGACAUCAACAUACUCUCACUCAUGCAUGUUUCAUUUGAAUGUACCCUGUUGCUCAGGUUCGCUUUUCAAAAUAGACAAAAAAAUUUCAAUUUUCAAAAAUGUUUGUUUCAAGCAUUGUCAUUAUCAAAAGAGAAAGAAAAUGCUUUGUAUAUAGCUUUGAAAGUAGAAGAAAAUAGAGUUUUCAAACAAAAGCAAAGGCUCAACUUGAUGUAUAAGAGUGGUGGUCAGCCAAAGGCAUGACUCCACGGAUUCACAAAGCUUGGAAAAUGGUAAUUUUAUUGGUUGGUGGUACAUUGAACACGGUAACCACUACAGUUCUUAGAAACUUUGAAUUCACAAGUACAGAAGCUUUUGAUGAAGAUAGGCAUUAACAGCUGCAGAUGCCCCAAGGGGGACGGUGGUUGGCCAGAUAUAGUUACUUGCCUUUUGUUUCAAUCUCAUUUUUGCCUGAACCGCCCUUUCGGGUUUUCGGCUCAUCGAGACGCUCAUUCUUGCCUGAGUUGUGUAUAAUCUCAGCGAGCUUUUCAUAUUUGUUUUUUUGUCCCUUAUUUUGCCUGGACCGCCCUUUCGGGUUUUCGAUCCACCGGGAAGCGCAUUUUUGCCUAGGCCGCCCUUUCGGGUUUUCGACCUACCACGCUGUUCUUUUCAUAUUUCUAGGCAAAGUAUUUCUUGACUAUAUCGGCAUUCACUGGAUUUGGAAGUUCUACACCAUCCAUAUGUGUAAGGAUUAAAGCACCACCGGAGAAGGCCUUCUUGACAACAUAAGGACCUUCAUUGUUAGGCGUCCACUUGCCCCUUGGGUCGGGUUGCUGGCUUAUCCUCCUUUUCAAUACGAGUUCCCCUACCUUGAAUUCUCGAGGAUGGACUUUCUUGUCAAAAGUAGUCUUCAUUCUUGCUUGAUAUGACUGUCCACGAGCCAUGGCAUCCAUACGUUUUUCCUCAAUCAAAUUCAACUGAUCAUACCGGCUUUGGCACCAUUCAGCCUCGGAUAACUUUGCUUCCAUGAUCACACGGAGAGAUGGGAUCUCUACUUCCAAAGGGAGAACUGCUUCCAUACCAUAUACAAGAGAGAAAGGGGUUGCCCCGGUCGAACUGCGCACAGUAGUACGGUAGCCAUGCAGAGCAUAGGGUAACAUCUCAUGCCAGUCCUUGUAAGUGGUUACCAUCUUCUGGACAAUUCUCUUGAUAUUCUUGUUGGCGGCCUCAACUGCACCAUUCAUCUGAGGUCUAUAGGGAGAAGAGUUAUGAUGCUCAAUUUUGAAUUCCUUACAAAGAGCUUGCACCACAUUGUUGUUCAGGUUGGUACCAUUGUCGGUAAUAAUCUUGCUGGGAACACCAUAUCGACAGAUGAUGUUGUUCUUGAUGAACUUAGCUACCACUUGCUUGGUCACAUUGGUAUAAGAUGCUGCUUCAACCCAUUUGGUGAAGUAGUCAAUUGCCACUAAGAUGAAACGAUGACCAUUUGAAGCCUUCGGUUCGAUUCUUCCAAUCAUGUCGAUGCCCCACAUUGAGAACGGCCAUGGGGAUGACAUAACAUUGAGAGCAUGCGGAGGCACAUGAAUCUUAUCAGCAUAGAUUUGACAUUUGUGGCAUUUUCUGGCGUACUGGUAGCAGUCAUGCUCCAUGGCCAUCCAGUAGUAACCUGCCCGUAGCAACUUUCUUGACAUAGUAUGCCCUGUAGCAUGGGUCCCGAAGGUACCGUCGUGUACAUCAUGCAUUAACUGCUCUGCUUCAUGUUCAUCAACACAUCUUAACAAUACCAUGUCAUAGUUUCUCUUGUAUAGAAUAUCUCCAUCUAACAGGAAUCUACUGGCCAAUCUUCUCAAGGUCUUCUUGUCUUGUUUGGAAGCACCCGGCGGAUACUCACGGCUCAGCAAGAACUGUUUGAUGUCGUAGUACCAGGGUCUAUAGUCAACCACAUUUUCACCAGCCUGAUCGAUCACAUCCCCAAUAGCAAACACAUGGGAAGGUCUUUCAAGGCGUUGCACUUUGAUUACUGGCACAUCAUUCCAAUGGUUUACUCGAAACAUGGAGGAUAGAGUAGCAAGAGCAUCAGCCAUUUGGUUCUCAUCACGAGGAAUAUGGUGCAGCUCAACCUUUGUAAAAUAUGUCAGAAGACGUCUCGCAUAAUCACGAUAAGGAAUCAACUUAGCAUGGUGGGUCUCCCAUUCACCCUUUAUCUGAUUGAUGACGAGCGCAGAAUCUCCAUAGAUGUCGAGGUGUUUGAUUCUCAUGUCAAUUGCUUCCUCGAUCCCAAAGAUACAUGCUUCAUACUCAGCCAUAUUGUUGGUGCAUUCGAACAAAAUUCGGGCGGUAAAAGGAAUGUGAUGCCCCUGUGGGGAUACAAUGACUGCCCCAAUUCCUUUACCAUAAGCAUUGACAGCGCCAUCAAAGACUAAGCCCCACUUGCUAUUGGGAUCUGGACCUUCAUUAAUCAACGGUUCUUCGCAGUCUUUGGAUUUCAGAUACAUGAUCUCUUCAUCAGGGAAAUCGAAUUCAAUCGGCUGAUAAUCAUCAAGAGGUUGGUAAGCAAGAUGAUCUGCAAGAAUGCUACCUUUGAUUGCCUUUUGAGUUUUGAACACAAUAUCAUAUUCAGACAAAAGCAUCUGCCAGCGUGCAAUCUUCCCAGUAACAGCAGCUUUCUCAAAGAUGUACUUUAUCGGAUCCAUUCUGGAUAUCAACCAAGUUGUAUGAUUCACCAAAUAAUGACGCAGGCGUUUGGCAGCCCAAGCUAGAGCACAACAAGUCUUCUCAAGCAGUGUAUACCGAGUUUCGCAAUCGGUAAACUUCUUGCUUAGGUAGUAGAUAGCAUGUUCUUUCUUUCCAGUUUCAUCUUGUUGACCAAGUACACAUCCCAUGGAUUCAUCAAAUACUGCCAAAUACAUAAUCAAAGGCCUUCCUUCCACGGGUGGGACAAGGAUAGGUGGUUCCAGCAGGUAAUUCUUGAUGCUGUCAAAAGCUUCUUGGCAUUCAUCAUUCCAUACAACAGGCUGGUUCUUUCUGAGUAGCUUGAAGAUCUCAUAUGGUAUAUCAUCAUCCUCUUCAUCUUCAGCUUCACACACAGGGAAUUCAAAAUUUGGAGGAACCGUAGGAUUACUGUGUUCAACGGGUUUAUUAUGGUUCAAACUGCAUAAAAUGGUUGGAUGAUUUUAGAAAGAGGUUUUUUAUGCAGAUUUUUGAAAUUAAUAAGAAAAAUACAGAUUUUUUGGUUUUUUCUGGCAUUACCAUUAUUUCCAAGAAAAAAGGCACUAAAAAAAAAAGUAGUCGUGAAAGAAACGACAAUUUUUUAUUAACCAACGGCAAUGCCGAAACAAACAUGCCCUUACAGAAAAUAUCACUGUCGCUUCGGGCAGAGCGAGAGGAUUGUUAUUUUUGAAAAACAAAACACUUAAGCAACAAGACACAUUACUCGGAAACAUGCAUGAUUGAAGGAAUGAUGAUGGCAUCCCAAUUUCUCGCAAUGCCUCCUGGUAUAACAAACAUAGGCCUAGGAUCAAAUCCAGUCGUCUUUUCGGUAAUUGCAUUGGCAAACCCAGCACUUUAGAAGGUUCCUGUGGAGACUCCUGAAGUUGGGGAAUAUCCGAGACCCUCUUUAUGCUUAUUCUCAAGGAGUUGUAUUAACUUGCCCCAGCCAGCAGCUUGUCCUUCUUGGAUGUCAUUGACAGUCAGAUAAUUGUCGUUCAUCAGUCUCUGGAUGUCAUUCUGAACAACGUAGCAACCCCAAGGAUUAUGGAAGCAUUCUGGGCAACUGGCAUGAUCGUGGUCAAACAGAGAGGCUUGGCAUAACCCGAUGUGUAGUGGCACCAGAGGAGUUGCAACGUUACAAACGUCCGAUCUGGGAGCUUCCUCAUAUACCUCAAUCAUGUUCACAGCAGCGUGAUUUGGAAGAGGGUUGUCGAGGACAUGAGGGACGUUAUUCUCAAAAGUCAAUUUUCCUUGGUCUAUGAGUUUUUUUACAAUGUACCUCAACGCGUAGCAUCCUUCGACAUCAUGACCCAUAGCACCUUGAUGGAAAUCACACUUGAGGUCCGAACGGAACUUGGGAGGCGAUGGAUCAGGUGGAGGCUUGCCCUGUCUGGUUGUGCAGUGCCCUUUGAGAAGUAGAGUCGGGAGUAAUUCAGCAUAUAACAUUGGUAUCAGAGGAAAGGUAGGUCUAGCCUGUUGCUGCUGUCGUUGUUGAGCUGGAGGCUGUUGUUGCAUUCGCUGGACGACGGCAUUAACGGGUACCUGAGGUUGACCCGAUGGCAAAGGAUACUGAUGAUAGAAUGGUGGAAAGAAGGGAUGCUGAGAGUAUUGCGCAUACGUGUACGACGGAGGUAGCUGAGCAGCAUUGAUGUCCAUGACCUGGAACGUGAUCAGAAAGGUUUCGGGACAGAUAGUUAUUGGCAGAUCUAUCUCCCCAAGAAUGUUCUUACGGGAUCCGUCGAAGGCUUUAACCAGAAAGGUGCUCAUUCCCAAGGGAGUUCCCCGAUAGCUCAAUCGAUCCAGAGUGGCCGUUGUCUGAGGCAAGGUGGUAUUGACAGAGACAUGGUUCUUCCCAGGAAUCUGGCCAUUAUUGACAGUACCAGAAACGCCAGCUGCAGUACUGGGAGUGAAGAACGGUGGAAGCCCAUACGGAAACCCAGCUGUCAUAGCAAAGCGAGCGUCUGCAGAUGUGGUUGGGAGCACGCUUGUAGUCACCGGUGCAGCUGUGGCUAUAGGGAUAGCCGUAGCUGAUUGUUCUUGAGCGGCUAGCAGAGCAGUCAUGACAUCAUUAGCUUUAGCCAAUUCCUCCCUUAGAGUGGCUAACUCGGUACGGAGCUGAGCGUUCUCUUCUUCCAUAGCCUUUUUCCUUCUUCUGUACUCUCUGGUUCGAUCGAUUCUAUCAGGUUCGUAGACCUUCUGAGCACGAGCCACUUUUCAAACUGUGGCAGAGGAACCAGGAAGUAGUGAGCAAUUGGAAGCCUUUGUGACCGAUGUAUGAUGCAUAUGAUGCAUGAUAUGCAGAUGCAAAUGCAAAAACGACUCUUUUUAAUGUCAUCGAAGGACUUUUGAAACAAAUUCGAAACAUUGUAAACACUGUUAAACAAGCAAAAUAAGGUUUUACAAUGGUAAACUUAUGAAUACAAGUUCACACCUGCGGUGUCUUACAAUGUUUCGAUCUGUCUAAAAAAAUCUUCGAUGUAUGCGUGAAAAAAAACUUAUGCAUGAAUGCAUGUAUGCAUGGUUGUUUUGUUUAGUUACAAAGAACAAGGUGGGUUGAGAUUCAAAGUAACAGGGCCAUGGAUGGACACGGCGUCCGGUGAACUAAGGCUUUGGAUAGUAGUAACCAAGGUUCUAACACAGUUCCCAAACUGCAACCUCUCUCACAUAUAUCAUGGUAGUACAGGACGACACCCGUUCCAUGAUUAUUUGUGAGAAGGUCUAGUUUGAGUGUAGUAUCGCGUGACGACUAAAGUUUGAGACAACACUCAAUUUAGCCACCGCACUACGUCCUAAAAAGGCUAGGAUGGGUUUGGUAACUACGGUUCAUAGCUUCGUCGAACAAUUGAAAGUGAAGUGCCUAAGCAUGACAACACACGCCGACAAUAUCACCUUCAAAAUGCCUCAGCUAUGUGAGAUUGAUCGCAUAAUCCAAUACACGAGGCAACCCCCGGAUCGAAUUGUCGAUUAUAUCUCUACCUAAACAUAAGUUCACUCAGCCCGGGUAUAGGACUUUUGAUAUUCUCACCCCACACGUCAAAUGAAAAUAAACAAGUAUUCACAUAUGUAAGCAAUAAAACAAAGCGUAAAUAUAAACUAAGGAAAACUAGGCGCGACCCGCUAAAAAGAAUCCCCAGUGAAGUCGCCAUUUCUGUUAUCAUGGUUUUUGGGUGCCAAGCCAUUAAUUGGACUUGAACCUUUUGACCGUUGAUAUUCUCUAUUUUUUCUUGGGAAGGGCAAAAUUGAGAAAAACCCUUAGAUUCUAAGUUCGGGGGUCGUUUUCGCUACGGGAAGGUGUUAGGCACCCGGAGCGAUUAUGGUAUUCCAUAAGAACCGUUCUCCUAAGUUUAUUUCUACGCUUUAGUUUUAUUGCUUAUUCGUAUAAAAGGAAGUGUGAUUAGUUAAGAAUGGGGGGUGAGAAGAAGUAGAAUUUGAUUUUAUUUCGGCUUGGAUGAGUUUUGACUCAUUGCCUACGUACCCUUUUAAGGGAUCAAAACCGUUCGUAGUUCAUUCUCAAAAAUGGUUUUUGUUUUUGUUGGUUGAUUUUAAGUUUGAAAAGAAAUUUUGAAGAAAGGAGAUGAGAGGCCUCAAGGGCAUAAGAUUUGGAAAGUGUGAGGUGGAAUUAGUCAUUUUGCAAAAAUAAAGUCCAAGGAGGAUUAAGAUUUAUUGAAAAUUUUACUUAAGAAAAUAAAGGGGGAAACAAGGAGUUUUGACUCCAUUUUAUUUUCAAAAAGGUUUUCAAGUGUUAUUUGCAUGUUUUGGAAAAAAGUUGAUUUUUAUCUAAGUGUUUAAGCCUAAGCAUUCAUCUAACCAUACAAUCCUAUGCAUACAUCUAAGGUGAGUGUGUGCGUGCCGGUGCGUCAUAGUGUCCAUAGUCUAUAUUACAAAAAUUCCCUAAAUACAUUCUAUGGCCUCUUUGCCAAGCUACAAACCAAUGGUAACAAAUUACAUCACCAAAUGAAUUAAAACUUGCAAAAAAUAAAUGCUAGGCUUAAAGAAAGUGGAGAGUGGAGAGGGUGGUGGAAUGCUAUGAAAUGUAUGACACAUGAGAUGAAAUGGUUAGUAAUCAUAAAGCACAAAAUAGUAGGAAGUAAUUAAAAGGAAAUGCAUAAAAAUGGCAAAGAAAAGGUAAUAAAGUGGCAAUAAACCUAAAAACUUUGAUGUGAUACCUAAAGGUGCUUGUAACCCAUAAUCAUCACAUCAUGGCAAUUUUGAAAGAAAUUUUGUUUCAAGCCAUGACAUGAAAUUAAUGGAAACACAUGCAAGCAAGGUAUCACACCAAAUUCAUAGAGAAAUUUGACACUUUAUUCUCUAAAACAAACACUUGUUGCUCGUAAAACAAGAAAUCCAUAAAAUCAUAUUCAAAACAGCAAAAAGAAGCACAUGUCCAGAGGCAUAUUCAUCAUAAGAUAUGGUAUCAUUUAUUCAUAACACAUAUCAAAGUAUCAAGAACAAAAACAUAGCAAAAAGUAUACCAAAAGUGUAAAAACACAUGGAAAUUAGUUCAUGCCAUUUUAACAUUUUUUACAUGCAAGAAAACACCAUAAAAAUGCCAAAAAUAUACCAAGAAACAACUAAGAAUUUUUUAGGAAUUUUUAUAAAAAAUGUAGGCAAGGAACAGGUUCAGAUAGCAAGAAAAGCAGUGCAAAUAGCAAGAAAAUAACAAAAAAAACGUAAAAAGAACUAAGCCCAAACCAAAGCCCAAUCCUACAAGGAUCCGGAUGCACAGGGGACGUACGAUUGAUCCAGGGUUCUGAAACCCUAGAUCAAACGGCCAGGAACAAAAGGGACUGGACCGGUCUUGGACCGAUCCGGUUCACUAGCUUAUAUAAACAAGAGAGCACCGGUUUUUUCCAUUUUCCAAAUCCUUUCUCUCUCUUCUCUCAGAGCUUCUCUCUCUAAACUCUUCUCUCUUCUCUCACCUCCACCGGUUUCUGGCUAUGUCGCCGGAGAAGAUGAAGGUGACCGGAAACUUCAUCUUCUCCGAUGAACCUCCUAGGGUUCCGGCGAAGAGAUUUCCAGAAUUUCAAGAUUCUUACAUCUUUUGAUUCGUCUUAUUCUACUGGUUACGUUUCUGGUACUUGUUUUCACAUGCAAGGUCUGGAUCCUUAUGGAUCUAGGUUUGAACUGACGGUUUUGAUUUUUUUAAGUUUUGGAAAUUCUGGAUCUGUUCGUUUUUUACUUCACUGAUUCAUGCUUUUUCAAAGAAAGUGAUGAUGAAGUUGUUUACCUGUGGUUUCGGUUGGAAUUCUGAUGACGAUUUUCUUCGGAAAACUGUGAUCUGCUUGCUGCGUUCUUGAUGAUUUUUGUUGUUGAGCCACUGAAAAUAAAUCAGUAUUUUUGCACGCGAAUCUUCAUCUUCUUCACCGGUUUAAACCUAGCUUCUUCCCUCUUCUUUCUCUUCACUGUUUCCUCGUGAUCAGUGCUUGAGUUCGUCGCGUUUCAGUGAUGAACUCGCACUUUGAAUUGCGAGGAAAUUGGUUCUGUGAUGAUGAUUCCGUAUUGAAUCUCUGAGAAUCAAUGAGUAAUCAAAGAAACUUGGUUGAGUUCUGUUGAAUUUGGUGUUUUUGUGUUGAUUCGGUGGAAAUCAAUGGUGGAUUGAGGUGGUUAGGGUUUCUGCCAUUGAUGAAUCUUUGAAGCUCUUUGUUGAUACUGUUUUGAUCUAACAGAAAGAGAGAGAAAGUUGGAUUCUGUUUUGGUGAGUUGGCGCUUGGUAAAUGGAAAACGUGUGAAAUUCAUUGCCACUGUGUUGCUUUUAUAGCUGACAAGUGUGUAUUGGAACCAAUAGGAAACUGACAUGUGGCAUUGGACUGAAAAAAAAAAGCGCUGCCCUGUAAUUUUAACUUGAAGGACCUGUUUGCAAAUUUGAAAAAUAUAUGGACUGGACUGAAAAAAAGAAAGUAAGGACUAAAAUGCAAUUAAAAAAAAUUUGGACAAAACAUGCAAUUUUGGGAUCUCAAUUUGAGGGACCAAAAUGCAAUCUAAAAAUAAAAUUGAAUAAAAAACGUAAUUUGACCAAACGUAAAGCGAAACAAAAAUAAAAUUGACAAAACGGACUAAAACGAACCAAUGGCCUAAAUGAGGUACUUCAAAGUAACCUCCCCAUGCCGAAAUUUUAUGUGAAAUGACCAAAAUGCCCCUAGGGCUAAAAAUGACCUAAACAGAUUCAAAUUGACUCGACACUGACUCAGAUGCAAGUUUGAAAUGAAUUUAACAAGGUUCACUAAUGAAAUGUUAAAAAUCAAUCUGAAAAGACUCAGAGACAGUCACAAGGAUGAAAAUGGGUCCCACUGCAGGAAAUGACCAAAAUACCCUUCUGUACGACUUUUUGCAAAUUUUGAAAUAAACUGUAGAAAAAGCAAUGUAAUGAUUCAGAGACACUUUUGAAUGACUUACAAGACAAGUAAAGACAUUUCGAAAGGUUUUAUGCAAGAAAAACACAGGUAAAAUUGUGAUUGAAAAUACUGCGAGGCAGAGACAAUUUGAACUGUGCAGUUGAAAUUUGAUAAUUGACAAAGUUUGAAAUGAAAUUGGGCCCAGUAUUUUUAGGUCCAAAAACAGGGUAUAACAAUGUCCAUAUAUCACUAUGCACAAUAUCAAAAGGUAAUAAGCUAGACGACAAUGACUCAUAAAAUGGUAACUUUAUUUGUUUUCCAAGUUGACAAGACUGACAAAAGAAAUUGUUCCGAAACUUGUUACAUAAGAUAGAAUUGUUUCGGUGAAGAGAAUUCAAAAUAGAUACUCCCGGAUGUCCUAAACGAUUAUGCCAUAUUUCAUUGGAUAAAGCAGCAAAGGUAGAUGGUGUGGUGCUUGGAUAGUAUGGUCUUGUGGUUAGAGGAUAAAGCUCACCUGAGCUAUUACAUCUCAUUAAAGGCAUCCCUGUCUGAAAAUCCUUCACAGAAAAACCAAAAGGGUCAAAUUCAACAGAAACUUCAUUGUCAAUGGUAAAUUUUCUCACAGAAACAAGAUUUUUGAUCAGUUUGAGUGCAUGCAAGACAUUGUUUAAGGUUAAGGGAUAUAGAGGAUUCUGUACUAAUGCAUUACCACAACCAAUAACAGGAAUAUUAUGACCACUACCGACAGUAAUAUUGUUGCUAAUAUUGGAAUAAGACGUAAGAUUACCUCCAUUUGCUGUCAUGUGAGAUGUAGCUCCGGUGUCCAUGUACCACUGUUCGUCAGGAGGAGCAAGAGAAAGAGAGUGCAUAGCGGCUUGGAUGUCUGUUGGUGCAUAUGAUGACGGAGUGGCAGCAACAUGCGCUUGUUGUGGUUUUGCUCCAAGAAUACCAUCCUGACGAUUUGGAACUACCUGUCUUUGCCAAUUUCCGGUUGUAGGAUAAGGACAAUGAGGAGUGGCCCAUGGCUGCCACUGUGCAUUCCAAGAAGGAUACUGGUAAGGAGGAUAAGCCCACUGAUGUUGCGGUGCCUGUGGUUGCUGCCAUGAUCCUUGUUGAUAGUUAUGAGAUCGUCCGCCUCGACCUCCACCUCGUCCGCGACCGCGACCACCACGGUUAUUACCAGAACCGCCACGACCACCACGACUGCCAUUAUUGUUGUUAUUGUUGCGGUUGGGACGAUGAGAAGGUGAAUUACCUGAGUUGUUGUCUUCUUGAGCGGCUAAGAAAGUGGAAUUGGCAGUGGUAACAGCCGUUCGUUUUGCACGUGCUGUUUCUUCCAAGACAACCAUGGAACGAGCUUUGUAAAAAGGAGGAAGAGUAUCAGAAUGGCGGAUUUGAGAACCGACAGUGUCAUAAGCUUCAGAAAGACCGGAGACAAGUUGAAGCACCAUACGAUCAUUGGAAACAGGUGCACCAACAUUAGCGAGUUGAUCGGAGAGAGACUUGAUGUGUUGGCAGUAUGACGAGGCAUCAGAAAAUUGUUCCAUGGAAAUUUUGGAAAAUUCUUGCUCGAGGUAGAGAGCUCUUGAAUUUUUGUUAUAAAAAAAUAUAUCAAAAAGGCGAUCCCAGGCAAGUUGAGCUGUGGAAUUACGUUCAAGAAUGGUAUGAAGCAGAUCAGUAGAGAUGGUUCCAUAAAUCCAUUGUAAAACAAUGGCAUCUAGGCGUUUCCAUAAGGCUGGAUUGGUUUCUUUGAGAGAGGGUGAGGAAGUGGGAUCGGUUGGUGAAGGGGGGAUGAUGUGGUCGAGAACAUCAUAUGCUUCGGCAUGGAUUUUGAAUAAUUCAGACCAUGUAUUGUAUUGGAUUUUCUCAAUGUCAAGGGUGACUUUGAUGAAGUUUGUGAUGUUAGAAACAAUGAGUGCAGGGUGAAUUGGAGAUACUGUGGUUUGGACAGCAUGUUUGGAUGUUGAUUUGGGAGAGGGGGGAGGAGUAUUUUCGGCCAUGAUGAUUUGAGGAAUUAGGGCCGGCGGCAAUUUGGAAGGAGUUCAUUGAGAUUUUAAAUAUUAAUGUGGUGACAUUACAAUAUUUGGAAGACCAAGUUCAGAAUUUACUUUUUUUUUUCUUCUGAAAGAAGUUCAGAAAUUACUUAAAAAUUAACUAAAUUUAAUGAAAGGGGAUAUUUACAUAAGGAUGAGAAGUGAAAAUCAUAAUUAAACAACUCUGCAACUGAACUUUGAAUUAGUAUGACCUUUUACACUAAUCAGAAUAUUAACACAAAAGUUAAAAAAAUAAGUAAACCACUAUACCCCCUCCUCUUUAUAUUUUAAAGCAUCUCUCUCAUUUUUCAUAGAUAGUGGAGAUUUUAGUGAUGGAAAUUUGACAUGAGAUAAUCCAUCAUCAACAUACAAUAUGAAUGACUAUCCUUUAUAUUUUAAAGCAUCUCUCUCCCUUUGUGAUUAAGGAGAUUACUUAUGAGAUCAGCCAAAACGGAAGUUUUCAACUUGCAAGAAAAAUAAAACUAUUGAUUUUGAAAGAAGAAAUCAACACCAUAAAUUGUUGGAGGAAAACAAUAAUAAUGCUCAAACUGUUUUGAAUAUUAUUGUACAUAUGUUGAGUGACAAAGAUUCAGGCCAAUGUUUUGAUUUUGAUUUUGAUUUUAAUAAUUUCAUAAGUGCAUUAAAUUUAUAUAGUUUACAAGAAGCAAUCGUUACGUUAAGAUUGGCCGCUCCUAACUGAUACACAUUAUUCCUUUGUUAUUCAACAAAAUCUGCAGCUGGGUAUGGAUCUUAUUCAAUCUAAUAUCAUGGACUCGAGAUGGGGAAGUAUUUUCAAGUUUCAAUCUAACAUCAUUCCUUUAAUAGUAUGAUAUCUUCACAUUGUAACAAGUUUAUAAGGACAUUGAUUCCAUGUCAUAAGAUACCUGUUGACGGUCCUUGUUUCUUUUACGCUAUUAUUCACGAGUUAUUAUUCUUAUUUGUGUAAGGUGUUUGAAUGUUCUCUAUGUGUCGAAUUGGUUUGUGUUUUAACUCUUGCGAUUUUACAACACAUACCUGAAAUUACAUUGCAUUCAUUGAUGGGUGAAUUUUCAAACAAGUAGUUUAUUUUGGAAAUCAUUUUCAAUAACUGGUUUAUUUUUAAAAAAAAAAAAGUGAUUUUCAUUAUGGUAAACAAAUACAAAGUAGUUCCUACUUUUUUAAAGAAUCUCUAAAAUUUAAUCUCAAGAUUAUGUAUUGAGUAUCAUAAUCACUUUUUUAUAACUCUAACAAACAGAUCCUUAAUCUAUGUUGUUUUUCAACAUGAGUGAGUUUUUCCCUCAUAUGUGAUGUGACAAUACCAUAAGUUAAUUUUUAUAUGAUUGCAGCAUGUGAAAUGUGCAGCCUUAAGGGAUUUCAAUGCUAGAAGUGCUGAAGUCAUCUCAUAUCUGUGACGUGAGUGCAGUUGACUAUAUAGGAUAUUUCUGAGUCGCAUUGUAAAAGUUAAUAAAUUUGUUCAUGAAAUUAAAAAAAAAAGCGUAUUACUCAUUUCCUUGUUGCGAACACAUGGUUACUUUUCAUGUUCCGCUUUACUGUAAAGUAACCAUGGUGCAAUUCUGGACAUGUUCUCAUAUUGUUGAAAUCUGAUGUUGAGUUAAAACAGGUUUGAAUUAAAAACCAGAUUACAAUCCGGUUUUAAUAAAAAAAUUGAUUCAAAACUGAUUUUGGAAGAGAAUCCGGAUUUUAUGACAAACCGGAUUUGAACUGGAUCCAAACUGGUUUCAAACCAUAUCCGAACUUGUUUAGAUAAGAGGUUUCAAAAACCAAACUAAAACUAAAAUUUGGUUUGGAUUCAAACCAUGAACACCCCUACUUUGCAGGUUAAGUUUUAUGUAUCAAAAUUGCACAAAUUUCAAAAGAAUAAAGAGGUAGAUAUCACUGUAGACCUAUGGCAUUUUUUAUGUGCAAGUCACCAAAGCGAAAGAAUUUAGUACAGACAGAGAUUGUGUAAUAUUGCAAUAGAUGAUUAGAAUUGUGAAUGAUAGUUUACCAUUUUUUUUUUGUCCACAAAAGUUUAUGAAUAAAUCAUUAGUUUUAUCCUCCAGAGAUAAAGUAAUGACUUAUGUCACAUUGGUCCUUUAAAUAUAUAUGCCAUCAUAUUGGUCCCAUGAUUUCCAAAUUAAUUCUUCAAACAAUACUACUGCAAAAUUUAUCAUUGUUGUUACUUUAAACAACCAUUUUGAUGAAGUUCAUGACCAAUUAAUUUGAAAAAAAGAUCCACUGAAUGAUUAUUAUAGUGACACUUAAUGUUUUAAGGAACUAAUUUAGAGAUUAAAAAACUUAAAAGAUUAAUGUUUUUAUGAAAGUAAUAUGGACUUGUUAACUUGACAUCGCACAAAACCAACAUAUAGUUUGCCUAAUGCUUCCGUCAAAUGAGCUGUGCUGCUGUGGUCCAGGAUCUAUUGCCAAGGUUGUUUCACAGAGUGAACCGAACAAAACGCCCAGCUUUAAUGUUCUCGCCAAUGGCAGCUAUACUUUGCCUCACCAAGUCUUUCACUGAAACACUGUCAUCCUUAAUGAAAGGCUGCUUUAUAAGAGCGAGAUCUGGUAACCUCUUUGAGAUUCUUCCCUCAACAAUUUUCUCUGUUAUGUUCUCGGGUUUCAAAGCAAGGUCUUCUCUCUGCAACUCAAGUUCUUUUUCCUUCGUCACAAUGGUUUCAAGAAUAUCUUCAACAGAUACAAACUGAACCUCUGGACAAGCAAGCAGCCACUUGCAUUGCAAGAUCAUCAACCAACUCCUUAAUUUUCUCACUUCUGCCGACAAAGUCGGUUUGACAGUUCACUUCAAUUAGAACACCGAUGUGUGAAUAGUGAAUGAGAGACCCUUUUUUCAGCAAGAACUUUCUUACAGUCCAUCAUCUCUGCACCUGUUUCUUCUUGCAGUUGCUUAACCAAAGAGGCUGAGACCACUACCGUUGAUUUCCUGCAAAACAACAUUGAGCAAUUUAAUAUUUGCAUCAAAGACAUCCAUUUUUUUCUAAACUUUUCUUGAGUACAACCUACACAUGUGGCUACGUUCAGUUGUUGCAUUUUCUAAAAUUAUUACCAAUGUCGACAUGCCAGCGUUAGUAUCGUGUCAAAUGACCGUGUUUGUGUGGGAGCUUUCAUAGACUAACGGUCACAUGUCAUACACAUUCACUGAUUAGGUUAUGUUUUGUCUAUACCAAGAACAAUUCAGAUAAUGUUUAACAUAUAUAUAAGCAUGGAGGGAAGGUUCGGGUGAAAAUAUUCUAGAAGCUUAGCAUCCAGAUAAAGCUUGGCAUAAUUAUGGAAAUGUUAUAAUGGGAAAAACUACAACAUGUUCUUUAACUUAAUUUAAAUUUUAAACAGAUCCUUUUAUCUUUUCUUGGUGUCAAAUUAGUCUUCAAAAAUAUUUACAACACUGAACCAACUUUAUUCUUAGCCGACUUCUGUUACAGUUUUUAGUACACAAUCAAUCAAUGAUCAGUACAACAAGGUCACAGUUUUAGAUAAAAACAAAAAACUGUCGUAACCUUAGAUGAAACCUUGAUGAAUUGAAGAUGUAAUGUACCUUUUAAAAUGGUCAGCUAGACAUUUGGUAACAUACAUAAAAAAUGACGCUAUUGUAAACAAAACUACCAACUUGACAUGAAGAAAUGACUAAAUUAACACGAAAACAAUAUCAAGGACUUGUUUGAACCUUUAAAUUAAGUUAAAGGACCCCUGUUGUAGUUUGUUCUUUUAGAAUGUAGUUUUCCAGGAACUAAUUACCAAAAUUUCAUAAUUAAAUAACUCAAUAACAAGUAGGAAUUCAUAGAACCUAUCCUUCCUUUGGAACUUGUAAGAACCAUCCUUCCUUCGGCAGCUGCUUUGGAUGCUUUCUUGUCUGCACACUCUAAUUAAGCCCUUUUCCCUAAGGAGCUCCUGUGCUUUGAUAAUGUCACCUUCACUCCCUGAUAGAGCAUUUUUGCAGUCCAUCAUUCCAGCCCCCGUUUCAUUCCGAAGUUACUUCACAAGUGCUGGUGAUAUAGUUGCUGCAAUCCAAAGGGCGGCGGAACAGACAUUUAACGAUUAGAAAUCUUAUGUAAGAAUUCAAAGAUAGGUGAACAGGCUGGAAACCUAAGAUAAACAGCCUAAUGAAAACUUAUAAGAUAAGCACUUUACAUAUAAGUGCUGAUGUAUAAGCAAUUUUUAUAACAAAAGAUAAAAUGAAGUCAUACUUAUGCUAUAAGCUAUUUUCAUAAGCUUUUCUAGACAGUUUAUGGAAAAAAGCUGAAAACAACUUUUAUGGACAUGUCAUGAGCUGUUUCCAUAAACUCUUCCAAACAGUUUCACAAGUGCUUAUAUCAGUAGAUAAGUUCAAAUGCAUCCUUGUUUAUACAUCUUUCAGAAAUGAAAUAUGAAAUAAAUAAGAUGAAAUUGCAACCUUUGCUCAAGCCUUCAUCUGACGCUGUAAUUCCGGUUUGUCCAUUAGAGUUAGAUACGCUGUUGUUUGUUUUUUAAUGCAAUUGCAACUUCUUCACCUUCAACUUGUACUGCUACUGGUGUUUGUUCUGGCACUUCUUCAGUUGGAGGACUUUCAGGAGAGGGAACUUUAUUCUUUUCUUCAGUUACAUUUAUCCAUAGAAGAUUCAAAGUUAAAUAAAACUCCCUUCAUAACAAAAGAAAAAAAAAAUCAUCCAUCUGUUAAAUAAUCUAACUAUUAUGAUGUCAUUCAAUUGCUUUGGUUGCAUAAAGUUGAUUGAUUCGGAUCGUGUAGAAAUUGAACGGGGUACAAUAUCAUACAAUCUGUGGUUUAUACAUAACAAAUUCUGAAAACUUGUGUCAAUAGUGACGCUAUAGUGCUAUAGAGAGUGGAAUUUGAACAAAUUGCUAUUGUUCAAAAUUACGAUAUUUGGUUCAAAAUGUUGUGAAAUAGCCUCUAUAGUGGCGCUAUAAAACUAUUGUGUAGCGGUAACAAAUUGUUACUUUCGGCGAUACAAGAAUGACAACACUAAUUCAGUCAAGCAAGCAUGAUUUAAAAAUGAAUUGAGCCUUUAUUCAAGAUUUUCUCAGAAGACAAAUCACCGCUUUGUCCAGUCAAACUAGCAGCGAUCUCAUUGUUCUCUGGAACAGCUCCAGCAUUGUCACCUAUUUGAAAUGCAAAGGAAAUAUUAUUCGGUAAGUUAAUCGGAAAAACCAUGUAUAUGUGUGUUACUGCAAAAAAAUAUGAUUGAUUUUUGUCGUAAUUUCGAAAGAAACAAAAAAAUACAUACAAUCAGUAUUUCCAUAUGUAAAAUACUAAUGAGAUAAAUUAGCAGAAAAAGUGUGAGAUAGAAAACUAGAACCUUCUCCUUCUUGAGCAUCUGGUGCACUUGAGGUAUUCAAUAAUUGAAUUUACAGCAUCUAAGUCUUCUUCAGAAACCAAACUUUUGGCAUCUGAAUUUACAGUGUCCGUGUCGUAUCGGAUGUCCGUAUCCGUGCUACCUUGUUUGCAACAGUUGUCGAGGAACCGACCAACCAGUGAGUCAUUUUCGACAUUGCUUGUUGCAAUAUCUGUCUGAAUAGGUUCUUCAAUAAUUUAAAUUACAGCAUCUGAAUCUUCUUCAGAAACCAAACUUUCAGCAUCUGAAUUUACAGUGUCCAUGUCGUAUCUGAUGUUCGUAUCCGUGCUACCUUGUUGGCAAAAGUUGUUGAGGAACCGACCAAUGAAUCGACAAAUGAUAUGGAGGUUUGAGAUUUUUUUCUGUUGAGAUUCAGUAGAAACUUCAUCUGCAACAGGUGAAUCUGCUGCCUCCACGGAUACUUCUCUUUCUGUGGCUGAUAUGGAGGUUCGAGAUUUAUUUCUGUGGAUGACAUGAAUGCAGAUCUCAGUGAUAAAGUGUUCCUAAAAUUGUUGUUGUCUAUGAAACACAGACACAGAAAUCGAAAACGACACGGAGAUUACAACCUAACACAAAUUUAAAACCCCCACCAAACGGCACAUCCACACCGCAAAUUAUAAAAUUCAGUAUAAAUUGAAAAUCAAACAAACAUAGUCUCACUUCUGCCAACAAAAUCAAGGAAAAAAAAUGAAUGAUAUAAAGUUAGCAAGAUUCUUUUGAAUUAUCUUCAGUACCUCUGCUUGCGGUUGACAACAGAGAUUGUUUUUGCGGUUAACUUGUUAUCACUUGUUGAAUUUUUUGUGAUCCAUCUGUUGUUUCUUCUCGGUGUACUAGUUAUGACUUGUGACAUGAAUGAUUCUUGUUGUGGUUGUAGUUGUGUCCCAUCUUCAAUUGCCAAAAUCUUACACUUCGGAGCCAAGGAAUUUUCGUGAUUUAUCAUUGGUAAGUUGAAUUCUUGUAGGUCUUGUUUACAUACCCAACGAUACCCGCAACUCUUCACCUCCAUACCCAAAGCUUGCCCCUUAAAAAUGUCAAAACAGAUAUUUCCAAAUUCAUCCGAGGACUCUCGUGGGAAGUAGAUUAUCCAUAGGUGACUUGAUUUGGUCGUAACAAGACCUCCAUUGAGAAUGACUGGAACACUCAUUUUGAUAGGAUGAUUGAAACUCAGUUUCAUAUUGGCCCAUGAAAAGCACUCUGGAUGAGGUUCCAUUGUAAAUACUGCACAACAUAGAAAGCCAAUGAUAUUAUUGUUAUUGUCAUGCAUAAUAGGCAAUUUGUCUAUUAGUAUUGAAUCACCCAUGCUCUGAUUGUUGAUCCAACUCGGUAUUUCACUUCCUGUAGUAACAAUUUGAAUCGUAUCAAAAUAGGCAGGGUAGGUUUGUCGGUUUGCCUUAAUAAAUUGUGUCAUCCAUGAAAAUGUCAUGCUACUGCAACACUCCCUAUCACCCAGUUUUGGACAGUUGAAAACGAUCAAUCCUGUGAUCCACCCAAACUUAUGCUUGUUCUCACGAUGAUCCCGCCCAAUAGUGGUAAGAGAAGGAAGUUGAGGAAAAGAUUUCAAGAACUUGCAAUGCUCCAAAUUUAAAUAUACAAGUUUGGAAAGCUUCCUCAAGCUAGGUAGUGUCACAAAAUCGUUUCCCCCUAAAUUUAAUUUUUCUAGUGAGUGUAAACAUUCAAUUGAAUCGGGAACUUGAUUUAGAUGACAAAAGCUAAUGUCAACUUUACGCAAACAAUUUAAGCUAUGCACGGAUGGCAACAAAUAUGUGUUUCUCAUGGGAGUAGGCAACAUGAUGCUUGAACUGCUAAACGCUUUGGAACAACCACAUAUAUUUAGAUCUUCAAGAGAGCUAAGACCGGAUAUGUUGUUGGGUAUGCUUACUAGAUUUACGCAACCUUCCAAAUUCAAGUAAACAAGCUUUCUUAGAAGUCCAAUAGAUGGAUCUAACUCAACAAGGUUCGCACAUAAUUCCAAAUUUAACCACUCAAGAUUCGGGAACUCUCCAAAAUCUACUAUCUUUUCUAGAUUUCUGGAGUGUCUUAGAUCCAAUCUUCUCAAAUUGGGAAGAUACUGACAUGAAAAAACAACAAAAAUAGAACCAUUACAAAUUUGUUUAUAUUUCUAAGAUAAACAUUAAUAAUCAAAUGUAUAAUACCUUCUUGUUCUUCCAUAGUUGUUUGAUGUCGCUAUACAUCAAGAUCAACUCUACAAGAUCACUGGGGUGAAAACUUGAUGGCAAAUACUUGAAAGGAUAAUAAUUCCACUCAACAUAUCUUAAUGUGUUUGAAAGACUCGAUGGGCUACUUGGGAUAUUCGGACCCCACUUGAUGAUGAGUAAUCUAAGAUUACUCAUUUUUGACAACUGUUCAACGUCCACCUCUUCAACAUCAUCAUCAUUCAAAACUAUGGCUUCAACAUGCCUUUCCUAAAGCAUUGCAAAAAAUAAAAGUAAAAAUAAAUUACUUUCGAUAUUUGUAGUUUUUAUAAAAAUGGAAACAUUCUGUCAAUAAAAAAUUAAAAUUAAAAUAUGUUUCUUUAUUUCUAAAUGGUAAUUUUACCAUUUUCUCCAUCGUAACAUUGUAGAGUUGUUUUUGGGACCACACCCUGCUCCACUUUCUUUGCUCUUUGCUUGAAUUUUCUCGCACAAUUUUUCUGCCUAGCUCAACCAAUAAAGAAUGCAUUUCAAUCACUGAAUCACUAUUAAUGCUUAUAAGUGAUUUAUCAAUGAGAACUCUUAAUCCAAUAUCAGCAUGAAAUCCACAAUGAUUUAGAACGUUUUUUACAUAUUUCUCUGAUUCGCGGUUGAAAAAACAAGCAAUAUCAAGAAAUAUUUCUUUUUCCAUAUGAUUUAGACCAUCAAAACUUAACUGUAGCACAUCCAUGACAUCGUUAUCUGGCCUUUCUCUCAAUCUAGCCAAUGCACUCUUCCAUUCAGUCACAUUACGACCAAACAAAAAUGAGCCCAAUACUUUAAUUGCUAGUGGAAGACCAUUAGCAUAACUCAGUAUCUCAAAAUCCAAAUUUUGGUAACUACUCAUAAUAAUUUUCUCAUGUUUGAAAGCUUUUUGACAAAAUAACUUGUGAGAAUCGGUCCGAUUCAAAAGUGGAACUUUGUAAACUACGUCCACUCCAUACUCUUUCAAUAUAUGCUCAUCUCUAGAAAUGAUAAUUAUUCUACUACCUGCACCUAACCACUCACGAUGCACAGCUAUUUUUUCCGAUUGUUCACCUUGAUCCACAUUAUCAAGAAUCACUAGGGUCUUUUCACGACUUAGCCUACGUCGUAUCAAAUCAGUUGCAAUGUAACGAUUGCAUAUUUGAUGGUGUUUUAUGUCGAGAGUUUGAAAUAGAAUUUGCUUUUGUGCAUCCAAAGGACCAUCACAUAAUCUAUAUAUUUUGCUUACAUCAUCAAUAAAACAAUUUGCACUAAAUCGAUGAGAUAUUUGGUCAUAUAAAGUCAUGGCAAGGGUUGUCUUCCCUAUUCCUCCCAUUCCACAAAUUCCUAUAGCAUGAACACCAUCAACUGAGUCCAAAAGCAAAUGAUUUUGUAAUGCUUCUAUAGGAGAAUCAAUCCCUACUAAAUCUUUCGAAACACAUGAAGAAUUGCACUCCAAUAUAUUCAUUAUCCUUUGAACAAUCUUUUUAAUCUCACCAACUUGUGGCCUGAAAGUUCAAAAUGUUGUUCAAUAAAAUUAUACCAUCACGUACAAAAACCCAAAAAAAAUGUUUAAACUCCAAAUAUUUGAUUUUGAGACAAAAAAAAAAAAAAACUUUGAGUUUCUGUUCAGGACUCGUGCACCAUCUCUUCAACUUAUAUUUUCUACGGAAAAAAAAAAAAAAAAAAAACUAUAAAUUUCUUACUUAUCACAUAGAUCCCAACCAGAGAUACUCCCCACUUGUUUUAGAGCUUCUCUCCAUCUUGACACCAUCUGAGAGUUUUGUUGGAAUCUUUGUUCAUGUUUGACAAAAGCUUUAUCAUAAAUUCCACUUUGCUUUCGAACCUCAGAAGGAUCAACAUCAUAAAAAACAGGAAGAACAAGUUUUUCGGAUCCUUGGACACAUUCCCAAAUCUUCUCUAUUUCUUGCAAACACCAUGUUGAGAAAGCAUAGUUUCUUGAGAAAACCGCAACAUAAACCUGAGAUCCUUCGAUUGAUUGAAGAAGUUCAGGUCCUAUGGAUUCACCUUUUUGAAGAUUUCUGUUAUCCCGAAAUACAAGAAUGCCUUUUGUUUCCAGGGCAUCAAAAAGAAAAUCAAUGAAAUUGUUGCGAGUGUCUUCACCUCGGAAGGUGACAAACACAUCAUAAUAAUAUCUUUUUGAAGAAGUCACAAGAGCUGAAGAUGAGUUGCUAUUGCUAGCCAUCUGAAUAAGCUAAAUGUUUAGCUGAGUUAAUUGGACAACGUGAAUGGAUUGGAGUAUAAUCAAAACAAACAUAUAUUAUGAACAAACGAACUUUAUGCGUCCAUUUCGUGGCACCUUCUUUUCUUAAUUGAAUGAAUAUAACUUUAAGCGUUAAUUCCUCUCCUACUUUUCAUAAUCGCUGCUCUUUACUUUUCAUUUUUUAUUAUAAACGGUGCAUUCCAUUUAAACUUUAUUGGGUAGUAAAAAUAGCGCAUAAUUCAUAAGAUAGUUGAUAGUUUAUAGCUGAUGAUAGUUGAUAAGAUAAUUUAAAUUUCUUAAUAUAAUAUAUCAUUUAUAUUAUAUUAUUAAAUUAAUUUUUAUUCAACAAAAUUUAGUUUCAUAUUUAUUUCAUUUAGAAGUUUAUACUACAUUAUUUUUUUUAUAGAAAAUGUUAAUUAGUGCUCCGAAGAGACAGGUUAAAGAAACAAAAAUAGUUUGAAUUUUGUGGAACUUAUGUAAUUAAAUACUUAAAGUGUAAAAAAAAAAAUUGUUUUCAAUGCAAAAAUUACCUUUUUAUAAAAAAAAAAAAGCAAAACUUGUCAUUUUUGUUUCCCUAACUAAUGCCUCGGGGCACAGUUAUAGCAUGACCCACUCUUUUAUUUCUUUUAUUACAAUAGUACUGCAUUACUAGAAAGGCAAUUAACCAAAGUUUCUAGAUAUGUUUUUUUUGUUACAGCGUUUCUAUAUAUGUUUGAUUUCGAACAAUAUAUAGUUUACUACCUUUUAUAAAGAAAAAUGGUAUUUAGUUAUCAUCAAAGGCAUUUUAAAGGCAAUUACUAAAUGUCUAAAGAACAACUUUCAUAUUAAUAUUUUAAACGAUAAACUUGAGACUUUUGAGAUUUUGGGUGCUAAAGAUAAACUCCCAUGAUUUCAUGGCACCUUUUUUUCAUAGUGGAAUAUCUCUGGAAUUCACGGGUUGCCUAUUGACACACAGCUUUCCCUAUUGCCAUAUGGUCUUUUAUUUAUUUUCAGCGGGGUUUUGAUGCCCUAUUGACACAUUAUGAAAAAACUUUCUUUAUGAGAACAAAUUUGUUACAUUCAAACAAAGGUUUUCUGUAAGCAUUUUAUUUUCGGCUCAUACACACUACAGUAGAUGUUUGAUUAUUCUUAGUAAAGUAUGGCUGAGUUUAUUACUUGUUAAUUGUUAUGAAGCAACAAAUUAAUGUGAUGUUGGUGCAUGAUGAGAAUGUUUAAAAAUAUAUAUAAAUGAACAUUUUAAACAUUAAUAUUGAUCUAAUGACCGAAACAGAUAAUAAAUUUCAAUGUUCUUCGUACACAUCAAGAGUUUGAGUCUAAUCAAGAAUUAGGAUCCAAACUACAGAUAUCGAGAGUUAGGACUUAGGGCCGGAUAGGUUGGAUGGUAAGCUUUGAUUAUAUUUUUUGGGUCAUGUGCUAACAAGUGCUCUAAAAGUGUUGUUUAAGAAAGCUACAAAGGAAAAGUUUGUCUUCGAAAUAUAAGUAUCUAUGCAAAAGUUACUUCUUUUGAUUUUUUAAACGAGCCAUGCUAUAUCUUGCAAAGAGAGUUCUCAUGAAUUCCGUGAAUACGGCGUUUUAUACUUCUCUCUUAUAUGCUCUUAAAGUCCUCUAAUAUUUAUAGCUAAAAAGAAUAGAUGAUUAAUUGUAAGGACCAUAGGUAAUAGAAAAUCAAGAAUUUAUGCAAAUUUCCAUGGACACAUACACCAUCAAUAUUAAAGCUGAUUUUUUUUUAAAAAUAAUUAUAGUUCAAUUUGCUGAACAGCUUCAAACAUUUAAAUUAGUAAGAACCACUGAUUUCUUGGCAUGUUUAGAAGCUUCAAUUUCUUAUGGUUUUUGCAUAUAUUCCAUAGCCAACCAAUUCCACGAUCUUUAAAUUUCUAAGAACCAUUUAAAUUAGUAAGAACACAUUUUUUUUUAUGUUAACUCUAAUUUCUAGAGAAAACUCUGUCUGAUAGGGUUUAAAUGUCGACCAGAUAAUAAUGUGUGUGAUAAAAAUAGGGAGCUCGUAUUAAACGACUCUCUCCCAUCCACAUUGAUGUGGAUAAAAGAUAGAAGGGUGCUCCUAUACCUUUUGUUUUCCAAUUUAAUCCUCGUAAUAGACAAAAAUUAUACUCCUUUAAUUUUAUAUAUAAGAGAAAUUUGAGUCAAUAAAAGUUGAUGUAUCUAGUUUAAAAUUUUAAUCAAUUACAUCAACUUUUUUUACCCUAAUUUUCUUUUAUAUAUAAGCCCUGAGAAGUAUAAUAUAGAAUUGUAUAUUAUUUUAUAAGAAAGAAUAUUAUUGUCUAUUCAAAAUAUAAAACUAUGCUCUUUUUCUUUUUACUUGAAGUCACAAAUACACGCUCGUGAUAUUUCCCGAAGAAUAAUUCGGGACAUAUAUAGCAUUGCUCUGAUAGAUUUAUUCUAUUUCUUUCUUAUUUUUCUCAUUUACAAAUCUUUCUCACCUCUUUCUUUCUUUACAUCUUCUUCUUACAACAAAACACUAUAAUUAAACAUAAAAACGAAACCACGUGAUGAUGACUAAGCAUAUGUUUGUUUUCACGUUCAAAGACCACCCCACAUGCUACCAAUGUGAAUAUAAAUUUUGUUGCUUUCUUAUUUCCCAAACCAUCAAGUGGCCAUAGAGCAAGAAGCCAAAAGGAAACACUGGUAAAUGCACGUUUCACUUCUCCCCAAAAACAUAAAAAUAUAGUAAACAAACAACUAAACUCAUGUUAUUAAACAUAUCAAACAUAACAAAAGUUAUUAAACAUAACAAAAGGGGACCAUAAUGCAUGUUUCCGUGGCCAUAGAGUAAGAAGCCAAAAGGAAACACUUCUCCCAAAAAGCAAAGCACAUGCACGUUCCACCCAAAAAGCUUAAAAAAAAUAGUAACCAAACCACAAACAAACUAGAGUAGAACUUUUUUUGGUCGCGUAAUUUUUUGACCAUUCUCGUACUGUUGAAAUCUUUUAUAUUUUGGAUGCAAAUUUCAGUUUUCAUAAGAAGAAAGAGGUAGAUAUUUGAAAUUAGAAAUAUCAAAUACUCCUAUAUAGUAAAAUAAAACUAGCAAAAUAAAAUUAGAAAUAUUUAAAAUUAGAAAUAUUCACCUUCGCUUCUUGUGGUAUGCUUUUGUUAUGACCUAUGGCGUUUUGUACCUGUAAGUGAUCCAAGCAGAAUCAUUUGGUAAAGACAUUGUGUGAUAUUGUAAUUGUAUAAUAAUAGAUUAUGAUAGAUAGAAAAUCAAAUUAUUUUGGGUAAUUCCUCUUUGAUAAUUGCGCACAACUUAUGAAUUAAAUUAUCUUGUAUUAACAAAUAUUUGUUGUUAGUAUGUUAUGUUAGAAGUCAGGGUUUCAAGUUGGUGUCAAGGAUGUAUGACUAUGAAUCAUAGUGAUGUGUUGCCACUUUAUUUACUGAAGUGAUAUUUUUAUCAUCAAAUUACCCUUUUAUUCAUUGAUUGUCAACCUAUUAGUUUCUAUCACUGAUUUAGUCACAAAAUUUUUACCAAUUUUUAUCUCCCCAAAAGUUUAUGAAUAAAUAAUUAGUUUUAUGCUCCAAAGAUCAAGUUAUGACUUAUGUCUCCAUGAUUUCCGAAUUCAUUCUUCAAACAAUGCUACUACCAAAUUUAUCUUUUCUUGUUGUUACAAACCUCCAUUUGGAUGAACUUGAUGGCAAAUUGAUUCUAAAAAAAUCCACUGAAUGAUUUUUGUAGUGACACUUCAUGUUUUGAGGAACUAAUUUAGAGAUUAAAAAACUUAAAAGAUUAAUGUUUCUAUCAAAGUAAAAUUGACCUGUUAACUUGUGAUCGUACAAAACCCAACAUAUAGUUAGCAUGAGAAUGAAAAAGUGAACACAUUGGUUUAAUAUAUCCUUCGUUUACACUCUACCGUCAGAUUCACUUACACUCUUUGAGAUUCUUCCCCUCAACUAUUUUCUCUCUUAUGUUCCCGGGUUUCAAAGCAAGGUCUUCUCUCUACAUCUCGAGUUCUUUUUCCUUCGUCGCAAUGGUUUCAAGAAUACCUUCAAUAGAUACAAACUGAACCUGUGGACAAGCAGCCUAUUGCAUUGAAAGAUCAGCAACCAACUCCUUGAAUCUAUCACUUCUGUGCCAACAAAGUCGGUUUCACAGUUCACUUCAAUCAGAACAUAGAUGCGUGCAUCGUCAAUGUAUUUACCGAUUCUUCCUUCAGCUGCUAGCCUACCGGAUUUCUUGUCAGCUGAUGAGAGACCCUUUGUUCUAAGGUAUGAUUGGGCCUUUUCAAGAUCACCUUUAGUUUCGGCUAAGGCUUUCUUACAGUCCAUAAUCCCAGCACUUGUUUCUUGACUUAAUUGUUGAAAUAAUGAGGCCGAAACCACUACUGUUGAUUUCCUACAAAACAAUAUUGAAGAGUUUAAGACUUCUAAAAAUAUUUACAAUGUUGAACCAACUUUAUUCUUAGUCUACAUAUAUUACAAAUUUGUGUACAAAAAAUCAAUCAAUGAUAUACUAUAAAGAAUGUUUCAUCACUCAGUACCACAAUUGGACUUUUGUUAGACAGCGAGGUCACAAUCUUAGAUAAAAACUAUAAAAGAUCAUAUUAAUUCUGAUGUAAUUUAGAUGUAAUGUACCUUUUAACAUGGCCAGAUAUAAUUUUGGAAACAUACAUAGACGAAAAAUGAAGUUUGGUCCAACAUUGUUGAAGUUUUUAAACAUAAAGGACUAAUUUAAUAUGAAGAAAUGACUUAUUCGACACGAAAAAAAAUACUAUGGACCUGUUUGAAACUUUAAAUUAUGUUAAAGGACCCUUGGUGUAGUUUUGCCUUUUAGAAACUAAACACCAAAAUUUUAUAGUUCACUUUCAAUUAAGUCGGUUUCAUAGUUCAAUUCAACUAGAACACUAAUGCAUGAAUUGUGAAUUUAUGUACCGGUUUUUCCUUCGGCUGUUAGUCUUCUCGAUUUCUUAUCAGCAAUUGGAGAAUUUCAACAAAUUCUCCAAAGAAUGUAUUCCAUAUUUCUUCUAUAUAUCAGCCAACAGUAAGCAAACACAACAUUUUUAGUUCCAUAAUGUAUUCCCAUCCUUUCAUACUACUUUUCUGGAAAAAAAACUGCUAACAUAUCUUAUUCACUAAGAAAAAAAAUUACCACUACAAAUUUGAAUCAUCCAUAUUGCUAAAUCAAUAUAACCAAAACUAAGUUUUCGAUCCAAUUAUCCAAGUCAAUAUAAAUAUGUCAUAGCAUCUGAUUACUAGUUGCUUUCAAGAUUAAAAAAGAACAUUAAACCAACGACCAUACUGUUAGCGGCCAACACUAGGGUGGGAUUUAGUCCCACAUCGGAUAGAUAGGAUUCUUGAGAAGAGUUUAUAAAGAGGAGGCACUCCUCAUUGUAAAAGCUGGUUUUGUAAGGAUGAGUUAGGAGCUGAUUUUCGUUACAUGGUAUCAGAGCCUGUCGGGUCCAUCGUUGGGCUUCCUGCAUCUCCACGCUUUAGACCGGGCCUGAAGCGUGACGGGGUGUGUUAGCGGCCAACACUCGGGUGGGAUUUAGUCCACAUCGGAUAGAUAGGAUUUUUGAGAAGAGUUUAUAAAGAGGAGGCACUAAAAGCCGGUUUUGUAAGGAUGAGUUAGGAGCUGAUUUUCGUUACACAUACUACCAAAUGCCAAAAUAUAUGAGGAUAAAAGAUGUCAUUUUUUAAACAUUUCUCCUUGUAAUUACAAUAAAGAAUGAUCAAGUUAAAGUAAGGUAGAUAUUCCAUGAAUGAUAAAUUGCUAGUUCGGUGAGCAUUAUUUCAUACCUUAUGUGUUAUGCUAUCACUACUCUUCAAUUUCCAAAAUCUUGCACUUCUGAACCAAGGAAUUUUCAUGAUUCAUCAUUGUUAAGUUGAACUUUUGUAGGUCUUGUUUACAUACCCAACUAUACCUGCAGCUCUUCACCUCCAUACCCACAUCCUUAAUAAUUUCAACACAGGUAGGGACAAAAACAAGAUGAUCAUCGGGCGACUGAAAUUGAAACCUUCACUCGAGCCUUCUGUUUGUCCAUUAGAAUUAGAUAUCCGGUUUGUCUCGGAUGCAAUUGCAACCUCUUCAACUUGUACGGUGACAGGUAUUUGUUCUUCUUGCACUUCUUCAGUGGCAGGACUUUCAGGAGAGGGAACUUGUUCAGUUUCUUCUGUUACAUCUGUUAAUAAAGGAUCCAAAGUUAAAGAAAACUAUAAUGAUGUCUUUCAAUUUUGGUUGCAUAAAAUUGAUUGAUCCGGAUCGUGUAGAAAAUGAAAGGGGUACUAGAUCAUGCAAUAUGUGGUUUAUAUAUAACAAAUUCAGAAAACAUGCAAUCAAUUUCAAUUCAUUAACCAAAAUUCAUUGAGGCAAGCAUGACUUGAAAAUUAAUAAAGCAUAACCUUUAUUCACGCCUCCCUCAGGAGACAAAUCAUCACUUUGUCCACUCAAACUAGCAUCAAUCUCAUUGUUAUCUAGAACAUCUUCAACAUUGUCAUCUACUUGAAACGGAAAGGAAAUAUUAUUCGGAAUAUGACAUACAAUCAAUAGUUCCAUAUUUAAAUUAUGAAUGCCAUAAAUUAGCAGAAAAAGCGUGAGAUAAAAAAAGAAAAACCUUCUGAUUCUGUGAUAACAUGGCAAGGCUCAACUGCAUCACUGUCUGUCUGUGUUGCAGCGGAAUCAUCUUCCUUUCCAUUAUCGAUAUGUGAUUGUUGUUCAUAUUCGGCAACAAUUUGAUCAACUACAUUUUCUGUUACACUUUCAUCAGCCACUUCAACUGUAGAGGUUUGAGAUUUAUUUCUGUGGAUGACAUGAAUGCAGAUUUCAGUGAUAAAGUGUUCCUUAAAAUGUUGUCUAUGGACUAUGAGUCACAGACACCGGACACGGCACGGAUACAACCUAGCUAACACAAAUUUAAAACCCCCACCCC